UUGUUUUUUUCCUAUAGCUUUGCUGAUGUAAAUCUGAGUCACAUUGUUGACCAAAAACCAAAAGUUCACACUUUUUUCAUGACUCAUUAUUAGCAGUAAAUUAAUUUCCACACUACAUGCCAUAAAUGUCAAUUUCCGUUUUUAGCAGAAAAAUUACUUUAAAAUUAUAAAAUAUAAAAUAUAAAAUAUAUUAGUAUAAUUGUUAGGUUUUCUGUGGUUAUUAAAAUCUGUUUUACACAGGAUUUUGUAAUACAAAAUAUAUUUCUCUAAAAAGACAGCUGCAAUUAAUAUUAGUGAGUGGUUUGACUAACUAUACAAAGAUAGUCAUAUUUGUUUUUGAUAAAAUAUUUUCUUUUAUGACCUCAUAUAAAAAAUUAUAAAAAAAAAUCUUAAAUCACCAAAAAAAUAUAGUACACACAAAUGUCUAUUUAUGAAAUAUCCAAAACACUUAAAAUCCUAAUUCUAAUUAAAAUAACAUAUCUUAACAAAAUAUAGUAAUUAAACAAAAUAAUACAUAUUUAACUUAGUUUUAGUCAUACAUCGUCACAUAAAGUAAAUGACAAUAUCAACUUAUUUAACUAAAAAAAUACCGAUCAUAUAUUUUUACAUAGAUCUCAUGUCGAUUGAUGUUCUGACAUUACAUUGUGUCCUUUCAACGUUAAGAUCUCGUUAACGGCUAAUUUACUGUUCGUGCGAUAAUAAUUUAACCGUCGAUCAUUAAAUGCAUAACACCUACAUAAUACUCCAUUUGUUAUUUUCUAAAAACGUGCAUAUUAAAAAUUGAUUUUUAUAAAAAAAUCAUUUAACAUUUUUUAUUUUAAAAAAUUAACCUAUAGAUAAUUUCCUUUAUUUUUUAAAAAAAAAAUUCUUGUUUUUAAUUAUUUUAUUUUACUUAAAAUUCUUUUUAGAGUUAGGAUCUAGGAAUUAAUUUUAUCCGAGGCAAUAAUAUUAAAUAAUAAAAAAAACUCUAAUUUUAUUAACAAAAAUAAAUCUUCUAAGCAAGUUAAAGUAUUUGAUUAAUUUUUUCAAGUUAACGAAAGUGAUUUAAAGUUAUUUUCUUAAUGAAAUAUGAACUUAUUUACAAAGAAAAAGGCUUUUGUAUUGUAUUUGUAUUGUAUUAUAUAUAGAUUGGAUUAUAUGGACAUUAAAUUAUAGAUUGGAUUAUAUGGACUUUAAAUUAUAGUAUUAUACAACACAAAACUUCGGUGUAAGAUGAAAAUAGAGUAAUUGGGGGCAUUAAACAAGUACUUGACAGGGGCAUAAUUAAAAGCUCUUGUAAAUAACACCAACUUUGAAAAAUUUACCCGUGGCAAAUGCCCCCUUAUUCGUAACGUACGUCCGCCCAUGCGCUAUAGGUAAACCAUUAAUUUUCCGUUACCUAUAAGAACCCCCCCCCCCUACCUAUUGUAGGGUUGAUGCAAUGAGAGGUUGACUAAAUCAUACGUGACAUGUUGUGUCCCUAGGGUUUUGGUGGCCGCAAGCAAAAAUAACUUUUGGGCCACCUAAUUAUUGAUUUAUCCAAAAAAAAAAAAAAAUCUUAAAAAUGUACUUAGGGGAAAUCGAAUCCACGAGCCUCAACUCUUAAAACAGCACCCAUUAACCAGCAAAGCUGAUGACUUCCUACAGAAAUUGGGGCCGAUUAUAUUAAUAAACCCUUGUACGGCCGUAAGGUGGUGCUUGGCUCGCUUGUAGUCAUGGACGGCUCUGGUGUCACUCUUGAUGUCUAAAUUCCAGGGAUUGUGACUUGCUAUAGUGGUGAGAUUUUCACGAGGUAAUCAAGGAGUUGGCGGGUGAUGUAAAGUAAGUAGCAAUGGUAUUUGUGAGUGUUGUAAAGCAGACUACAACUAAUUAAGAGCAUCUCUUAGCCGAGUGACCUUGUAUACUGCAUAAUUGACAUCAAAGGGUUACGUUGUUGGUUAUUUUAUUUUGAAUUGUUCUAGGAACGUUAAUAAGAUAUGAAGAGAAGAAACAUGAGCCGAAGAAAGCAACUUAGCUUCAUGAUUGAGAAGUUUCUCAUAAAUCUCCAUGAGAGUUGGUGGUGUAUCACCGAUUUGAUCAAUCACCGAUUUGUAAUCUUUUAGAAGGUCUUUAGAUAUAUAUUCAACUUGAUCUUCAUGAUCAAUCAAUUUGCUAAACGGAGUUAGAUGAUCAAAUGUGGUUGAUAAUCCUUGAAAGUACUCAUUAAUAAUUUUCGAUCAUUUGUUCCAUUGCUUCAGCUGUUUUAUGUGGCAUAUAUAUGGUUUCACAAAUGUUGAGGCAAGAGUGGACCACACAUCUAAAACACUAGAGGCGCCAGAAUGAGGAAUCUGAAUGAAUAAUAUAACACCAAUAAAUAUAAUAUAAUUCAACUUAUAUUGCAGUAUGCAGGCUUUACGUUGUUGAUCUAGACCCGGCUUUAGGUGCUUUGAGUUUUGUUUCGUUUUCUUGGUGGCAGCUUGGAAUGAGAUUAAAUGAUAACUCUCUCCCGGUAUAUCUGAUCUUGGUGGGUCGUUAUUACCCUUUUAUCUCCUUGAUGGAGCAGUUUCUCUUCCCAACAUUCCCUCCUAUUUGGAGUGGGUUGGAUGUUCAAGCGUUGUCGGUAUUGCAAGGAUCUUCCUCCCGGCGUAUGCUCUUCUCUGCCUUUGAUGCAGUUGUUGUAACCCUUCGGGUUGCGUUGGAUGCGAUCUUCCGAGAUGUCUUCGAGAUUGUUGUAUUGCAAUUUCUUAUGGUAUCUCGUUAUGAUUUGUAUCGUCUAUCAAUCUCUUGUUUAACCAUCGGCUGGUGGUCCUUUUUGGCUUUUGAUGCCUUGCUUUCAAACUUCAUGUUGUUUGUAUUUUCCCUUUCCUUUGGAUGUAAUCCCUCCUCUUGUGAUAGAGUUUGAGGCCUAAUUUUAUUAAAAUUAUCAGUUUGACCAAAAAAAAAAAAAAAAUAUUCAGCUUAUAUUAGGGCUUACAUAAGGUAAUUCUAUAUUAGGACUCAUGGUACUAAAUUUAGUGACUGAGUGGAAUCUAGUUUUGGUGUAGCUCCAUCAAGAUAGGAAGCCAAGGCAUACCCAUCAAGGAAAAAAUGCACUUAGCAAUUCCAUAUAAGGUAGUUGGAGAUUGAACAUCAUAGUUUUGGAAGGGUGUAACGAAAAGAAGAGUUCUUAGAAAUCAACAUAGUCACUGGAGAAUGAGAGCGAGAGAGACAAAGAGAAGGAAAUAGAAAGCAAAAACAUAAAAGAGAUGUGAGAAAUAGAAAGAUAUAUUUAAAACUGACGAAGAGUUGGCUAGAUGAUUUUACCUUUAGGUACCUUUUGCUCCGAUAUCAUAUAUAUAGAACGGUAAUGAAUUGAAAAUUUAUAUUACUCUUUAGAUAGUGUAGGGGUUUUGUAUGUGAAAACAACAAAAACAAUGUAUAUUCAUUCUAUACAUCUGGAUCUAGAUCUAAUAGUUUUGAGAUUUAUUCUUCUUCUUUAAUAUUCUUUAUACAUCUAAAUUCGUACAUACUCUUAAUCUCUUAUGUUGAAAUUUUUUAAUUGAUGUUUUCUUACUUUACAAAUAUAGUUUCGUUAUCAGCUUCUUUCUCUAUGAACAUAAAUAAUGUUCUAGAGCAUUUGCAUUGUUGAAUAGGUGCUAACAAAUAAUUCUACAAAAUUCGGACUACUUAGAAACCUUCUAAUCAAAUUAAUUCAUGUUGGUGGUUUGAAAAUUUUCAUGACCUUAGUUUUUUCCUUGUUGACUUAUAUCCAUUUCUUAGAGAUUUGGUUCCUAAGUUAGUUUGUGUAUUCAUAUGACGUGGCACUUUUUCAUGUAUUUCCAAAUAGAUUUAAAAUAUUGUGUCUUUAUGGAAUUUAAUAACUAUUUGGUGUUCAUCAAUAAAAGUUUCUAUAUAUUUAGGUAAAUAUCAUUAAACAAUAUGUGUAGUUAUUAGCCAUGUCUACAAAAUAUUAUGCUACUGCUCAGGCAAACCCAAGUGGAGUGGGCCUAGGUAUGAAUUAAGGAUCAACAUUUUUUAUUUAAAGAAAAAAAUACAAAAUAUACUCUAAGGAUUUCUGAGACUUGUUUUUAGGUAAAGCGAAAAAAGUUGUUUGUCUGGUUUUCAGAAUUGUAAACAAAAAUCCUACAAAAAAAAAAAGAAUUGUAAACAAAAAUAUAAAUAAAUUAACUAUUAAACUUAUGAAUUAAAGGCAUUGGGCUUUAGGAUAUUUCGAACAACAAUGACUAGCAGAAUAAAUGUAACAGGGAAUUCAGAAAUAAAGAACCAUUUUCAAACAUGAACACAAAUCUAGACUAAGGGGGGUGUAUUGAAGAAAGAAUUUGUAGUGAUUUGAGUUUUAAUGAGUUUUGAGAUGAUUUUGGUGAAUUUUGGUGAAUUAGGGAAUUUGAUAUCAAAACUCUCCCAAAUCCCACCUAAAACCAUGGGAUUUGGAUAUUUGUAUUUUUAACUAAGAUGUUCUCUGAAAUCCCACAAAAAAUCACUCAAGACAUUUCAAAUCCACAACUUAAAAUGUUUCCAAUAACAGUGGAUUUGAUUGUAGAUUUUAAAAUCACUAAUCCAAUAACACUUGAUUUUAAAAAGAUUUUUAAAAUUCAUGUUUGAAUAACAUAAGAUUUAUCUUUUUAAUACAAAUCAUUUCAAAUCCUUUAUUGAAUACACCCCCUAACUCUCUCUCUCAAGACAUUAAUCACGAAAUUUGACUAUUUAACUACUAAACUCUCAUUUGUAGUUUCCUAAUCAAAUUCGCAUUAUCGAGUUGGUUCAUUUGGUUCACAAUGCGUUCUAAAGUAAACUUCUCGUUGGCUAAAAACACAUUGCUCAAUUUACAUUGGUUCAGGCAUUCUAUCAAACACUUUUGAUGCACAGAAAAACCUUUGUUCUAAAACAGGGAGAUCAAUUCUAUUCUGGCAUUAAGAACAUGUAAAUCGAAGAACCUAUGGAUGAAGAAUCCCUAAUGACAAUUUAUUUACAAAUUCAUUGGCUCUUUUACUUAGAACCCUAAAACUCAAUUAAAGGACUACUCACUCAUUGCAAAAGAAAUAUUACAUAGAGUUAUAAACGAAAACAUGAUUCAAUCGAUAAAACAAAAGAUGGUAUAGAAAUCUUCUCUAAAUUGUCAAAGAGGAUGAAAAUAAAAAUUUAGGUCUCUAAGGUUCUUAUACCCAAAUACAGAAAAUAGUAGAUAAAUCCGGUUAAAAAAAACCAGAACGGGAUGUCAUAGGGAUGGAUCGAUCGAUCAUGUGGGUGGACCGAUCGAUCCAACCCUCUCUGGGAAGAUUUCGUCGAUGUUCAUUGUUUGGAUCGAUCGAUCCACUCCUUAGAUCGAUUGAUGAGGCCUUCCCAGAGAGUCCAUGCUGGAUGUCAUGAUUUGGACCGGUCGAAUCCACACCUUGGAUUGAUCAGUCACUUCCUUGAUCCUUCUUCUCUCGAACAUUCCUGGCCCGAACAAGCCCAAUAAUGCCCGAACACUCAAGACACGAUUAAAAAGACACAAAAAAGGUCAACGACAAGACAAACAACUCAAAACGGAAACUAAACGAAAAACCAAAGACACCAAAAACGCAACUACUAGGCCGGACCUGCUAAUAUUAUUUGCAUAUAAUCUUAAAUAUAUUUUAAACUAUAUAAAAAUGUAAAAUAAUUCAUAAUUACUAGUCAUGGAUAGUGUCAUGUUAAUGUUCUCAAAAUUAAUUUCUGAACUACUGUGUUUUUCAAACAAAAUUGGCGUCAUAAAUCGAGAAUGUAUUGAUAAAAGGUACAUGCAUUUUCCAAAAAAUUUAAUGCAAAACAACAAAAAUACAAUCUAUUUUUUUUUUUUUUUUGUUUAUUGUCAACGAUUAAUUAAUCCAUAAAUACAGAAACAUAGGAAAUAUAAUUGAAUUCUAAACAUUGAAGCAAUAAUCAUCGAAAAAACAUUGAUGAAAUGAGCUUUAGAGGACACCUAGCUGAUCACAAUUAUCAUCUAAAAACCAUUGAUGAUUGAGCUUUAGAGGACCCCUAGCUCUCUGAGAAACGCAACACAUAUAUCAAAGAAGAUAAACUGAGGUCCAUCAAUUCUUUGGAUGUCCAACAAAUACUUGCCUUCACGUACUUUGUAUAGCUACAACAACAACAAAAAUUAUACAAAUUAGGUUUGAAGUAAAAAAAUUGCUCUAACUUGAUUUUAACAAUGUAAAUUGUAGAUAAUUUUAUGUUCUCAUCACAUAAAAACAAAAAUUCUUUAGGUGUAGCCUACCGAAAAACAAUUGGUCCUCUAUGGACUAUUAAAUUCUAGUAUGUUAUCUUAAAUUGGAUAAAUAUACCUGAAGUUCAAAUUUGAUGAUAAUACAUUCACCCUCAAUUGUAUGAUUCUUGUAGUUAGCAAGGCUUCGGACCCUUCUACAUUUUAUAUUGUAGAGUCCGAUUUUUUUCCAGCACACUUUUAGAUUUUGAAGAGCCUUAAAAAUUUCAUUCAUUAUAUCAUGAGGACUCCCUUGAGACUGUCAAAAUAUUAAACAAUUUUUUUUUUUUAUAUUGAUAAAAUGUUUUGAGUGAUAAAUUAUUAUGCUAACAAAAAUAAUCGAAAAAAAAUUAAGAAAAAAUGAAAGGAAAUUGAAUGUUAAAGUAAUAUGAACAAAAAAAAAGAUUAAACAUUAACCAUGGACUAACCUGAAGGCCAAGGGUCCAUGUUUUGUCAUCUUUGACAUGUGAUUUUAGUCCAUACAAUGCCGAGAAUGAAUGGCCAACAUGUGAAGUAAUAUUUUGAACAGCUGGAAACGUCGAAUUAAAUAUACCACCCUAUAUUUGUAACAUUAAAAAGAAAAUAUAAUUAUAUAGAGAAGUAAAUUUUAUAAUUCAGGUUGUAGCGAAAGAGAAUAAGUACCGAUAUCUCUUUAAAGUUGGAUUGGAAAGGGUCAUUAGGAACAAAAUUUUGGUUUCGGUUAUCUAGUAUUAGAUGGUAUGCAAUUGUAGCCUGAAAUAAUGAAACAUUUAACAUGAGUAUCAUUUAUAAAACUAUUUAAAGUAUAAUAGAAUAAUUAUAUGAAAAUAUGAAAACACUCAUACCUCGUUUUGGAUUCUAUUGACAAGAGAUUCAACAACUUGGUUUCUAUCAAAUCCUAUGUUAACUACUUUUUGAAUUAUCUCCUCAUCAAUCUAGAAAGAGUAAAGUUAAUACAAAAAUUAAUGAAUUCAUACAAAUGAUGUUAUUUUGGUACAAUAUAGUGAAAAAAUUUCUAACCUUUUUAGCUUCUUCUAUUGUAUCUAAUGGAGGCAUAUAAAGAUAAAGAGGAACAUGAUUAUUGAACCAAGGAUGUUGACGAAUCUCAGUAAUGCUAAUUCUCAUCAGAGGAUCAACCAUAAGCAUUCUCGGUAUCAAAUCUCUAGCAACAUAUGAUAAAUGAUCUGGAAGAGUAUACAUUCCUUUCUAAAGUAAAAAAAAAAAAAACACAUAAAUAUAUCACUGAAAAACCAUGUAUAAUAAUAGAUGAGUUUAUAACAAUAGUGUUGUCUAUUAAUACCUUUAUUUUAUCGAAUAGAGUAGGAAUAUUUUCGUCGUCGAAGGGAAGAGUACCGCACAAUAGAGCAUAUAAUAUAACCCCACAACUCCAUAUAUCUACUUCUGGUCCAGAAUAUGGUUUUCCUGAAAUAACCUAUAAAAAAAAAUUCGGUCGUGAGUAAUUGAUGCUUCAAAUAUAUAUCCAAAUUCUUGAAAUAAGAAUGAUAAAUAUGUUAGUUUUCUAUACCUCUGGAGCAGCAUAAUUAGGGCUUCCACAACUAGUCUUUAAAAAAUGACCAUCAUGCAUGACAUUACUCAAUCCAAAGUCAACAAUCUUUAUGUUACAUUUCGAAUCCAAAAGCAUAUUCUCAGGCUUAAGAUCUCUAUGAACGAUCAUAUUGCGAUGACAAUACUCCACACCAGAUAUGAUCUGAAUAUAUAUGAUUGUAAUAAAUUGUUCCCAAUAUAAAAAGAUAUAAAGUCUUAUGAAAUAAAAAAGGAUAUAUAUACCAAACCUGCUGAAAUAGAUGACGAGCCUCGUCUUCUUGCAAUCUACCUUUUUCUAUAAUAUAGUCAAAUAAUUCUCCAGACUUAACAUAUUCCAUCACAACAUAAAUGUUAUCAGGCGUCUCUAUAACUUCGUAUUGACGGAUGAUAUGAGGAUGCAUCAACAACCUUAGAAUUUUGAUCUCCCUUUGUACUACAAGAGACAAAACAAACAUUUAUUAAGAUUAUUAAUAUAAAGUAACGAUUAUAGUAUCAUUUUACCUCUCUCCAAAAUUUCGUCCACAAGACAGAAAGUGUAAUAUUGUUUGUCACAUAAACUAGUCCCACGACACAAAAAUAGUUCGUGACAAUGAACGAUAUUAAUAAAUAGUAUUUCCGCUUCGAGACCUAGAUUGGAUAAAAGUAUUUUUUAGAAGAAACAAAAUUUAAAAAUAAAUCUAUUUUGAUGAUUUCUCAAUAUAAAAUAUGAAAAAGAUUAAAGUAAAAUCCAUACAAACAAACUAUUUAUAUUAUCAAAACCAUAUAUUGAUCAUGGUGGAUAGCCGAAAUCUCAUAAACCUAUUAGAUCUCAUUAAGAAAAAUAAAUAUAUAUAUAUAGCGAGAGAUAUUGUACCUUCUUAAACUUAGUCAAAAUGAAAAAGAGUAAUAAAAAAAGUAACACAUACCUUUGAUCUCAAUACCCAUGUUCUUAAUCUUAGCACGAUUAAGGAUUUUGAUAGCAACUUUGUGCCCAGUAGCUACAUGCAGUGCUAAUUUCACUUUCGCAAAGGAUCCAUGCCCAAGAGUUUUACCAAUCUUAUAAUUCGGUAGAAUUGAUACCAUUCUAUUGGUAGUUUUUUCCGAUGAUCCAUCCAUUUUACUACAGAUAGAAAAUCAGAAAUAUAUAAGAAAUUAUAAUUAAAUCUCUAUAAAAAAUAUUUAGUAAAUUAAUAAUUAAAUAACAGUAAAAUGGACGGAUCAUCGGAAAAAAACUACCUGUAAAAUGAACAAUAGAAAAUAAUUGACGGGGAAUCUAACUAGAAAACCCAAAAAAUGGUGAACGUCCCAAAUCAAAAUCAUCUUUCAGCGAAAUUCAUUUCGUUCAUGAAUAGGUGUCCUAAUUGAAUGAAGAAAUUUAUGGGUUGACUGAUUAUAUAAAUAGUAAAAAAUCAAUAGAUUCCCAUAGAAUUCAUGUUUUUCUCUCUAACAAAAACUUUGAAAUUUAAAGUUGUAGAAAAAUGAUUCAAACGCAGAAGACUCUUAACAUAAUCUUAUAGAGUAGGGUUGAUGAUAGAGACAAAUUGGAACCCACGAUAUAAAUAUGAGCACACACGAAAAAUUUGCACCUCUAGAAAAUUAAGGAAAAAUACAAGAAAGGAGUAAUUGUAUACCUCUAAAGAAUUGAGGAAAACUACAAGAAAAGAGUCCAAGGGCACAUAUAUUAAACCUCUUUCCUUUGUUUGCUUCCCUACUUUGCUGAUGUAAAUCUGAGUCACACUUUUGACCAAUGGUGUCACACUUUUUUCAUGAGUCAUUAUAUGACAAGAUAUAAAUUUUCACACAAUCAUGUUAAAAAAUCAGUUUCUGUUUUAUAUUAAUAGUAAUUGUCUAAUUAUAACAAUAAAUAUUAAAAUAUAUUAGUAAAAUUGUUAGAUUUUUAUAUUUUAUAUAGUAAUAGAAUCUAGUUAUUCAACAUUUUUUAAGACAAAAUUAUCUUUCCUUGAAAAACAAAUUGUAAUUAAUGUUAUUGGUGCUUUGACUAUAUAAUGUAUAUUUCUUUCUUAUUUUAAAAUAGGAAAUAAUUAAUACUGAAAAAUGUAACAGAUUUUUUUAUAUUUAUAAUUUCCUUCAAAAUUUGAUUAUAUAAAAGGACGUUUUUGUUAAUAAGUUACUACAUCUGAUAAAUUUAAAUUCUUGUUAGUUAAAAACCUUAAUGUAAGAAAAAAUGUGUUAAAUUUAAAAUGAUUAGACAAAACAAAGUUUUCUAAAACAAAACAAACUACAAAUGAUCAGUAAAUUCUUUGUCUUGUUGUUGCUGCUGCUGCUCUUCUAUCGUCCUCUUGAAUCGCAAAGAAAAUGACUAUUGACACUAAGACGCAUGCACCAAGUAUUGCCAGUACUAUAGCAACUAGAGCUCUUCUAUCGUCCUCCUGAAUUGCAAAGAAAAUGACUGUUGACACUAAGACGCAUGCACCAAGUACUGCCAGUACUACAACAACUAGAGCCUUCAAAACAUCGUAGGUCAUGGAUCCGUCCGUUGACUCCUGGCUGCUCGAAUCGAACUCAGGAAUUAUUGAAACUAUUUCUCAUGACCUGCAAGUUAAAAAAGUAAUCACUUUAUUCACAGAUUUUAAAAUUGAACAUCUCUUGAGCAUUAGCUCGUAUCUUUUGAAAUAACCUCCUAACGCUAGAGAACACGCACUUAGCACAAUUAAGAAUAAACCUAUUGUGGAUCCAUAUAAAAAACGAAGUAGCAACAUUGCAUAUCUUCAAUGCAAUAUAAUUAAGAUUCAAAACAACACCGAACAUUCACAUAUAUAUAAUAUGGUGCUGUUCGUUUGGCAGUCGCAUGAUCAUGUGACUAAUCGCGCGAUUAAUUGCUACGACUUGCGACUGAUUUUUUUUAUCCCAGAAAAAAUUAGCGAUGCGACUUUUUAAAUAACGAUUAGUCGCAGUGACUAGUCGCGCGAUUGCGAAACGAACAACAUCUUGCGAUUCGAAAUUGCAGUCGCAGUCGCAAUCGUCAUGCGAUUACGAAACGAACAUGACCGUACAUCCCUUAUGUAAAGUGGAAGUAAGCAUCAAUAUUCAAUGCCCUAUAAACGGAGAGUCUACUUGGCCGUUAAACGGAGAGACUUCAAAAUUGUUCACAGGAAAGUUAUAGUCUUUUGCAUGGACAUGGACAUUUGUCAGUGUUUCUAUAGGAGAGGCAGCAUAAUUGGCAGCUUCAUAUCUUCUGUAAGAGAAAACACAUUAACUCAUCGUUAGAAUUUGAUGAAUCUAGGGUUUGUGGAAUCAUAGUAACCAAUAUUAUAAGAUAACAGAGAUGAUAGGUUUGGGUGAACAUAUAUCUCUGUACCAACCAGUGGCGGAGGCAGAAUUAUUUAUCAUCGAGGUCAUAUAUUAAUAUAAAUAUAUAAUAAUUUUGAAAAUUUUAAAUUUAUAGAACUAGGGAGAAAGAAGAAGAAAAAUAAUAUUUACGUAAAAAAAAAACAAAAGAUGAAACCCUAUAUAAAAUAGGAUUAAGAGUUAAAUAUUAUGUAUUAUACCUAUAACGGUUAGUCAAAAAAAUUGGUUAGAGGAUGCAAAUGAAGAAUAUGAACUAGAAACAUAGGGUUCAUAUUACAUUUUUAAGCUAAAUAAUUCAAAUGUUCUAACUAAAUAAGCUUAUAAAUUUUUUUUUUAUAAAAGUUAUGGGGGUCAGUUGACCCCAUUGCCCUCUAUAUAGCUCCAACCCUGGUACCAACCGCCAUGGAAACUUUAGUUUCAGGGACAAGGUUCGCGAAUAAGAGAAAGUACUUGUUUGGGGGAAGUGAGAGGGUAAGAUUGGUUGAAUUUUGAAUUUGGUGGAGGAGAGAGAUCUCUGAAUGUGAAGAGAUUGGUGACGUAGUGCGAAUCUAUAACGCAUAAUUUAGGGUUCACUUGUAUAUCGAAGAUGAAUAUUUGAUCCGUCAUAGAAGGUGGAACCACGGUGGAGAACGCCGUGGGGAAGAGGAGGAAGAAGACGACGACGGAGAGGGGCAUUUUCGUCAUUAUGCUUUGGAAAAUGAGAAUAACCAAGUUAAGCACACAACGAGUUUGGGAUCAUGGAUAUGGAGGAAACUGCUUAAAUACAGAGAUUUGGCAAAGAUUUUUUGUAAGGUGGAUGUGGGAAAUGGUAAAUUGAUGUCUUUUUGGUAUGACAACUGGUCGCAGCUGGGAAUUCUUAUGGACUCAACAGGUGCUAGAGGUGUCAUUGAUCUCGGGAUAACCCGGAAAAUGUCAUUGGCAGAGAGGCUUUGAAAGACCGUAGACGGAGGAGACAUAGAGUUGGUUUUCUAAACACGAUUGAGGAAGUCAUGGCACUGACCAAGCUUCUCCACAAGAGACUUAGAAUCACACUAGGACAGUCUCAAAUAAAGUGCCCUGGUUUAAGGGAGUCUGGUUCCCCCAUGGAACUCCAAAGUUUUCGUUUUGUGUUUGGCUUGCAGUGCAAGACAUACUUUCAAAAGGAGAUAGGAUGGCCAAGUGGAAGGUAGGGACAUCGACAACUUGCGUCUUUUGCAACAACAACAGAAACCCGAGAUCAUCUCUUUUUUUCUUGUGGUUUCGUUUCAGGUAUUUGGGCAGCUCUAGCCAAACCCAUUCUCAAAGCUCGUUACACGGUCGAUUGGCAAUCACUUAUCACCUAUAUCUCAGAUCUACAACAGGAUAGAGUGGAGAGCUUCCUUGCUCGAUACACUUUCCAAGCUUCGGUAUACAUAGUAUAUAGAGAGAGAAAUGGGAGACCACAUGGUAACGAUCCGAACCCGGCAUCUCAACUUAUAAAAAUGAUUGACAAACAAGUACGAAACCAAUUUUCAGCCAUCAGAUCAAGCGGGGAUAGGAGAUAUGAAAAAGGACUUCAACUUUGGUUUGCGUCGAGAAGCCAACUCUAGAACUCUCUUUCAAUUUUCUGUUUCAGCUUAAUAGUGUAAGUGUGAAACAACAAAUAAGUCCAACAAGCCCAUCAAUAGAAGGUCCAACUGAAGAGAAAGGCCCAGCUCAGUCCAGUCAACAGAGAAGUCAACAGAAGAAGACAAAGUCUUCUUUAACUCAAGAACAGAGCAACGAAGGUACGGUGCAGAGAAGCUGCCUCAAUGCGAUGACUCAUGACUGCCAGCUACACUAGCCGUUGAAGGAUAAGAUCGAGUGUGUUCUAGAUUGUUCUGAGUAUAAAUUGAUGUAUAUAAACACAAGUAUAAAACCCUAAUGUAAUCUAUCGAGAAUAGAACAGUUUUACCAAAAGCUUAAACCUUUCUCUUCUCCUACAAAUUUUUUUUAAACUUCGUUGCACUAGUUGUACAAACGUUCAUUUUUCUUUUGAAUAUAAUUUAACAUUAGAUUCAAAAAAAAAAAAUACGCUAUUUUCUCUUUGAUUUUGUCUAAUGUAAGAUCUACGUAGUUUAGUUUGUUUGUUAUGUCUCUAAAUAUCUAUCAUAAAAAUUUCUGUUUUUUAUAUAAAAAAGUGAUAAAAAUAGAAUUACUUAACGGUUAUUUCUUGAGAAGAGGAAUCUUACUGGAGAACUAUGUGGAUGUGAAAGAUUAAUGGGGAAUUUGGAGUGGAAUUUAAGGUAAGAUUGGUCAUAAAAGGGUUAUGGCGUUCUUCAAUGGAAGAAAAUUGGCUUAUGCAUGUGUUUUCAGUUUAACUCUAAUUAGGUCUUGGCGGAUUUCAAAGUUCGAAUAUGACGACGACGAAGAUUACAAUUUCUCAGCAUAAUAUACACUAAAACCUCUAUAAAUUAAUAAUGAUGGAACCACAAAAUUUUAUUAAUUUAAAAACGUAUUAAUUUAUUGAUAAAUUAUUAAUUUAUAGAGAGAUUUUACUAAUUUUGUAGUUUCUUAAAAACUUUCUAUCUAAAAAUAAAUUUUUCUAUAUAAGCAAUAUCUUUUAAAAUCUAAUUACACGUAGAGAAACAAUUAUUAAGUUUAAAAAACAAAACAAACUUUUUUCGAAUAAUAGAUUCAUAUUUGACUAAAAAUUUUACAUAUAAUAUUAUAAAUAUAUAUCAUAGUAUUUCAUAUAUGACAUAUAUAAAUUUAUAUCAUAUAUAAUAAAUUAUAUAUAUAUAUAUAUAUAUAUUAAUAAGUUUAUACAAUUAUUAAUUUACGAUAUAGAUGAGACCAUAUGUUUAUAUGGGAUUUUCAAAAAAAUUAUUAUCUUAUUAAUUUAUCGAUUUUUGUCAUAUUUUACACGGGUCCCAACUCCGGACCGGAAGAAUUUAUUAAUUUAGAGAGGUUAUUAAUUUAUAGAGUAUAAAUUUAUAGAAGUUUUAGUGUAUAUGCUGAGAUUCGGAAACUUUAAUUUCUGUUUUGUUAUUAAAGUAUUAAGCUCUCACUGGCUAUAUAUAAUCGAGCCUCUUCUUUCGCUUUUUUUUUUCUCGUUUGUUUGUGUGUAGAAUACUUGCGUUUUUCCUACCAAAUUGUGUGACGCCAUGAAAGUGUUAAGAGCUUUUCCAGCAUCAAGGUUCGUUUAGUGCAUAAACUAUGUUUAGUUUUGCUUAAUGACGUUUAGUUAUGUUCGCUUAAAGAUAUUAAUUUGGUCCUAAUAUGAGAAAACAGUCAAAGUGGAAUCAUUCUCAAGUUUUUUUUUUUUUUUAUGUUUGAUAUUCCACUUGUAGAUUUUGACUUGGUAAAACUCUAACAUGUAUCAUUCAUGUAAGAUUUGUUGCUAAAUCUUGUGUCCCACUUCCUCUUUGUAAACUAGUUUUCUAUUUUAUGUCAUGGACGGCCAAAAUAUAUUGUAUUCGAAUGGACAAAGUCAGGUAAGGACUUGAUCCAAUGUAAAUGUAAACUAUAAAGUCAUGUCUUAGUAUCUAGAGAUGAUUCUAUUACAAAUAUAUUCAAAUCUUAUUUCUUAACAACAUCAUAUCUCUUGAGAAAAAAUGUAUUUGUAUGUUGGAGAUAUGAUUUAAAGCAUCAGCGUAAAAACUUGAUGUGCUUUUAGCUUUGGCAGGUUCUUGAUAAAAAUUGUAAUAAAAAUGGGUACAUGUAUGUCAACUCAUUCAAGAAGAAUUAGGCCACGAAGGAAAGGUCGUCGGAGAUUUCCAAAACACAUUUCUAGAGUGUCUGAUAUUAUUUCUCAUCCAAAUAUUAGACGACUAAGUGAUGUUGGAAUCCAAACCUCUUUUGGUGAGUAUCAUUAGGAUGAGAGUUGUGAUAUUGCAUUUCUUGUUUAUACAGAAAAAGAUAGGUGAGGAAUGUUGGAUCUUCGGUUUUUGUUGCAGAUAUUUCUCAAAACGAUGCGUGGUUUGAUUCUUCAAGUCUUUUCUCUGACUCUGAUGACGACUUUAUUAGCCUACAUGAAGGUAAAUGUAAAUCUACAUAUGAAAUUUUUUGGUUGUCAUUUUUUUUUUGUUUUUGGGUAAUGAAUAUUUGAUAGAGUCUAUAUUUGUUUCAGCUGAUAAUGUUUGGUUAGAGGGUGGUGUAAUGGGUAAUAUUCCAAAUGGUCAGGUGGUUCAGUUUGAGACUUCUUCAUGCAUUGUUGAUGGAAAUGGAAAUUAUGAAGAAUACCAUGAGAGUUACUUGAAAAUUGAUGGCGGCAAUAAAAUCGAGAAGUUUAUGAGCAACGGUUUAUACAAAGAUACUAAUAGUUUGUCUAUUAUCACUGGAAACAACAAGAAUAAACAAUUGGACCAUACUUAUAGAAGCUUUAAAGUAUUGAAAGAAAUAGACCCUAACCCUCAAGAAAAAACAUUAAAAUCCAAUUUGAGCCGGUUGAUGCCAACCGUUAGUUUCAACGACAAGACUCUAAACUCCCCCACAUCUCAAAAGCGGAAGUCAGCGGUUUAUCAGACUUCUUUCAAGAGGAGAUCAUGUGAUGGUGAAGAAGUUACCGAGCAUAGUAAGUUGUCAAAUUUUUACUAAACCGUACAAACAUUAAAACGUAUAUAUGCAUUGUUAUGUGAGCCUGUAAUUUUAACAUGUAUAUUUUGAAACGGUUUUUAUAUGAAGGGUCGUCCAAAAGAUUGUUGUACCGUCCCAAAGCCGGAUACACCAUUCCGUGCUAUGCCAAUGAGAAGCAGCAAUCAUCAGGAAGUUGGUGUGAGAUACCUCCUUCAAACUUGAAAUUACGUGGCGAAACUUAUUUCAAGUACAUUUCUUAACUUCUCUCUUUAUUUAUACAUAUAUGCAUUUAAGCGGCUAUAAGUAGAUGUAAGCUGUUAAUACAAUGAUAAAUUUGUAGAGAUAAACGAAAAUAUCCGGCUCCAAACCAAUGUCCAUACACUCCAAUUGGUGUUGACUUGUUUGUGUGUCCAAAAAAGAUUGAUCAUAUAGCCCAACACAUUGAACUUCCCAACAUCAAAGCCGAGGUGAAGUUCCCUGCUCUUUUGAUUGUCAACAUCCAGGUAAAAACCACUAAAUAAAGUUCCUUUAGAACAAUAGAUGUGUUUCAAGGCUCUAAUAAGUCUGGCUUUUGUAGUUGCCAACUUAUCCAGCCGCAAUGUUUCUCGGUGAUAGUAAUGGAGAAGGCAUGAGCAUUGUACUUUAUUUUAAAUUAAGAGAAAAUUUCGAAAAAGAAAUCUCUCAACAAUACCAAGACAGCAUCAAGGUUAACCAUCAAAAACAUAAAGAACGUUCCUUUUUUCUUAACUUUCUUGUGAAUGCACUCAUUGAUCGUUAUAUAUGGUUUGUUUGCAGAAACUAGUGGAGGAUGAGAUGGAAAAAGUGAAAGGGUUUGCAAAAGACAACAUUGUUCCAUUUCGUGAACGGCUUAAAAUCGUAGCCGGAUUAGUUAACCCAGAGGAACUCAGCCUUAGUUCUACUGAAAGGAAGCUUAUACAAGCUUACAAUGAAAAACCCGUGCUUUCUCGCCCUCAACACAACUUCUUCAAGGUUUUAAUAGAACAACAGACUCUUUUCUAACCGAUAAAACACCAUUUGGUCUCCUAAUCAUGAUUGGUUUGGGCUCUCUCUGUCCAGGGUCCUAACUACUUUGAGAUUGAUUUGGACGUGCAUCGGUUUAGCUACCUCUCAAGAAAAGGGCUUGAAGCAUUCAGAGAUCGACUUAAAAAUGGAACUCUUGAUCUCGGCUUAACUAUCCAAGUAAUGUUUUUGUUAUCAUCUUUUAUAAGACACUAUUGUUGUUGAAGAAUGUAGAGAAUUAUAUAAAAACUUGUUUUUGCAAAUAGGCUCAAAAACAAGAGGAGUUACCAGAAAAGGUCUUAUGUUGUCUAAGAUUAAGCAAGAUUGACUUUGUUGACAACGGUCAAAUUCCGACACUUUUAAUUCCUGAAGAAGGAGAAUCUCUUGUUUGAAAACUCCCUUUGUGAUCUUCAAUAUUGGAUAAAGAAAUAACAAGAAAAAUCUGAAUUUUGUUUUGCCGAAUUUGUUGUGUAUUGUUUGCCAAUGUUGUAAUAAUGAUAUAUGUUCUUUCCGUUUAUAAUCAUGGAUUAGAACACCUUAAAGUCAUCUUCUUGAGUUUGUCCUUUGUUGCAACUUGUAGUCUUGUACACUCUCUUUUUAAUUCAGUUCUAUUCUUGCGUUUAUGUGUUGUAAACUUCCAAGUCUCUUUUGUAAUCUUAACUCAAGAAAAUAAUAUAAAACUUGUAGCUAACAAUUAUAUUUGAGGUCUAUUUUUAACGAGAUGUGUAUAAGGGUCAAAAAGGCAAGAAUAAAACUACCAGGGUAAUCCAAAAAAAUGAUAAAGUGUUGAUAAGGAUGUGUAUAUUAUUAGAGUCCAACAUUGGAAAUCGGCGAAAUUCUUUGGGCAAUAUAUAAGUGUGCGGCUAUCCUCCUCUUUUGAAAUAGUUUUUGUAUGUGAGUUAGGACCACACUAAUAUAUACUACAAGAAAACAAAGACCAGAAAAAUUGUUCGAAAAACGUUAGAAAUGAACGUUUCCGAGCGAUUUUCCGUGGAGGUAUUUUAUUUAACCGAAGAUUCUCUCUAUCUAUCAAAAUUCAAAGACAUGGUUUGUUCUAUAAAAUAAACUCUGGAUUAUGGAACAGAUUUGUAGUAUUUGAAAUUAAAUGUGGUGUUUCUCAGUUUUAUAUUUAGUUUUUUUUUUCCCUUCAUUUUCGAGGUUUUUAACCAUUUCAUUAUUUAAAAAAGCUCUACUGGCUCUAGUAAUAAUGAGAAUAUUCUUGAAAGAAAACAAAAUCUUAAACGAGGCAAAAAUGCCAUGCUUGUUAUAAACCAUAUGGAUGGACUCCAUAACCGGCCCAUGACCCAUUAGGGUUUUACCUUAUUCUCUGUAUCCUGCUAUUAUCCUUGUAUAUAUAACCUUUAUACUAUUAAUGAAAGACAUAGUUCACAACACGUUAUCAGCACGAUAGCCUCUUACCCUAAAAAAUUAAAAAAUCCCGAAACCCUAAAUCUCUCUCACAAAAACCAAAACCAAAACCCUAGUUGUCUCUGCAAACAAAAUUUUAAACUCUAUCGAGAUAAGUUUUCUGUUCAUAUUUGUUUCUGCACGAAUUUUGCACGGAUUAUAUGUUAUCAAUUUUGUCUGUAUUUCUGCAUGAAUUUUGCACAGAUGAUCUGUUGUCAAUUCUGUCUGUAGUUUUGCACGAAUUUUGCACGGAUUAUAUGUUAUCAAUUUUGUCUGUAUUUCUGCACGAAUUUUGCACAGAUUAUCUGUUGUCAAUUCUGUCUACAGAUUUGCACAAAUUUUGCACGGAUUAUUUAUUAUCAAUCCUGUCUAUAUUUUUGUACGAUUUAUGCACUGAUUAUAUGUUAUUGAUUCUGAACUGUUUUAUGCAGUAUAUUACAGAAACCCUAUUUUUCUUUUUACUAAUGUAAUAGCCAUGUUUCUAUGAGCAAAAUUUUGAGUUUCUCAGGAAUCAGGAUUAUAUAUAUUGAGAUUUUGUAGGAGGUCCCAACCAGCUAAGAGACAUAACUGUUUCCAAUCUCCGUAUCAGAUCUCGGGUCUCUGUUUCAGUUCUCCAAUUAAGAUAAGUGCUAUUUAUUUAUUAUGCUUUAUAUACAUGAUCCAAUUAAAGUUUGAUAAGAUAAAAAUUUGCAUGACAAUUGGCACAUGUGAUUUGAUUUAUGAUUGGAGAAUUAAUUGAGAAGUUAGUGAAUGGAAAGAUGUUUAAUGGCAUGAUAGAUUGAAUGUUUUAAUAUAAACCCUAGGUUAAACCGAAAGUAAACCGAAACCCUAAAUCAUAGGUUAAAUCGGUUUAAUAAACCCUAAGUCACGGUUUAAGAUCAAGCUUCCUAUAAAUGGAAAGUUUCCAGAAAUAGAAAGUUCCAUAUAUAGAAAGUUUCGUAAAAUAGCAAGUUUCCCAAAAAAAAAGGUUCCCUAAAAUAGCAAGUUUCCCAAAAUAGAAAGUUACCAAAAUAGGGAACCCCUUCAUUAGGAAAUAUUCCAAAACCCUAAAGUACACGUUUGUUUAGGAUUUCUUUCUAGAUGAGAAAUAGAAAGUUUCCAUAAAUGGAAAGUUCCAUAUAAGGAAAGAUUCCAUAAAUAGAAAGUUCCAUACAUAAAACCGAAAUCCUAGCAAAAAAAAAAAAAAACCCUAGUACUAUAAAUCGUGGAUGCUAAAACCCUAAAACUUAACCGCGAAAUUCUAAUAUCCUAAUCUAGUAUGAUCCGAUUGUUUGGUUGUUGCAUACUAGAUCAAUCUUCUAGGGUUGAUUUCAUCCAUAUAUAUAUAACAUGAUUGUUUAGAAAACACUUGCUGAAAACAAGCAUGGCUCGGUCUUAAAUACCGCAUGACUUGGUCUAACCGAUUACAUGAGUUCUCAUUUAACUCUAUAUAUUAUAGAUAUCAGAAAUCAACUAUUAUGAAUACACGGCACUUAAUGCCUCUGAUGACAAUUAUUUACAAUGGGCUUUGGACACUGAGAUUGUCCUAAAGGAAAAAGGGCUUGGUGAAUCUAUUAUGGAAGGAAACAAUGUCACCAGAAGAGAAAGAUAUAAGGCGAUUACUAACAUACGCCAUCACCUCAAUGAGAGUCUCAAAAUCAGUACCUCACUAUUAAGAAUCCUCUGGACCUCAGGACAGAGUUGAAAAAAAAAAAUCAAUAUAACCACCAAAGAACGGUGCUAUUAGCCAAAAGCCCGAUUCGAUCGGAAGAAUCUCAGAUUCCAGGAAUUCAAAUCCAUGAAUGAGUAUAACUCAGCACUAUUUAAAAUAGUGUCAAUACUGAGAUUCCGUAGUGAGGAAGUUACUGAGAAUGACUUGCUAGAGAAAGCAUUCUCGACCUUUCACACAAACAAUAUAUUGCCUCAGCAACAAUAUCGUGAAAAAGGUUUUUACCACAUAUGCGAGUCUAAAAUCUUGUUUUGCUACUUGCUGAGCAAAAUAAUGAGUUAUAAAUAGUGAAAUGAGACCUCCUGGUCCUACCCUAUUAUCAGAAGCCCAUUGGGCUGAAGAGCCUAAAGAGCCUAAAGAGACUAAAGAGUCUAACCACGUCCAAAGAGAUAAGUAUCAUGGCCACAGUCAUGGUAAAUGGAAUGAACAUGGUAGAAGUGGCAAUUAUAAUUUAUAUGAUCAAGGAAACCAUUCAUAUGGUUAAGGCCGCCAACCCGACUUUGGUCGUAAUCGAGGUAGAGGCCACGGUAUACCCAAACCACAAGACUCAGAUAAACUUGUUUGCCACUGAUGAGGAAUGGGGAAACCAUUGGACUAAGACGUGCAGGACACCUAAGCAUCUCGUUGAUCUCUAUCAAGAGAGUUUGAAAAGAAUCUAGAAGCUCAUUUAGUUCAUCACGAUGGUGAAGAAGAUUUCGACCAUGAGAUAGAUGACUAUGAGAAUUUAAUAAACAAAAAAUAUCUAAAGACAUGGUUCAUUAGCCAAAUUGCGGGUAUAGCUAAAUUUAGUGAAGGCCCAUGGCAGGCCCAUAUUCCCAAGGGCACACAUCCUCAGAUGCUUCAUAUUCACCCAGCCCAAAGGGGCUUGUUGAGUUUCAAAGAAAUGUGUUUGAAUGGUUUCCACAUUGAAACUAAGGGUGAAGGGAACAAAGGAUUCCCAUAUAUUACUAAGAGCACCCAAGACCAUGAGAAGGUCUUAGAGACUAUACCCGCGUCAUAGAAUUUUACUAUUUCAAGGUCAAUGUGAUAAAGGCUAAUAAAGUAAACAAAAGGGUUUACUGAGAAAUUCACUAAUGGCAUGACCGGCUUGGCCAGCCCGGUUCGAAUAUGAUGCGUAAAUUAAUUCAAAGUUCUAAAGGGCACACCCUUAAAGAAAACCGAGUUUUCCCUGAGCACCACACGUGCAUAGCCUGUUCACAAGGGAAGCUUAUCACUCGACCUUCACCAGUCAAAGUGUCUAAAGAGACCUUAUAUUUUCUGGAACGAAUUCAAGGAGACAUAUGUGGUCCGAUCCAUCCACCUUGUGGAACAUUUCGCUACUUCAUGGUUUUAAUCGAUGCAUCGACCCGCUGGUCGCAUGUUUGUCUUCUAGGAACCAAGCGUUUGUUAGGUUAUUGGCCCAAAUCAUCAGAUUGCGAGCCUAUUUUCCAGAUUUUCCUCUUAAGACCAUACGUUUAGAUAAUGCUGGUGAAUUCACUUCCCAAGCAUUUAAUGACUAUUGUAUGGCCAUGGGGGUAAGUGUGGAACAUCCUGUGGCACAUGUCCAUACACAGAACGGAUUAGCUGAAUCCCUCAUUAAACGAAUUCAACUAAUUGCUCGACCAUUACUCAUGAGGUCGCAGCUUCCGGUCUCAGCUUGGGGACAUGCAGUUUUAGACGCUGCUGAACUAAUAUGCAUUCGGCCAUCUAGUGAGCAUAGAUAUUCCCCAUCCCAAUUGCUAACGGGUCAUGAGCCAGACGUUUCCCAUCUAAAGACAUUUGGGUGUGUCACCUAUUUACCCAUAGCACCACCACAAAGAGCAAAUGAUGGGACCUCAAAAGGGGAUGGGAAUAUACGUUAAAAAAGAUUCUCCCACCAUCAUUAAGUAUCUCGAGCCAAAGGCCAGAUACAAGGAUUGUCAUCUCAAUGAAUCCGUUUUCCCAACACUGGGUGGAGAGACUAACAAGCUGGUCAAAGAACUUAUAUGGAAUCAAACAUCCUUCACAUGGCAAGAUCCUCGGACUCCAUCAGAGAUCCAAAAGACUAUAUAUCUACAAAAGCUAGCUAAAACAGUUGCCAAGAUUCCUAUAAUGACCCAAAGAGAGUAACAAAAUCGUACAUACCAGCUUGUAAUGCACCAGUACAUAUUGAUGUUCACAAGGAACACAAUCAAGUUGCUACAGAGGCUACAACACGUAAGAAACGUGGUAGACCCAAAAGGUUCCAAAGACAAGAACCCUCGAAAAUCAAAGAAAGGUGCAAGGGAAACCGAGAAGGUUCAAGAAACCAUAGACAUGGCCGGCUAAUAGACAUAACCCUAAGGUACCAAUCAAUGAGAUUUGGGACGCCAAACCUCAAGGUCCUGAAGGUGUAAAGAGAUCUCUAUAAACUAUAUCAUGUCUAGAAUACAAUAGAACCGAAAAGAUGUCGACAUCAAUGAUAAUAUAUUUGCGCAUAAGGUAGCAACUGAAAUGAAUGAGGAUCAGGAGCCCACGUCUAUACUAGAGUGCACUCAAAGACCUGAUUGAUUAAAAUGGUACAAGACCAUAAAACGUGGAGCUAAUAAUCAUUAAGAAGAAGAAUGUGUUUGGUCCAAUACGAAGGACACCAUUCAAUGUAAAGCCAGUGGGACAAAUGAGUCUUUGUGAUUAUGUGAAAUAAACAUAGUGAAAGCGUGAUAUAUCAGACACGGCUUGUCGCACAAGGAUUCACACAAAGACCAGAAAUAGAGGAGAUAUACUCCCCUGUGGUGGAUGCUAAGACAUUUAAAUUUUUGCUAAGUCUGGCUAUAUAAAAGAGAAAGAUUUGCGGCUAAUGGAUGUAAUGCCUGCAUAUUUAUAUAAGUCCACUGGAUAAUAUAUGAGAUUACCAGAGGGUAUUGAGCUCAAAGAUAAGAAAGAUUUUCGAGAACAGCACUGCAUAAGGCUGGACAAAUCCUUAUAUGGACUGAAACAAAGCGAACGUAUGUGGUAUAACCGGUUAAGCGAAUAUCUCAUCAGAGAAGGCUAUAAAAACGAUCCGAUCAGUCCAUGUAUUUUUAUCAAGAAGUUUGCAAACAAAGGAUUUGUAAUCAUAACAGUGUAUAUGAAUGAUUUAAACCUCUGGGUAAUUGCCCAAACAGUUGAGUAUAUCUAAAGAAAGAAUCUCAAAUGAAAGACCUAGGCAAUAAUUAAGUUCUGUUUGGGAUUACAACCUGAGUACGUGAAUAAUGGAAUCCUUGUGCAUCAAAUGGCAUACACUGAAAGAGUACUCAAGGAAAUUUAAUAAGGACCAGGCCCGCCCAUUGACCAUGCCCAAUGGUGGUGAGAAGCCUCAAAUUGGAUAGUGAUCCAUUCAGUCCGGAAAUGCCAUACCUCAGUGUCAUAGGAGUUCUAAUGAAUUUGGCUAGACACACUAGACCAAACAUUUGUUUUGCCGUGAGUCUCCUGUCUAAAUUUAGUUCAUGAUCAACCCAAAGGCACUGGAAAGGUUUAAAGGAAGGUUUGAUUAAGUUUUAAAGUCUAUUCUUCCUGCGUUGUUUACUUGGGUUUAUUCUAUACUGAUCUAACCAAAGAAGGUCCAGUUUGCUUUAGUUUAGUUUGAUUUACUAAUGCAGGAUAUUCAUAAGAUCAGAUUAUGGUAUGGUCAAUGAAUAGGAACUAUGUGUGGCUUGAUCCCUUCCAAGGGUACGUAGGCAGCCUUCCUUAAGGCGUAUCUACUACUACAUCAAAGACCAUCAUAUUUGAAGACAAUGCAUCCUGUAUUGCUCAACUCAAGGAUGGCUACACUAAGAGGGAUCAAACGAAGCACAUUUUGCCAAAGUUCUUCUUCACUCAUGAAUUACAGAAGGACGGUCAGGUCAAAGUUCAACAGAUCCGGUCAAGUGAGAAUUCAGCCGACCUAUUCACCAAAUCAUUGCCGACUUCAACGUUCCGGAAGCUCAUUCAUCAGAUCGGGAUGCGCGGAUUUAAGGAUCUACAGUGAUGCUCAAAUCAGGGGGAGUAAUGCGUGUUGUACUCUUUUUCCUUCACCAUAGUUUUGUCCCACUGGGUUUUCCUGGUAAGGUUUUAAUGAGGCAACAUUCCCCAGCGCAUUAUAGAAAUCUCGGUUUAGUAUCGGGCACGGUUAUGUCUUCCAAGGGGGAGUGUUAUAAACCAUAUGGAUGGACUCCAUAACCGGCCCAUGACCCAUUAGGGUUUUACCUUAUUCUCUAUAUCCUGCUAUUAUCCUUGUAUAUAUAUCCUUUAUACUAUUAAUGAAAGACAUAGUUCACAACAAUGCUCUAUUUUUUUUUUUUUUAGAUUCCUCUAAAAAUGAAAAACUUUUUGUUACAAUAUUUUCCCCUAUUAUACAUCAGAAAACGAAGAGGACUCAGAAACAAUUUUGGUAAAAAUGGGAUUUACUUAUUUUUAGUAAUGUUUCUUCUUCUUUUUCCCUCUUUUGUCUAACAACGAUGAAAAAAAGUGGACUUUUGUCUUUCUCGGUAGUUUGCCUUCCCGGUUUAUCUGUCAUCUUGUUCUACAAAACAAAACAAAAACAAAGCUGGUUUAGUGUGUAUCAAAACUAAAAUCAUGUUAUUUCCGGUUUAAUCACUGGUUAUUUCCGGUUUACCCCUCUGAAAAUGGGAUUUUCUGACAGCUUGCCGGAUAUUACUUUCAUUCCUUUGCAAAAUCUCAUCAAUCUUUCCUGAUUUAAAAAUCAACGGUCCUGAUAUGCUCUGUUUUCCAAAUUGCAGAUGCUCCUAAAAACACCAAACAAUCACAAACAUUUAACUUCAAAUAAUUCUAAAAAUGUAUAUAUAUCUCAAAUGAAUUUCAAAGUUGAUAAAGAUUCUAACAAAAACAAGAGCACUUACUAAAUUUUUCUUUGGAGAAUCCUCCUCUCUUUGGCCGAAAUCCAAACCAGAACCAUCAAGUGAUCCGUGCCGUUCCCCAAUACGGCUAAGCUUACUCUCACUAGGAACCUCUUCGAUACCAUCAUCAUAGUUGUCUCCCUGAACCUCCCAAACUGAGUCACUAUCUGGUUUCAGGUUCAAACCAAAAGUGUUCUUUGCAAAUGCAACACUUGUUCCACUCAAUUGACUCUUUGAGCUGGGUUGAUAGUAGGUAAGAGUGGAGAUAUUAUCAGGAUCUUUUCGUCUUUUCACUGCCCACGCAAAACCGCUGGCCGGUCCUGUGGUCAUUGGGAGGUCAGAUACUUUGUAGUAGUUUCCAUGUGUUGUUGUAGUAGCUCGAGAUGCCUCAUUUGGUAUGUUCUUAACCUCAAGCGUGUCCUGCACGUUAAAACUUUACUUGAGACUCAAGAAAUAAAGGUGAAAGAGGAUUUUCCGAGAUAGAGAGAAAGAGGGACCUGUCUUAUUGGUAACUUAGCGUAAUUCUUUGGAUCGUAUUCUGCUCUAUGUGGUCUCUUGUGUUUCCUGCCAACUCCUGAAUCUCGCAACUUGAGGUUUGCUCUUUUCCUGUAUGAGAAUAUGAAUUAACAGUUUUGACUUUUGAGACAUAAAAUGGAUAUGUACAAAGUAAAGAAAAGAAUUCUAACCUGCGCAUAUCGUCACGAUAUUUAGCAUCCAUUUCUUUGUUUGGUGGAUAUUUUGGCAAUGAAGAAGGAUCACACGCGUAAGGCCUCGUCAAGAAAUACUAAGUCCACAUUGAGAAGAAUUCAGAAAAAAAAAAUCUGAGAGUUGAAAGAAAAGGAGGAAUGAAAUUGAAUUUUUUUGCUUCACCUCGGAGUUAAGUGCAGAUGAAGCAGUGCCACGCUUGUCAGGUUCCAUUGAGAGUAAAGUUUCUAAUAGAUAAACACCAGUUGUUGAUAACUCUUUGCAUCGUUCUCUGAGAGUGGCUUCAUAAGUAUGUUGAGGUUUGAAGGAAGUUGCGUGAGGAAGCUUAGUUCUUUUCCAGAAGCUAUCUGGUGGAGAUCCACAUAGCUUGUAGAUCUUAUGCAAUUGUUCAAUCUACGAAAACCAAAAACAAAAAAUGAAAAGAAAAAACAGUGAAGCUUAAAGGAAAGACAUCAAGAUACAAGUUAUGUAAAUAUGAAUAUAUUAUCGAUAAAAUUUGUUGAAAUGAUAGGAAAUAUCUUAUAAAAUCAAUUAGAAAACUCUUAAUUUUUUACAAACUAAGAUAUAAAACCUGAAAAUAUGAAUUUUGAAAUGAAUAUAAUUUUGAAAAAUAUAUAUAUUUGAAGGUUUUUUCAAAAGUAUUUAUGCCGGAUCGAAUAUCAUGAUUCUAGCGGAGAUCCGAACACCGGAUAUUUCAAAAUAAAAUCAGCUCUGUGCCCAUUUCUAAAUCAAUUUUUGUUUUUACCUCGGUUCUGCCUUUUAGGAUUGGUUUUCCCAUGAGAAUCUCAGCAAAAACACAUCCCACACUCCAUAAAUCUACUGAUACUCCAUAACUAGUGGAUCCCAUAAGAAGCUCAGGAGCUCGGUACCACAAAGUCACUACACGGCUCGUCAAUUGAUUUUUGUUCGUAGGUGUAACCACAUUUGCUAGCCCAAAGUCUCCAAGCUUUAAAACUCCUUUGUUAUUCACCAAAAUAUUGGAGGCCUUAAUGUCUCUAUGUAUUACUCCUCGCAUAUGACAAUGCUCAAGUCCCCAAAGUAGUUGCUUCAUGUAACAUUUGAUCUUGUAUGACAUGAAUCAAAAAGAAAGAAAGAAUAUCAAAAACUCUAUCCAAUGUCACAAAGAAAUAGACACGAAUUUCGCAGUUUGUACCUGUGGUUCGGUGAAUCUGAUGUCGGGAUUAGAAGAUAAACCGGCAAGGUCAUGUUCCAUAUACUCAAAAACAAGGUAAAUGCUGCUGGAUGCUCGAGAUGUAACUAUACCCUCAAGUUUCAUGAUGUUUGGAUGGUUGAGUUUCCGCAAUAUCAAAAUCUCUCUUGCCAUAAACCUAAUGCUCUCUGGUUGAAGAUUAUCAAACUUUACCUUCUUCAAUGCCACCAUUUUCCCGGUUUCUACUUCUCGUGCUCGAAACACGCUACUAUAUGUUCCUUGUCCAAUCUAACAUCCAAAUAAAUUCAUCAACACAAAAACAAAACAAAAAAUAUCCUUUCGUUUGUGUAACUUCCUUGACAAGAAACAAUAUGUUUACCUUCUCCAACUUCUGAAACGCCUCUGCCUUUAAAGGAACCCAACCAUGGACAGCCUCAGCCGCAGCUGAACAAAGCCAAGCCGGCCAACCAGCAGCGGCUUGCUCAGCCUCUAUAUUCCUAUGAGACAAUCCAAGACUCACACCAAUCCUCAAAUCAGAACCGCCCAAUCUCCUUGAUUUCCUUGAACGCUUGCUAUUGUGACUUGCCUCCAAAGAAUGAUCAAUAAGAACUCGAUGUUGCUGGCUCGUGGAGAUCAAGCCAGGUUCGGGGACCGGUGACUCACCCUGGUCCGUUAAACAUGAGACAUUCUUGGAGCUGAUGCAACCCAUUUGUUAUAGAAAAAAAUUGUUUCCGGAUUUGGAAACGGGUCUAAUAUGGGGGAAUUAGCCCCACAUUAGGCCAAAAGAUUAAAUGGGAUUGCAGACAAAAGACACAAAGAAGACGAUGAUGAAAAAAAAGGAGGGAAAGAGUAAACCAAAAAAAAAGAUCACAUGACAAAAUUAUUAAAAGUAAAAGGAGACAUUUUUUUUCUGUCUGUUGAAUCUUCUUGUGAAAGAGAGGUAAGGGAAGCUGCAAAACACAACCGCAAAAACAGCAAGAGAGAGAAUCAUGGGACCAAAAUUGGGUAAUAAUCUUUUUUUCUUGUGUUUGCAAAAAAGAGAGAGAGAAAGAAAAAGACAUAUUUAGCUUUGUCACCUGUCUAACAGAGAAAUAGAGAAGACCUAACCGACAAGUUAAAAAGCUAAGAAACAAUUAAGGUGGAUUAGUUAGUUAAUCUAUCCCAAGUUGUUCAGAUGUCAUAACAAAAUCAUAGUUCUCACAAAGACCUAAUAAUAUCUUCCAUAUAUGUCACAACAAGAGCUCUCAAAAGGUAUAUAUACUUACCAGGAGGUGGGGUUUAAAACUAAAGCUUAUUAAAGUUGUACAAUGAUAAUUGUUAGUCAGGUGCAUUGCUUUAAAGGGUCUUCUUCUGUCAAAAGGAUACUUUAAUUUAUACACACAAAGUAAAUUUCACAUAAUAUACCUUAUAGGAGAAGAAACCAUUUGAUAGUUUAUAUCUAUAAAUCGAUAUCAUGAUUCACCACCCCACAUAAACAUUUCUGACAGUAGUACAAAAACAUACUUGAUUGAAACUAUUUGCACUCAUUGGUUGUAAUGUCUUCUCACAUAGUGGUUUGUUAAACCAAACAUUGUUUAUACUUUUCCGGCUUAAUCUUGCUUUAACAACGUCUCUAAUAUUUCAGCAGUUAGAUAACCUCAACAAAUUCUCAUAUGGAUCAUAUGCAACAAAGUCCCGUUACCACCAAAUCUCUGAAUUAUAAAAAAACAAAAGCAUAAACUCUCAACAACUAUGAACAAAGAAUAAAAAAAAUAGUAGCACCUACUUGAUUGAUUAAUCAACAAAAUAUACAUAAUCGAAGUUAGGGUAUCUCAUCAAACACGAAAUGAACCAAAUUAUCUUUUGAAUGUGUUACUUUACGCGGAAUCCUUAGGCAUCAAAGAAGUUCCAUAGAGUUCAAGAAACUGGUUUGUGGAAAGCAAGCAAGUGAGCAAUGAUCAGAAACAAAUGCUAGGAGCAUCAGUGAGAACUUUUUUUUGGUAACAUGCUAAAUUUUAAACCAUUUUUGAGAUUCUUUACAGAAUACGGAGAUGCAACGAAGAGAUACAGAAGACCGAAAUCUACUAAAUAAACAACAAUACGAAAUGGGGCCACACAACGAAAAGAGUAAGCUUUGACGGAAGAAGACAUGAAAAAGCCAUCGAUCCGAGGCCAGCCCUCAAUAUCUCAAAUCAAGUGGUGCUUAAUUCCUAGCAAACUUCCAAUUGGAGAGAAAGAGAGAACUUGGUUAAACAAGUUUUCCAUUUUCUAGUUACACUACGUGCCGUUUCUUUGUCUAUUUCUAAAUUUUAGACAGCGUGUAGUUUUAGUAAUAUCAGUACAAACUACAAAGUGCGUGAAGUCAAGUUUUAUUCUUGAACUAGGAUCGGAUCCGCGGUCCACCGCGGGAGAAUAUUGGUUUACAUAUGUUGCGUUUAAUAUUGUGUGUGUUUUUUAGUAGAACGAAUCGUGUAGUAUACUUAUAAAUAUUCAUAAUAACGAAUUGUAGAGAAAAUGUAAAAUUGUUUAUAAAUAUACCUAUCGUAAUAAUUAUGAUUUACAAAAUAGAAUUUUGUGUUUUAAAAUUCUAAAAUUAGACGAUUCAUGGGAAUUAGAGCAGUCAAAAUAGGUCAAAAACCGCGGGUCCAGUCCACAUCAUCUCACUAUAGGGCAGAUUUGGGAAAAUAUAUUAAACCCGCAAAUAAGCGGGCCACAUGGAUUAAUUCGCAGUGGGUCAUAGGUAUAAUCGGUUUUCAUCCGCGGGUUGGCGGAUCAGUCCGCAUAUUAGUAUUUAUUGAUAAAAUUAUAAUUUAUUCAAUAUGUGGUAAUAAACAAACUUUUAAUAGUAUUUUGAUUUAUUUAUUUAUUUUAGUAAUAUUUUAAAUUUUGGUUACUUUAAAAUUAUUUAAACAAAAUCCAUGGACAAUCUCGCAAAUCCGCAUAUAUUCGCGGGACGUGUUUGUAUUUCAUAUAUGCUACCCGCGGGUCGUGCGGACCGACUAACUACAAGUCAAAAUAUUUUUUGUCUAUCGCAAAACGGACUUAACGGGAUGAAUCAACUCGCUUUGACAGUUCUAAUGGGAAUAUUAUUUAGUCAUACAACAAAAUGAAGUUUGGACAUAGUAAUAAUAGAAUAUGUAUCUUAUUUGUUAGAUGAGAGAUUGAAAGAUGAAGUAUAAUGAUUAAAAAUUAAUUAUUAUUUUUCAUGAUUCACAAAAUUUAAUAAAUACUUAACAUCUUGUUGAAUAAUUCUAAAAUCAUAUUCAAGAAAUCUUUAUAAAUUGAAAAUUAAACUUCUUUGGUAAGCUAUAGGUAUGAAAAUAUCAUAAUUUUGAUUUAAUCUAACUAAAUUAAAAUUAGUUACAUGGAUUUCAAAUCUAUUUAAUUUACACGACCAAAAUAAAAAUAUCUAUUUAAUUUACACGACCAAAAUAAAAAUAUCAAUUUAAUUUAUAAAACAGAUGGGUUAUUUGUGAUAAAUUUUCUAGAAAUCUUUAAAAGCAAGUAAAAUAUCUUUCAAUUAAUGAUAAUUGGCUAAAAUGAGCGAAAUUAAUGACAAAAACGUUGAUUGUUAUGGAAUUAGUCCCAAAAAUAUAUGAACAAAUUUAUUAUACGUAAUUUAUGUUUUUUAUUGUUUGGAAUAUGCUUUUAUUAUUAGUUACCAUAAGUACAAUCAGAUUUUAUUUGAUUUCCAUAAAUAUUUGAUUUUAUUUCGAUUUUUCAUUAUUAAUUCGAAUUUAUAUUCCAAAAAAAUUUCAAAUAUCCGAUUUCAGAAUUUCGGGUCAAUUUUCUGAUUUUAACCCGACCCAUUUUCAUUUGUACUUCUCUUUUAAUAGUAUAGAGAUUCAAGAAAUCUUUAUAAAUUGAAAAUUAAACUUCUUUGGUAAGCUAUAGGUAUGAAAAUAUCAUAAUUUCGAUUUAAUCAAAUUAAAUUAAAAUUAGUUACAUGGAUUUCAUAUCUAUUUAAUUUACACGACCAAAAUAAAAAUAUCUAUUUAAUUUACACGACCAAAAUAAAAAUAUCAAUUUAAUUUAUAAAACAGAUGGGUUAUUUGUGAUAAAUUUUCUAGAAAUCUUUAGAAGCAAGUAAUAUAUCUUUUAAUUAAUGAUAAUUGGCUAAAAUGAGCGAAAUUAAUGACAAAAACGUUGAUUGUUAUGGAAUUAGUCCCAAAAAUAUAUGAACAAAUUUAUUAUACGUAAUUAAUGUUUAAUAUUGUUUGGAAUAUGCUUUUAUUAUUAGUUACCAUAAGUACAAUUAGAAUUUAUUUGAUUUCCAUAAAUAUUUGAUUUUAUUUCGAUUUUUCAUUAUUAAUUCGAAUUUAUAUUCCAAAAAAUUUUCAAAGAUCCGAUUUCAGAAUUUCGGGUCAAUUUUCUGAUUUUAACCCGACUCAUUUUUAUUUGUACUAGUAUAGACUAUAGAGAUGAAUUGAGAAUUGUGUCACAUAUGCGUAUGACACAUGCCAAUCAAAUUAUUAUAUGAUUGGUAAAAAAAUGAUUUAUUACUUAAGAAUAAAAUUUCAGAAUGACGUGUAACGUCGUCGUUGUCGGUAGACACAAAGCUCCAUAAUAAGACUUGACUAUUAUUAUUAUCUUCGAAAUAUCUCUCACAAACCCAAAAAGUUUCUCCGUCUUCGAUUCCGAUCACAAUGAACCCAACCCAAAAACCCGACCCGGUUUACGAUAUCGUCAUACUCGGAGCAUCCGGAUAUACCGGCAAAUACGUCGUCAGAGAAGCUCUCAAGUUCCUUCAAACACCAUCUUCUCCGUUAAAGUCUCUAGCUUUAGCGGGUCGUAACCCGACCCGUUUAACCCAAUCUCUCGAAUGGGCUGCCCGCCCGAACCCACCUCCUUCCUCUGUCGCUAUCCUCACUGCUGAUACAUCUGACCCUGAUUCACUUCGUCGUCUCUGUACUCAAACCAAACUCAUCCUUAAUUGUGUUGGACCUUUUCGUAUCCAUGGUGAUCCUGUUGUCUCUGCUUGUGCUGAUUCAGGGUAAAGUGUGAAUCUUUUCCUCUGUUUUCUUAAUUGUGUUUUAGUUAAAGUUGAUGCCUUUUUGAAGUUUGAGAACUCGUGAUUGUUAACAUUUGAGCUUUGUUUCAAUGAUACUUAAAAAGAUCAAAUUUUUAUUGAGUUCUUGACAAAUGAUAGCUUAUAAGAAUGGUUAAAAGUUGUAGCUAGAAAAAGUGUAAUCUUUUCUAGUUUCAUAUGAUUGCUGCUACAUGGUUCUUUAUAGGGACAAAAAUUGUAGCUUGAUGAAAAAUGUGUAAUCUUGUUAAGUUGGUUUUUUUGUAGGUGUGAUUAUUUGGAUAUAAGUGGUGAACCUGAGUUCAUGGAGAGAAUGGAAGCUAACUACCAUGAAAGAGCAGAAGAGACUGGCUCUUUAAUUGUUUCUGCUUGUGGUUUUGAUUCAAUUCCUGCUGAAUUGGGUCUUCUCUUCAAUGCUAAACAAUGGGUAUCUCCAUCGGUUCCUAACCAGAUCGAAGCGUACCUUAGCUUGGAGUCUGACAAAAAAAUUGCUGGAAACUUUGGGACUUAUGAGUCUGCGGUUUUAGGUGUUGCUAAUGCGGAGAAGCUUAAAGAACUAAGACGUUCAAGACCAAGAAGGCCAAGACCAUCGGUAAGUAAUGCAUUUAACAUAAUGUGACAUUGAAACAAUUCUGCUUGAGAUUGAGAUAGCGUUGACUAAAUUGUCGAUUUUGUACAUUCUUCGUUAGUAGGCUUUGGCUUAUAUUGAACUCUGGAAUGUAUUUGCAGAUUUGUGGUCCUCCUGCUAAAGGACCAACACUAGAAAACCAGAAGACGAUAGGUCUUUGGGCUUUAAAGCUACCUUCAGCUGAUGCAGUAGUUGUUCGUAGAACUCUCACAACUCUAACAGAGAAACCCCAUGGGCUUCCUGGGCUUAAUGAAAGUCCUGAGCAGAUACAAAAGAGAGAAGCAUUUUGGUCAUCGAUCAAGCCUGCUCAUUUCGGUGUAAAGAUAACGUCCAAAUCUCUCUUUGGGAUAUUCCGAUAUGUUACACUUGGAGUGUCCCUUGGUUUACUUUCCAAGUUCUCCUUCGGAAGAUGGCUUCUUUUGAAAUUCCCUUCGGUUUUUAGCCUUGGUUGGUUCCAGAAGAAAGGUCCAAGUGAAGAAGAGGUAGAAAGCGCUACGUUUAAGAUGUGGUUCAUAGGUCGUGGGUACAGCGAAGAGAGUCUAGCUUCACAAGGAGAAACAAAGCCUGACCUGGAAAUUAUUACAAGAAUUUCAGGACCUGAGAUUGGGUAUAUAACCACCCCAAUAACACUUGUUCAAUGCGGUCUGAUAGUCUUGGGCCAGCGCGAAAGCCUAGUUAAAGGAGGAGUCUUCACACCCGGCAUUGUGUUUGGUUCAACCGAUAUCCAGCAGCGACUUGAAGAGAAUGGUAUAUCCUUUGAGGUGAUUUCAAAGAUCAAGACUCAAGGAUAAAAAGAGAUCUCUUCUCCUGCUUUCCUAUUCUGCUUUUAGUUGUUAUGUUUCUCCAUCUAAUUAGCUCGAGUUCGAGCUUUUUAAUCACAGUGAAGACCGUUUGAUGGUAAGUUGUAUUCCAAUAAUGAAAAACCGUUUCCUUUACUUUUACUAUGGAUUUAUGUACUCAAAACAGAGAAUCUGGUUCUUAAAACUGGAAACAGACCAUCCUAGUGAAAAAAUGGAUGGUAAGAGAAUCCCAUAAAUCAUAUUACUGUCUAUCAUUUACCAAAACUGCAAUCCCUGCUACAAAAUAAAACAUUGUUCAAAAAGUGGUUCUUUUGCUGAUAUUGUUUGAUACUUUCCCAUUAGCCUCUGCAUUUGUACAUGGAAACUCUGUUUUCAGCCAUUGAAGUGUUUUGCAGAUAUCAGCAGAGCUAUUCAAGCCUCCUUUGUGGCUGAGUGAUGAAACAGAACCGUUUAAAAACUCAAUUGUUGAAUCCAGUGAGCUGAAAAUGAGGCCUUAAGAGAGAGAAAGGUCAUCGCGGGAAAGAAACUUUCCGAAUUUUGAACAAGCUGGGCCAAAGAGUAACUCCAAGCUAAAAUCAGGACCAGAUAUCGAUCUUCCGUUACCACCAACUUUAUCUAGCUCUCCUAUGGAAAACUGCAGGAGCAAGAAAUGGCCAUAAAUAAGAAUGCCAAGAGAGAACAAUGGCUUUGAGGCAUCUGGAGAAUUUUACCUGAAGUAAGCCAUUGGUUAUAAAAGCUGUGUUGAAGCAAGUAUAAAAAAGACGGCUUCCAAUCAUUUUCUGGUAGAAUGUGAUGCGUAUGUCUCCACUCACCUGUCCAAGAAUCAUAUGCUUAUCAACAUAUUAUCAAAAACAUUGUCUGGAAGAAGAUUUGUUUUGUGACUUACUCUCACAGGUUUGUCAAAGUAGAAAUCAAGACAUGUUUUCUCGUCGAUAAUUGAACUCUCUGUAUCCAUUUGAACAACAAGACGUGGCUCUUCUCCAUCUGUUACUUCCUCAUCUUCUUCUGAAUCACAGUUCACAUGAGAUAUAUAAUACCGUGGACUCGAGCUUCUACAAUACCCUUUCUUGAAUUGUCUACAACAACCUCUUGCAAGUUCUACAGACGGUCGAUACAUCUCAUUUGGAACCUAACAUCAUAAAUAUCAUUGCAUCAAAGUUUAUAUAUUAAGAAGCAACAGAGUCUGCAAUGCAUCAAAGUGUAUAUAUCAUUACCUCCUGAAGUUCCGAGACCACAAAGAAGACGGAAUCAACGUUGGCUGUAUCGUAAAGUCUAAUUCGAAGCAACUCUCUGCUAUGUUCUUGAGGUAAUUUAACCUCGGGAGGUCCCCUUUUACGAAACGAAAGUAAAUCUGACCAGUAUUUCACAUAACGACGUUGGCUUGGUAUUGAGACCUGUCAUGGUAUUGUUUAUUAGAUUGAUUCUCUAUUAAUCCGUAGCUAAAUUAAGUACUUACUCCAUUAUUGUUUGUUGUUCUUCUGCUUGCAUACAUCUCAAGAGCUUCUUCAGCUGACAUUCCACCAUAAACAAGGUACGCCGAUACCAUUAACCCUGUUCUGCCUUUUCCUGCCUGCACAAAGUACAUUAGAAUAUGAAAAUGCAACAAUGUGGAAGAAACCGUGUUGUGGUUUUAAGAAAGUACCAUGCAAUGAACAACCGCGAUGUUCUUGGGAUCUAGUGAGAGCCAAGAAUGAACACUUUCGCAGAAAAGUUGGAUCAUUUUGAGAGAUGGAACAUGAUUGUCAUCAAACGGAAAUCGUUCCACGCGGCCAUAGAAGUUUUCUGGAUCAUAAGAUUCCUCUAUACAUAGAUUAUAGACCUAGGAAAGAAUUGCAGGACCAAAAAAUGUUUAGAGAGAUUGGUUAAUUUGUUGAUCAAUGUUUGAUUAACCAUAUGUCUUAUAGACCUUGUAAUGAUCAGGAUGUCGCAUAUCGAGCACGGAUUUGACUUGCCAAAGAGGGUUUCUAUAAACUGCUCUCAUUCGUUCAGCUGGAAAAGACAUUGCCAAUAAUUUGUCAGAGAUGUAAGACAUGUCGAGAUCAUAUCCACCGAUGAUUAACCGUCUUCGUUUCUUGGACACCAAGCUACGUAGGUAAGAACUUGUGCUAAGGUAAGUUAGAAUGUGAACCCUCGUAAAUUCCAAAGUUGAUUUUUCUUUUACAGGCCCUCUUGAGAGCUUGAGACCCAUUCUGAAGGAAAGAAACAUAUCAUUAGGUUAGGUAACGUACUUCGCAAGAAAAACAAUAUGAUCAAAAGGUUUAUACCUGAAGAAUUGAACAUGAAGUUGAGGAAGAGAUAUUCAGGUUCCCAAAUUGAGGGAAUUGGGAACCCGAGAAAGAAGAAGAUGUCGCGAGGUAAUACAAAACGAAAAACUUCAACUUUUUGGAGGAAAUGGGUUUUGUUACCUGAAUAGAGAUAAUGGUCAUUCAUAGAAGAAAACGAUGAACAACGAUGCAAUUCCAUUUUUGGAGCUCCUGAAAUUUAGCCAAGCUUCCCUUUAAAUUUAGGUUUUUCUUUCUACUCUUAUAUUCUCUUUCUACAUUUAACGGUUAGUUUUGGCGGGAAUGUAUAAGGGUAUAUAUAUAAGAAGAGUGAUCAUUUUGAUUCUUCAAUUUCUCAAGCUUCCAGCUUUCGUUUCGUAAAGAUUCCAUUAGUAUGAAGAAAAUUAUAUAUAUAUAUAUAUAUAUAUCUAUGGCUUGAGUACAUUCAUGUUCGGUCGGUUCCAUUCGGUUCAGGGUAGUUUGGUUAGGGAUUCUAAGAUUCAUGCGGGUAUUAUGAUGAGAAUGACUGAAGCAGUACAAGAAUUAAUCUCAACCAAAUCUAAGUUCUCCUCAUGAAUGGAUAUUUAACGCGAAGAUGCAUACAAUCUAGACUAUGAUGAUGAUAUCAUAUAUAGUCACCUUCUCAACUACUUAUGGGGACACAUUGAAUGUGUCUUUACUUCGUGCUUCAUGGUUACAUAGAGACUACUCUGUUGCAAGAAUGAUAAUCUUACUUAUGAUGUUAAUAAUUUUUCAUGGGCGCAUAAACGGGUUGUUGUGAAAUUUCCUUUUCUUUCGGUUCAAGUUUUGUGAUUGCUUCAAGUUUGGUCCCAAAUGAGAUUCAGUGGUUCUAAUCUAUUUCUAUACCAAGAUGUGUGUGUAUCUAUCUUGCUUCAAUGAUUUGUCCACUUAGAUAUAAUGAUUAAAGUGGCCAAAGUUUUAGCCUUUUUCCCCACCACAGAAGAAAGGUAAGAGUGAAAAAGCUUCUUUAGUGUUUCUUUCAAGUUCAUCCACUUUACAUGCAUUCAUAUAUGCUUAUGUAUUCACUUGUUCACCAAAAUAUGCAAAUCUAUCCGUCUAAACCAUAACCAUUUGGACCUUUUAACACAAUAAUUGUUUUUUUUGAAUUUGAUAAGCAAGGUUAUAACAAUCUAGAAAAGAUACAAAUAAAAUUAUUUAAGAUAAAAACCCCUAAACGUAAUCUCAAAGAAUAAAACAUACAAAGUAGAUUAAUUUAAGGGACUGUAAAACUUUUAGUCAGAUAUUUUUUUCUCCUAAUUUUAAGUUUGUUUGUUUUGCCUUUUUAAAUAUACUAUUUAGAAUUUCAAAAUUACGGAUAACAUCUUGCUAACUCAGGAAAUGUUUCAUGGCUUACGGACUAAUAGAAUGUGUAGAACGGAUUUUUUGGCAAUCAAGACGGAUAUGAGCAAAGCGUAUGAUAGGAUAGAAUGGGAUUUUUUAGAGGCGGUCAUGACUAGGUUGGGUUUUAAUUCUGCGUGGGUUUCUUGGAUUAUGUGGAGUGUUAGUUCAGUCUCGUAUCAGGUUUUAUUGAAUGGAGAACCUAGAGGAAAUAUCAUUCCCAAUAGAGGUUUACGGCAAGGUGAUCCCCUAUCGCCUUAUUUGUUUAUCUUAUGUACGGAGGUACUGAUUGCAAAUAUUAACAAGGCGGAAAAGGAGAAGAAGCUCACCGGAAUUAAGAUAGCGAAAAGAAGCCCUGCAAUUUCACAUUUGCUUUUUGCGGAUGAUAGUCUCUUUUUCUGUAAAGCAGAUUCAGAGCAAUGUAAAACGGUGAUGGAUAUUAUUGGGAAUUAUGGUAAAGCUUCAGGGCAAGAGAUAAAUUUUAGUAAAUCAUCGGUUAUGUUUGGUAAGCGCGUAGCAAACCAAAAAAAAGAUCAACUUAAAAACAUCCUUGGAAUCACUAAGGAAGGUGGCAUGGGUACCUAUUUGGGUAUUCCAGAGAGCUUAGGAGGCUCGAAAAGUAAAAUCUUUAAUUAUGUCCGAGAAAGACUUAAUGAACGGAUUAAUGGCUGGUCAGCUAAAUUUUUGUCAAAAGGUGGGAAAGAAACAAUGAUCAAGUCAGUGGCUUUGGCACUCCCAACCUAUGUUAUGUCUUGUUUUAAACUCCCUCAAGAGUUAACAUCUAAGUUAACAAGUGCUAUUUCUAAUUAUUGGUGGAGCUCUAAUGGAAGAGAUCGUGGGAUCCACUGGAUAGCAUGGGAGAAAAUGUGUAAGGACAAGGAGGAAGGAGGUCUAGGCUUUCAUUCCCUCGAUACUUUUAAUGAUGCCAUGUUGGCCAAACAGAAUUGGCGCUUAAUCCAAUACCCGAACUCUUUAGUAGCUCGGGUGUUAAAAGGUAGAUAUUUCAGGAAUAUUCAUCCUUUACAUGCAAAAAAACCAAACUCUCCAUCGUUUGGAUGGAAGAGUAUUUUUUCGACUAAAAGACUAGUUACGAUGGGAGCUAGAUGGUCAAUAGGUUCAGGUUUCAACCUAUCGGUAUGGCGAGAUCCUUGGAUUCCUGAUAUUAAUCCACGGCCCGCGAAUGGGAGAGGAAAAUCAUUGCUUCCAAGUUUGAUGGUUAACCAUUUAAUUAAUCCGGAUUCUAAAAAAUGGCACCUUCCCAUUUUACAGGAAUAUUUGGACCCAGUGGAUAUUCAGUUUAUUAGAGGACUGACUAUUAGUCAAGUUUAUAAGCCAGAUAGGCUUAUUUGGCAUCAUACAAAAUCAGGAAGAUAUACAGUAAGGUCAGGCUAUCAGGUUGCUCGAGAGAUGACAGAACCGAUCGAAUGGGGCCCAAGUUAUAAAUCAUUAUAAGCACAAGCUUGGAAAAUCAAAUGCCCUCCAAAAAUAAAACAUUUCUUAUGGCAAAUUGCUUCAGGAGCCUUAGCAGUUACUUCAAAAUUAACACAUAGAGGGAUUCAAUGUGAUAUUAUCUGUAAAAAGUGUGAGUUGGCAGAGGAAACAAUAAAUCAUGCUUUAUUUUAGUGCUCACAUUCUCAGAACAUAUGGGAGUUAUCAACAAUCCCUACGGCAUCAGGUAGUUUUCCUCUAAGCUCGGAACUUUUAAACCUAGAUUAUCUUUAUUGGAGGCUACCAUCUAUGUUAGAUGGGGGGGGGGGGGGAGAAAACCGACCUUUAUGCUUGGAUCUUGUGGUUCAUAUGGAAAGAUAGGAAUAAAAAGGUUUUCAAGGGAUUAUAAUCGGAUCCCACAGAUAUCUUAAAUCACGCUUUAAGUGAAAAAUCAUUGUGGGAAGAAGCUCAGUUAGAACCGAUCGAAACUAGUCCCAUUACAGAAACUAUGGAAAGCCCAGUUCAGACAAUAAGAUGUCGGAUUGAUGGCUCUUGGAAAAAUUCGGACCCAACUAUGGGUAUAGGAUGGUGGUGUUUUCAAGGAACUGAACAAACGAUACUACUCGGUGCAAAGUGCCUGCGGAGAUGUCCCUCCCCACUUCACUCGGAGAUGGAAGCUUUAAUAUGGGCUAUGAAGAAUAUCUUUUCAAGAAGGAUCGAUUGUCAGGCGUUUGAAACAGAUUGUUCGGAGUUAGUCUCGAUGAUACAGUCACCUGAUGAAUGGCCCGCUUUCUCCAAUCUGCUAGAUGAGUUUGGUUUACUCCGCGCUUAUUUCCCUUUCUUCUCGCUUUCUCUUAUUUCUCGUUUAUGCAAUGUUAAAGCGGACUGCUUAGCCCGCUCUUCUAGACUUUUAUUCUCUGAAAUUUCUUUUGUAGACUUUUUUCCUCCUAAUUGGGCAAUCAAUCUAGGAGUUAUAUAUUAAUUAAUGUGUAGUUGAUAAAAAAAAAAAAAAUACAUAGUACAAUCUAGAAUAUUUUUUUUCCAUCAAAAUAGUUUAUGUUGAGUUAAUGUGAUCAGUACAUAGUUGUUGUUGUUAUAGUCUUUUUUUUUUUUUUUUUAUUAUAGUCAUAUAAGCGGGUUUACAGAAUCAAAAGUUAGAAAGAUUACAACCAAAUUUAGCUAGACUAUGCGCAGUGCGUCGUUCCUCGAAGAGCCAUUGACUAAUAUCUUUAGAAUGUCUAAGUUUUCUUACCAAUUAAAACAUUUUUUUAUAGUGGCAACUAAAUUUUGGAAUCCUUAACUAAAAAACGCACACGCUAUAUCAUGAUAUUUUCUUACAAAUAUUAAAAUAAAAUUUGAUUAUUUACUGCAUUUAUAUCCAUAAAAAAUAUUCAAAAUCAAAUCUCUAGUCUAGAGAGAAUGUUCAUCAAUUUAAACGUUCUAUACUAACAUUGCACCAUAUAACUUUGUUUCUUGGUAUCAAUGUUAAGUAUUUAUACUAUUUUCGCAAGUUUUUGACAAAUAUUACAGAGAAUACAAGAAAAAAGAAAGACCGAAAACUACAUAAAUCACCAUAAACUACAACACAAGCAGAAAACAGAAAGAAAGCACAAGUGAAAACUCUACAAGUAGAAACCGAGGAAAAAACACCGAUUCCGAACCACAAAAUACGGUUUUGUUUUCUGCUUCUUCGUUUUGUGUCAACUUCUAAAGGUUUUUAGAUUGUAUAUACGAACCUUCCUCUACCUUAUAAUACAAUGUUGCAUUAGCUCUGUUAAUAUUUCAAUUAUAGUAUAUGUCUGAAAUUUGAAGACGUCAGAAAAAAACUUUGAAAAAGGCGAAAAGAUUGCUUUGAGGUUGGAGAUAGUAUUUAAUUUAGAAACCGACCAUUCAUUAAUCAUCAUUAAAUUAAAAUAUGUAUUGUUUUUCAAAACUAACUUUCUUAUUCCUCCAAUGAAAAUGUAAAGGAGAGACUCGGAAUAGCUUAUUGCCUUAUUCAAAUGAUUGUUCGGUUAUAGCGUUGAGAUAAAUCAAAUGAAAACUGAGCUUUCAAACUUUCAUGAGCUGGGUUGUGAUGUGUUUGGUUUACUAUUUUAUAUUUACUUUAGCUUUCAAGAGUUUUAAAAAAAACUUUUACCAUUUGUAGGAAAGUUAUAAAAUAUACCACAAAAAUAUAUCAAUAUUAAUGUAAUAAGUAUAUUUUUAAAAAAUCAAUAAAAUAGUAUAAAAUUUAAUCUCUGAAACUUUAGAUUAUAAACUCCAUAAAGCGGCUUUUCUUACAAUUAAAAGUGAAAAACAUGAUUUUCUUUGUUUGAUUGGGUAAACGACUGUCGAACAUCGCUAAAGACUUGAAAAUUUAAAUUUAGACUUUGAUGUCUAUCCAUAAUUAUAGUUAUAGUUAAUUCUUAUAAUUAUUCAUGUAUAUUAUCUAAAAGUAUUGUAAAAAAAAGUUUAUAUUUAUUUCUUUGCAUUGAAAGUCUAUAAAAAUGACAGGUAAAAGGUUUAUAUUUAGUUCUUUACAUUAAAAUGAAAUUUAUUUCAAAUGACAAUACCACUAAAAUUUAAUGGAACUUGGAAAGUAAUAAAUUGAAUACCAAGACUUAAUUAGGAAGAAUGACUAUAAAUACUGAAUCAAAGAAGUAAAUUCAUGAAUAAAAUACAUAAUUGAAUAAAAAAGUUACUCUCUUUAUUCCUAAAAGGUUGAUGUUUUAGUUUUUGUUAUUUGUUCCACAAAAAUUGAUUUUCUAAGAUUUUCUUUUAUUUUUAUUGACUUAUAAUAGUAAAUUGUAAACUUCAAGAUACAAUGAUUAUAAAUCAUUAACUUUCUUAGACUACUAUUGGUUGAUAAUUAUAAAAAAAUAUUUUAAAUUAAAAAAUAAUGUUAAAAUGAUCAAAGAAUGAUUGAGUUCUUAAUAUGUGAUAACUCCAAAACAUCAAACUACUAGGAACAGAGUAUUAAUUUAUUUAUAACUCAACUCCGGUUUGGGUCCGGUUACAGUAUACAAAACCGAACUAAACCGAACCAUGUGAUGUAAAGUAAGGUUCCGUACUUUUUAUAUAACCCCACAAGCUCCUUCUAAAAUCUAAGAGAGGUUGCAAAAAUAUUAAAUACGAUCUCUGAUUCUGCGACGAACGCGGAAAGCGAAAUUGGAGAAGAAGAAGAAAAGCCCCCCACCACCACCACCACAACAACGUAAAGGAAACCCAAAAAGUCGGAGGCCAAAAUAAAAAUAAACCCUUUAUUUUAAGUCGCUUGCACGAUCUCGGAGAAGGAAGAAAACACCGACCCAGAAGAAAAGGAUUCAGCUUUUCUCUGAAUUCGUCAUUCUCUUUGAAAAAGUAUUUUUCUUUUUUUCUAUUGAAUCAGUUCUCAAAACUUUUUUUUGAUCAGAAUGAUUUUGCCAUUUAUUCGGUAAUGUGAAUAUUUUCUUACAAUUUUCGAGGGUUUUAUUUAGUUUUGGGAUUUAGGAUUUGCUUAAGAAACGUAAAGUAUGGAUCUUUAUGCUUCAAGAUGAAGUUUAGCGUUAUAGUUUUAUUCAUUUUAUUUUAUUUGAUUAAAGAAUCCUUCAAGCUACCUUGCAUUUAUGACAUUUUGUUUGCUUAGUUUUCGAAUAACUUAUUUUCUCUGUUUUUGUUUAUCAGAUUUGUUCUUUUGAGAGCCAAGAGCCAAGCUUGCUUAACUAAAUUUGAAACCUUUUGAUAGGUAAUGAAUGUUCUUUGCUUUGUAGUACAAAAAUGGUCGUUUCAAGUUACAGAAAAAAAAAGGUUUAAGUUUUGGAAUCUUGUGGUGGAUUGGAUAAAUAUUGUUGCUUGAUGGAUUAUUUUAUGACAUUUCCUAUUUUUAGUCGGUUUUUUUACGGCUCAAAGUUUUGGUUUUUAUGUUUUUAAUUAGUUUCUGUUAGGGGUUUUUGUGUUUAAUCUCUUCACUAAUCUGUUUUUGAGUUGUCUACUCUUUAAAAUUCACAAAGCAAUGCAAAAUUAGACGGCUAUAUUGAGCAGUAACUCUUGCAAGAAGUAAUUUGUAUAUAUAUGAUCUCAUAUGUGUUUUCUUGUUUGUAUAUAUAUGAAGUAGUGAUUAUGUUUGAUUUGGUGUUAAUGUCUGAAAUUAUGAACAGAUUGUUGUCUCUUUCUGGUGCUUCUUGAUGGAUGAAGAAGCUGUGAAACCCUUUGGAACGACUGAAAUGAUGAAUAAGGAAGAUGGUUCUAGCCCGGGAGGUGAUUCUACAGGGAAGGCAAUGGCUUCAAAGUCUAAAGAGAAAAAGAUCCCUCAUUACCUCAGAGCAUCCACUGGUUCGUGUCAUGAUCUGUGCAAGUAUGGGAAGAGACAGAUACCUGUGGAGAAACCAUGGCGUUCGACUACUAAAAAGAUCUUCAAGAAAUCUCUUGAUGGGGAGUUGAAUGAAACUUUGAAGCCGGGUUCUUCUAAAGUGAAGAAGGUAAUGGAUGUCAAGAAAAAAAUGGUUAGUGAUGAUUCUUCUGAGGUGAUUAAAAGAGAGGUUGUCAAGCAUCAAGUGAGUGGUGUCUCUAGUGGAGUGAAGAAGCCAGAGGUAUUGAUAAUAUCAUCUGGUGAUGAAACUCCUGUGAAGCAGAUGAAGAAGAAGACAACAUUAAGUUCCAAACUUAAACCUUCACCAGAUUUGGGAUCUCGUUCAUCAGGAAAUGUUGAUGCCCUGAAGCCGAAAGUUUUAACGAAAUCGUAUUCAGCACUAGCAACAUCGAAAUCUAAGGUAAACCAUGAGCAUGUUGCUUCACCAGUUUUGAAACCUAAAAUGGGUAACAGAAGUGAAGGAAAAGACGAAGAUGCAAAGAUAAAGAAGGUUACAGUUUCCUCAAGAGUUGCUUCUAAGAAGGUUCCGGUGACUCCUAGAGCGUCGCUUUCUCCAAGAUUAUCACUAAGAGUAGCUGGAAAUUCAAGUUUGAGAAAGAGUCAGAGCUUAAAGGCCGGCUCUUCCUCUUCUCGGCAAAAUCAGAAACCAAAACGUGUGAAUCACACUGAUGAAUCUAAUAAGCAGUUGGAUGAUUAUCCAGUCGAGGAGAAAACAUUGCACGUUGUUGAAAUGGAAACAACUAACAAUGUCGUCUCUGAAAAUGAUCAGAAUCAGCAAGGUUUUGUUGAACCUUUUCUUCCUCCUCUUCCACCGACCCACUCAAUUCCAAAAGAUGAUGAGUGUACUGUUUCAGAAACAGAGGAGUAUGAGUACACUUCAGGAAGCAACGAAGCUGAGAGCGAAGAAGAAGAGAUUGGAUUGUCCAAUGGAGAGAAAAAAACAAGAGCGGCGAGAAAGGAGGGUGAUUCUGCAGAUGAAACUGCACGGAAGUUACGUUUCAGAAGAGGAAAAAUUAUGGAUCCUGAUACUGUUGGUGAGAGUGCAAGGAAGCUCAAGUUUAGACGAGGAAGGGGUCUAGGGGAAGACAAAGCGCAAGAUGCACAAGUUAGGAGAAGCUUUAAGAAGAGGGAAGAUAUCAGAGAAGAAGAAGUCGAUGAGGAUGGUGAAAAAGUUGUGCUGAGGCAUCAAGAUGUUCAGGAGAAAGAUGCACAGGGACUGUUCAACAAUGUCAUUGAAGAAACAGCGAGUAAACUCGUUGAAGCUCGAAAAAGCAAAGUUAAAGCUUUGGUUGGUGCUUUCGAAACCGUCAUUUCUCUUCAAGAAUCUUAAAACGUCCUGCUAACUCUGGUAUUGGACAUGCAAGAGCAAAAGCUAACAUUGAAUCUUUGAUUUUCUAGUAGUAGUUUAUUUGGUUUUGGUUUGGUCUGCAGAAACUGGUAAUCUAGAUUGAGCCGGUUUGAAUCGUUUCGGUUUGUUGAACCUGAAGAAGAUUUGAUGCUUCAUACAAAGUUAAAGGAUAUGUCUCUGCCAAACAUUAAUAGUGGUGCUUUGUGAAUAAUACUUGAUGGAUUGGGGUUUGUGUUUGGUUUUGGUUCUUCUAGACCGGUUUGUUGGUUUUCAUUGGAUUGUUUGAGUUUAUGGUUCAGUUUGUAUAGAAAAAUUCUGCUCUGUUUUCUUACAUUUGUUGUUGGUUUUUGUCUUGUAAAAAGAAGCACUUUCAAUAGGUUUUCUUUCUGCUUAAACCGGAUCCUAAACCGUAUUUUCUGGUUUUGCAUAACACCGAUCGUUAUUGGUUUAUGAACAAAUGAAUUGAUGGCCAACCUGAAAAUGCCACGUCAUCUAAACCACGCUAGUAAAAGCACAAAAGCAGAGCAUAUUUGGCACAUAAGUGUGAUUGUACAUAGUCAUCAACACGAGACAUAAUCUAGUAAGCCAAAUUCAAAUAUUUGAUUUUGAAAUUUUUCUUGUCCAUACCACAUAUCUCUAUCGGGAGAUCAAUGAAAUCGAUGGAGAUUACGAACCAAAAUCGAAAUAUGAUUAUGGAAAUAUGGUGGAUUUGCAUAUCCGAGUUUAGGCUAUUUAACAUUAUCUCUAAAUAUAUUAUUUAUAUUUAAGUUUAUUUUAAUUUAGAAAACUUAAAUUUAUUCCAAGUCUAUAUAAGUACCUUGUAUCUUUUAUUCUUAUGAGGGUCUACUAUAAUUCUUUGGGAGCUAAAUCACGUGGAACUCGAACGUUCUCCAAAUCCCACCAUCACAACCAUCAAAGUCAAAAUCAAUUAGUCCCACAUUGGCUUUUAAACUUUACUUUGAAUUAAUAUCAAAGACUUUGACCGGGUGGCAAAAAAUUUGGGUAAAAGUUUUGACUUCCAAAAAUAAUUUGUUACAUAAAAUAGUGAACAAUUAUUACAAAAUGUAGUUGUAUCUUUCAAGGUUUUAUCAAUAACAUUCAGAUGACAACAAAAAAUACAGAUAUCUCAUAAUUCCAAAUGUUACGCAUAUAGGUGUUUAUACAUGCACCCAUGGACAUAUAUUUAGACCGGUUCGGUCCUUUUAAGGUCUAGGACGACUGGUCAAAUCCAUCACCACUUUUGUAUAUCUUAAACCAUAUAUAGCUAUAAACAAAAAUCAGCUAAACCCUACCAACAAAAUUCUAUUGUAAAUUGAUUUAUAUAAGACUUGUUUGUAUGUACAAUGUAGUCUUUAAUGAUCUAACAUUGUAACUAUGAGAUAGAAUUUUAUGUUGUGGUCUCCUCUCUUGCAAGUUAAACUACUAAUCAAAAGCACAAUGUAGAUAAAUGUCCACCAUAAAUCGUUAAUUACAUAGAAAAUUGCGCGUUCAAAAAUCGUCUGAAAAACUGGUUUCUUUUCUUGUAACAUAUGGGAUAUAGUAUUUUCAGGUCUUACCGUUUUUAAAUGAUUAAUUCUUUGUAUCUAAAAUUUGAGAAAGAAAUUAAGUCUGCAAAACGUUACGUUUUAGAGUGUCUGAAAAUUGGAGAUUAUGAUUACAACAUGUUGUCGCCUUAUGCACCACAAAAGCAAAGUAUUUGACUCUUACAGAGAGCAUGCAUCAAGGAUGAAAAGAUUGCUAAAAGAAGUGGUUUUGUGCAAUAAAAAUAUGAAGUGAACUGCGGCAGUCUGAGAGCUAUAUACAUUAUUGUCUAAAAAUAUGAAACGAAAUGUGAGUACUUCAUAAUUUGGCAAGUACUACAUUAUAAUUUUACUUUCUGAUCAAAUAACGUGAGAAGGUUUCUGUAUUUUUUGCUAUUGAUUUACAUGCUACUGAUCUUUAUAGUAAAACAGACAAAAACAUUAUAAAAUAUAAAUUUAAGUACUUUGCUAUGUUUUCUUUUUAUCAAGUUCCAAGAUACUUCCCACACCGGCUGGAAAUGAACUUUUAGAAUCCUUCUCCCAUAAAUAAAUUCCUUGCGAAACACGUCGUUUGAUUACCGAGGUUCAAUGGCCGAGUAGGUUGCUUCGGCCACAGUCCAAGAUUCUUCGUUUAGCUCCUUUCGUGACGAGGAACCAGUCUCAAGAUGACUUCUACGGACUAAAUAACCAGGCGGUCCAGGCGGAUCGAUCUCCAUUGUGUCGCUUGCGAACAUGACAGACACUAAUAACAUCGUGGGUCUAUCCUCUGCACGUUCUUGAACACACAAGAGACCAAUCUGUAUGCAUCUUUUAACUUGGUGUGGUUGAAAUGUUGAUGAAUCAAGGAUAACUUGAUCUAUGCUGUCGAGCCCUUUUCCUUCCUUCCAAUUCCUCCAUAUCUGUUCACCAUAAAAAAAGCUUUAAGCGUUUAUCAAUCACAACAAAGAAAAAGAAGACGAAAAUGCUUUGGAUGAUUAUUAAACUUACAUAUGUAAGAAGACUUUCUUCGUUCUCCGAGUAUAUAUAAAAGUCUCUGUUUUUUACUCCAAAUAUAAUCUCAAGAAGCACGACUCCAAAGCUGAAAACAUCUGACUUUGUUGAAUAAGUUCCGUCCUCCGCGUAUUCGGGAGACAUAUAACCGCUUUGUCAAGAAACAAGAAACACAAUUGUGAGUUUUUGUAAAGUGUUUGCUUUAUUUCCAAAUGUAAAGAUGAUGCUGAUAGUUUGUUUGCUUACAAAGUUCCAACGAUCUUUGUUGUGUUAGCUGCUGUCGUACGCUUGUCGAAGAGUUUACUCAUCCCAAAAUCUGAUAUCUUCGGAAUCAUAUCUUGAUCAAGUAAUAUGUUGCUCGGUUUUAGGUCCCUGUGGACCAUCGGACGCCGCGAAUCUUGGUGAAGAUAUAAAAGUCCCCGAGAGAUUCCAUUAAUAAUUUGGACCCUCUUCUCCCAGGUUAGCUUAGAGCUUUGGCUUUUGUCUAAGAAAACCAAACUCACAUUAGUUUCUUUUCAAUAACUUUUAACCUUAAAAAAUACAACUUCUUAAACUGUGAGGCACUAACCGAAUAUAAACUUAUCGAGGCUAGAGUUUUCCAAGUACUCAUAUAUUAAAAUCAUCUCACCACCCUCAAAACAGUAUCCCAGGAGCUGGACGAGGUUGACGUGUUGGACACUGGCGUUCAGACUCAACUCAUUCUUAAAUUCAUCGAUACCUUGAGUUGACAUCUUCAACAAUCUUUUCACAGCGAUUUCUUGUCCGCCAAGUAACCUUCCCUGUUAUAUGUAUAUUAUAUAAAUUACACGGAAUUUACUGAACUAGUAGAUAUCUUAUGUGUAUAUAUAUGUUAAUCUACCUUGUAAACAAUACCAAAACCACCUUGACCGAUUUUAUUUGAAUCCGAAAAACCUUGGGUCGCCACUACAACUGUUUCAAGUGUCAUUUCCUCACAAUGUAAUUCUCCUGAUAUAGUCAUUAGAAGUAAAAAAUUACUUACUCAAGUGAAAAAAAAACAAUUUCCAUUCUGACACAAAUAUGAAGAGAAAAAAAAAAGAUAAUCACAAAUGUACCAAUAGGUGCGGUAAUUGCUUUUGUUGGCGGUCUCUUUUUUCUUUUCCAAACGCAGACCAUUAUAAUAAAACUUAGAAGAAGCAAAAUGACAACUCCGACAAUAAUAAAUAUUAUUUUUGUAUUAUUUUUUUUAUUUUUAUUUUUUCCUUCGUCCCCUGAAAAACAAGUAAAAAUGUCACAAAAUUUAUCACGUUAUUUAUGUUACAUGAUGAAUAUAUAUUUUUUUAUGUCAUCACGUAAUCGUAUAUGAGUGUUUCGGUAUUUUCUAACCACAUCCGGCAUCCCAUGUAUUUUAUUUGCCACAAUAUACUGUUAUGUUACGUAAGUGUAUAUCUAUUUAUUAUUAUUCAUUUUUGAACAAUACAUCAUUUUUUAAUAUUAAAAAAAUCUUUUGUUUUAUGUGCUAAUUUGCUAAUAUAUCCUCACUCAAAAUUAAUUUUAACUCAUGUGCCUAAUAUUUUUUCUAUAUUUCAAUGGAAACAGUUUUUUUUUUUUUUUGUUGUUGUUGUGUGUUUGUGUGGAAUAUAUAACAAUAACUUCCGAUCCCUUAUUAUUAACGUAAAUCUUUUUAAUAUCUAAUAUGAGUUGUUUUAUCAACAUCCCAUAUCCAUUUUUCUUUUUGUUAAAGUAAACCAGCAGAGUUAUUGUAUAUCGUUCAAAAGUCAAAACCAAACUGUUUGGUUUGAUUAAGGAAUCGUGAUAUAUUAUUACUAGAAGCUAUUAUGAUGACAUGUAAGUUUUCUAAUAGAUGUAAAACUAUAGUCACUAAAAAACAUGUGUUAUGCAUCCUCGGUUUAAGGCUUAAUCGAAUAGAUUUAAACAAAAACAGAGCAAUGGCCGAAGUCUUGUCGCAAACCAAAGUAAUAAGUUUUUUUUUAAAAUGAGGUGAUUAAUAUUAACAUUGUAAAAUUCUUUUAAGAAAUCAUUUUGCAAUGAUAAUUUUUCUGAAAAAUAUAUAACCUAUUUUAAUAUUUUUGAUUUUUAUAAAAUUAGUUAGAUUUGUAUGUAGUUUUUGGAGGGAGAAACUAACCGAUAUCAAUGGCUUCCAUCCUAAGUCUAACAUAAAGAUCUUGACCAGCAUUCUUGUAUUUCCGGAGAUCGAGUAGCUCUCCUACCCAAAUAACACAACCUGAUCCACCAUUUUCCAUAUUUGCGUUCGCGUAUGCUGUACAGUUGCAAGUCGCUAAGCACUUCUUCUUGCAUUCCUUCAACCCAAGUUUCAUGUCUACAAUUGACACUACUGUAUCUGGCAGCUUCAUGGUCUGCAACUUCAAGAAUUGAUCACCAUUGCACUUCGACUGUGUCUUCCGCACACACCCUUCUUUUUUAUCUCCUAGCUCCCAUGCUUCUUGAUGUCUCGCCUGAAACCCUUUGAUGCAGUUACAAAUUGGUGAUGUGUUUAUGUCACAGAGACCAUUAGGACCACACAUGUUGUACACAUGGCAUAUAUCAUCUACUUCUGGUAAUAAAUACCCUAUCCUCUUCAAUUCCCCUGAAGUUGGGAUCCAUGUGGACCGGUUCAAUAUUCCGGAAUGGUCCAUCCUCAGUAUUGAGAAAACGUUACCGUUAGUUACGCUAAAUGAAUAGCUGAUUUCCUCACUCUUCAUAGUAAUGUUUUCGGUUCCGUGCGUCAAUUUUCCAAUCACGUUAAUGUCACUUACACUAUUCCACGGACCAAUUCGGAGUGAUGGCUCACCCUUUUCCCGUAUGUAGCUCUCAGGAGGCUCACGGAUUUCUACUUUGUAAGUGUAAUCGCCAGUUGAAGGAUCAUUAAUGCUUUUCCAUGAUUUUAGUAUCCUAUUUAGACCCGACUUCUUAUCCCAACCCAGUUUCAUAUCAGGGAGUAAUGUAUCCGUCGGAAAGUCGAAGCUUUGCCAUAAAAAUCCACUUGUCUCGUUGUUACUGGAGUAUCGCAAUACCAAGUUGCCAUUGUCAAGAAGCUCGGCGGUCAGGUCCGACUUCAGACUUUGGCCAGUCACAUUGGUUGACCAAACAGAGUUACUAGUAUGAUCAAAGAGAUGGAGGUUGUUACUGAAGAUUUUGAGUGUUCCGAUAGGCUUGGAGAGUGGAUUGUCUCUGUUGGCAACCCAAACAACUUCAUUAGGCAGCUUUCGGUACCACAUGCCAAGGUACCAUCGGUCACCAACACUGGAACUUGGGGCCGGUUUGAAAAAACCAAGCUCAAGAAUACUCUUUGGGGACGAGAUCUUGUUUUGGAUAGAUAUAUCGAAGGCAGCUGACGAUGAGAUUCUUGAAUUAUACACGGAGAAACCUUUGUGAAAUAAGACGAAUAAAAAUAAUACGAUCCUCAUCUUUUUCUUUUUUUUCUCUUUGUCUUCUUAAUCAGUUUCGUUCUUUCUUGUUUGAACAACUGGAUUCUUCUUAGAAUUAUAUAUUCUCUGGACAAUAAUUUAUUCUUUUUCAACACUGCUUGACUUUUACUACAAGCAUGCGUCGUUAGGACAAAGUUAAAUUUUCAACGGGACAUAAAUGAAACUAAAAACUACAUACAUGUGAGAUUAAUUUCUCCCACGGCAAACAUUGCAUAUGUGGAACUAGUUGUCAAUUUAAAUCCUAAUAAAGGUCCCCAAAUCUAUAGCACAUCAACUGCUGGAGGAUCGAGACUCGUUGAUGAAGUCCAUAAAACCGUUCAUUUUCCAUCAUUUAAACUAUUGUCGAAUAUGGGAAUUUUUGGUGUUGAAGUUUUAGUUUAAAUUGUCAUGUUUUAUUUGUUCCUAGUUUCUCUAGUGUUUUCAGUGUACCAUAAUUAAGUUUUUUUUUCCUUCCCUAUUAAACAAUUAUUAAAAUGAAAUUUUAUUUAUCUUCUACUUAUCUCUCCUAUUAUUUCUCACCCAUUUUAAGUGUUCCAUAGGCACUAUCUAUGGAUCACCUAGUAUUUUUAUCUUAAAAAAAGAAACCAAAAUUCUUUAUAUAGAACACUGAGGUGAUUUAUACACAUAAACUAUUUCAUCUAAAUAAAAGAAGCAGAAAGAUAAAGAAAAAUGGCCAGGAUUGCAAAUGGUGUUGGAAUCGUUGGUCUUUUAAUAAUUUUCAUGUUGAUUUGGGGAGGUAAUUUACAUUAUAAUAUGAAUCUAACCAAACUCUCUAUUGUUGUGUGUUUGUAUUCAUAACUAGAUCAUCACCCGUACUACAGUACGGGUUAAAUUUUAUUUAUUACAAAAUUUAUAAAUUGUACUCCCCAAAUAAUAGUAUAGGAUUAAGUUGUGUGUUUUUAUAGUGUAUUUGUUUAAAUAAUUUAAGCAUCUUAAACAAUUUUCUAAAUGAUAAACAAACACGGAAGAGUAAUAUAUUCUACAAAAAAAGCAUUCAAAUUUUUCAUAUUCAAAUAUGUAAAACAAAACACUUGUAAAUGAAAGCGUAAAUGCAAAAUUUAACUUUUAAAACAAUCCAAACCCAAAUCAUAACGAUUACUUUUUUAUUUAUUUUGUGAGUCAUUAGGAAUGCCAAAAGGAAAUGCUAAACGCUCUCAUCUUUGUCGGAAGAUACCCAGUGUAUUAGCGGCACCUGGGAACUGCUUUAAAAGUAAUGGUAACGCAUUGUGUAAAGAGUCUUGCGUCAAUGAAAAAUUUCUGCAUGGCGCAUGUCUACAUCUACCGAAGCCACAGUCAAAACUCACAUGCCACUGCUGGAUGAGGGAUGAUAUAUCUUGUUCAUACGGCUAAUCCUUCCAAACCUCGCGUCAAUAUAUUGAUACUAAGGGGAAUCUCAUCAACUUGCAUGCUUAUUAAUAUCGAUAACUGUAUUUUCUGUUUUGUUUUUUUAAUGAAUUGAAUAAUUCACUAUAAUAAAAUGGUGUUUUGCAUCUUAUUAACAUAUUAAUAUAUACUUAGUAUUAAGUCUCCUUUAGCUUAAUACUAUAUACUAGAUUGUUACCCGCGGUACACCGCGGGUUGAGUAUUUUUAUUAUUUGUUAUUUAAUAAUACAAUAAUAAUUGGUUUUAUUUUAUUUUGAUUUUUUUUUGUGGUUAUAUAUAUAUUUAUAUAUUAUAGUUGGGAUUGUGUUAUAAGUUAUCGAUAUUAUUUGUGUAUAACAUGUUUUAAUCGAGUCAUAUGUGUUACAUAAAAAUUAUUUCCUUUUAUAUUAAUCGUCUAAUUGAUACUACAUAAUUAUUUAUUUUUAAAAAGUUUGGUAAUGUGUAAACAUACAGCUUGUUUCUAUGGUAAGAUUAAUUUUCAUAUAUGUGCAUUUGGCUUUUAUAUGUUAAAUGUCAAUCUGUUUGCAUUGGUAAUAUAAUUCUCAGAUUUUAGAUAUCUUGUACGUAUUAUAUGAUUUAUUUAGAUGUGAAGGAUUAAAAUAAUUUUAAUCAAUAUAAAUUGCACGAUAGUUUGAUUUUAUUAAGGAAAAAUUAAUUUUUGAUCAUGUAAAUAUGGCUGUGAAUAGUUUUUUUCAUAUGCAAAAACUUAUUGUUUGAGAUAAUAAUAUGUUUUAAUUAAUUAGUUUGCAUGAUAUAUAUUGAACUUAAUAACAUAAUUAACAUGUUAAUACAAAAUCAGGUAACCUCUCAUACAUGCUGGGCUGUAGACAACAAAGUCCUUUAAUGUUACUGGGAAAAAAAAAAAAAUGCAAAAGAACCGGUCAGAUUAGUUGAUCUGAUCCGGUAACGUACCGACCGGUUAACACAGAUUUGAUCUCGCGAAGACGGGUCAUUUUCAAUUCCGCGAAACACAAUCAACCUAACUUCUUCUUCUCCAUUUUCUUCAUCUUCUUCUCCAUUUUCUUCAUCUUCUUCUUUAAUCUCGUCUUCUUCAGCUCAAAACCUAAACCAAACAAAACCUUAACACCACUUCUUCUCUCGAUCAAUCAAUCAGCGAUUAUUCACCUUUAAUCGACCAUAGAUCUUUCCUUAAUCGUCGAUCCCAAUUAACAUGGCUUCGAACGGCGCUUCUCCGGUAUCUUUCUCACUCGAUAUCUGUCUGCUACAAUUUAGUAUCUUUAUUUUGGCUCCUUUUCUAAUUGACAGUCUUAAACUGACCCAUUUUGUCAAUUUCGGAAAAUGCGUAGAGGAUUGUUGAUGCUACUGAUAACAGCUUGGAUAAGAUCAAGCAGCAAUUGGAAUCGAGGGUUAUCGGAACUUGCUUCUGGGACCUCUUAUUCAAGCGAGCUGAAACUGUAAGUUCAAUUCUUAUUCUGACAAUAGUAUAUUCAAUUGUUUGUAACUCAAAUGAUUUUCACUGUUCUGAGCACAGCUAAACUUUGAAUGACAUAGCAACUGUACUGAUUAGCUAAUCGAUUAAUGUGUGUUUGUCUAGGAAUUAACAUAGAAUCCGACUAAUUGAAAGUUAGAAACUCCUCAACUUAGCAUAAGCAGAUCAAAAAAUGAAGAGAAGGUAAGAGUACAGUUAGUGAUUUUGGGCGGCAUAAAGGACUUUAUGAUGAUUAUUUUGAAGUAUCUAACCCUUGCUGUAUAUUGAAUAGGAAGCUUCUACCAUCAGAAGACAUCAGGACAAAAAUCUGAAACCAAGGAGAAUCAAAUCUACAUCCGCAUCUAUGCAAGGUUAGUUUACACUUUCUUCUCACUGAAAUGUAAUUUAUAAACAUCUACAACAUUUUCAUUAAUGUUAAGCUAAGAUAAAUUGAGUGAAAAUGAGAAAACUAAAUGAUUUUGCAUCUACCUGAUUGAUUGUACUUUAUUCAAUACAUAAAAAGAAUGACAUAACCAAAUAUGACGAAAGUAAGAGUGUUUAAAGAAGUCAAAUAUAGUUAGCACAAUAACUGGAAUUGAAAGUCGAUUGAUUGGUUGUUACUUUCUUUUGAACUAUGAGACAUUGAAUCUGUGAAAAGGUAAGUAGAUUGUUAGUCAAAUAUAUGAUUGAUUGACUGGGGGUUUUGCUUACCAUAAAGCAAUUAUAUUAUAAAAUAAAAUGGUAAACUAAACAUACCUUCUUUGAUAAGAUUGUUUGACAAAUAAUGCAAGAAGCAUUAUGAGUCAAUAUUCUGAAAAACUUCUUUGAAAACAACAUUAGUUGUUUGCUUUUGAAUCUUCCCUUCUUUGUCUAGAAUCAGAAUUUUCAAACCUGUCUUUGAGGUAACCCUAGAUAAAGCAACAUAUAGUUGCCCAUGAGAAAACACUGGCUUAGGCAGCAGAUAGAGUCCAACCCUCUCUAGUGAUUGUCCCUGACUCUUGUUGAUAGUCAUAGCAAAUGCUAGUGAUACUGGGAACUGUCUUCUACGCAUCCGAAAAGGUAGCUUUGUAUUGGAUGGUGUAAUAUUGAUUAAUGAAAUCAAAACAAUAUCACGAAUUCUGUCUCCGGUUAUAACUCUUGCUUGAAGAACACGUGGGGUCAUCUGAGUUACCUGAAGCCGAGUACCGUUGCAUAGACCACCUUUAGGAUCAAUAUUCCUGAGUAACAUUAUUGGAGCACCAAUCUUCAGACGCAAAGCAUGGUGUGGCAAACCUGGUAGCCUGAUACUGUUUAAGAAAUCUGGUGUGAUAACAGGAUUUUUAAGUGAAUCGGAAUCUUCAGGAUCAAUACUAUCAGCACUGUAAAAAACUUGCUCAUCACCUGUUGAAAAAAUAAAAAAAAACCUUUUAGCUGUAAGAAAGACUUGAAGGAAAUAAUUUCACAAAGCUAGUAAGCUAUGACUCACCCUCCAACUUGUCUAACAUAUAUUGGUUGAUUGUGUGUACAUCAUCAUUGGUUGGCGCCAGAAUUGCUCUCUUUUGAAAAAAUACUGGAUCUUCAGUACCUUUUAACAUAGCUGGAUCUCCAUAUAUCUCACGAGUAAUGGAUUCAAUUGGAUCUUUUGCUUCGGUAAUCAGAAGUUCUUCAGGUAUAUCAAUUAGAGCCUCACCAUCAUUAGGUUCCGCAAUUCUACCAUCACCAACAGCUAGAAGCCAAUCACUGAAUUCUUUGAUGUCUUUUGCUUCUUCUACACUCAAAUCCUUCUUAAGUAGCCUCAUGUUCUUAGUAAGCUUUAGAACCUUACAGUGAUCCCAAAGAUAAGACGCAUUAAGAGCUGCCAUCACAAUCUCAGCCCUGCCUGCACCAGCGAUAACAGGUAGAACUUGUCUAAAAUCACCUCCAAAGACAACAACCUUUCCACCAAAUACUUUGCUAUCUUUAUUACCAAUGAUAUCACAAAAACUCUUAUCUAGAGAUUCAAAACACCACUUGCUCAUCAUAGGUGCCUCAUCCCAUAUAAUAAGAGAAGCUUUCUUUAUCAGAUCAGCAAGAUCAGACUUCGGCUUUAUCCUGCACACUGAACUGCUAUCAGGUGUAAGAGGUAUGGCAAACCUUGAAUGAGCAGUCCUUCCACCUUCAAACAACAAAGAAGCGAUACCACUUGAAGCCACGUUUAGAACUAUAUCUCCUUUAGAUCUAAUAGCAGCUGAAAGUGUUUUCCAAAUAAAAGUUUUUCCUGUACCUCCAAAUCCAUACACAAAAAACACUCCAACUAGAUCAUUGAAUACUGCAGUGGUAAUCUCAUCAUAAACACCUCUCUGCUCCGGUGUCAUAAUAUCUAUCCACUCAGCAUGCUUUUCAGCCAAUGAUGUACGGUCAUACCUCAUUUCAUCAACAAUCAAACGGUUAGAAUUAUCUAUACCUUCUCUAGUUGGCUUAGGAAAGUUUUGUAUAUCUUCGAGAGUACCUCCAUUAGACAACAUCAUUUUUUCUAGUUCUUGAAGAGUGUAGUUCCUAAUUUCUGCCUCUGUCAGAUUCAAAUCUGCAUAUAAAAUAAAUGGCAAUGUCAAGAAAAAAAUAGAAUCAUUGCUUAUUUAACUGAGAAAAUGUAUAUGAUAUAACUUAAGCAAUUUCAUUAUUUAUCUCACCUUGAUUGUCAAACUCAUUUCUCUUCUUCUGUUGAAUAUCUUCUGCUAACAAAUGCCACGUCUGUUCCCAAACAUAUUCUGGCCUAGAUAGGGAAUCAGAUAGUAGCAACAUAGCGAAGAAAUUCCUCAAAAAAUCACCAAAACAGAAUUGACUCGCAUCAAACAGACUGUCAAUGAACACCUGGUCAUCAUCUAGAAUUCCUCGUGCAAAACAUGCUUCUUUGUAAGUUGGAUAGACAACACCAUUAUAUGUUUUAAUGUCAUCAAAACAUGUAGGACCUCUGACGAUGUUAAGAAGGACUCGUAGAAAAUAUUCAUCUUCUAGCUUCCUGGGAACAUAAUUAAUCCGACCUAAGGACCAUCCUCUAGACCUCUUAUUCCACAGCUUAUUAGUUCCAUCCCAUGUAAAAUAUGCAGGUAUCUCUGCAUAUAGGAGUUCUCGAGCACGCUUUCCAUUUUUUCCAAUUCCAUCAUUCCUAUUCAAUGUUAGCCAUGCCAUGAAUUGAGAAUCUCGAUUGAGAAUUCUGUCCAAAACAUCUGAUAUCACCUCUUUUCCUUUAAAAUAAGCUUGUUGCUUUCCUUCUACAUGAAAAGAUAGCUUCAGAACAGGUGUUGAUUUAUGCUGUAUCGGAAACUUAAAAAUUCUCCAAAUUGCUUCAGAUGCUGACACAUAUCUACAAUUUUGAAUAAUAAACAAAUCCAUUUCAGGAUCCAGACUGACCAAUCACAGAAAUAAACUGAGAAAGAGCAAAAUUAGGAUACAAUACCUGCAAUCAAAAUAAUCUUUUAUUUCAUUCUUCUUUUUCUCCUCUGGUAAUGGUUCUGAUCCAUUAGCUGUUUGAUCUUCGUGUGAGCCAUUAUCUGUUGGUGGUGGCUUGACAGGCUCCACAACAAAUGCUAACUUAUCUGGGCCUUUAUUUAUAUACUUGAAUAAGUAUUUAAUAGACCCAGUUUGAUUACACCAUUCAACGUUAAUGUGAGCACCAUACCUAACUGAUAGUUUUUUAUUGUAUGGAACGACAUACCUAUUAUCACAUUUAAUUCCACAUUUCUCAACAUAGUGGUCAGAGCGCCUUCUUCUAUAGAUAGGAAAACCAUCAGCGCCUACCCUGGUGAUAUCCUCAAAUUUUUUAGGAUACGAUUUAGAACACUGGCCAUCCACCAUACAUGGAGAACUCAUAUUUGCUGCACCACAUGGGCCAUGAAUCAUUGAAUUACUAACAACUUCAUAAAGCUCUGGUUCUGUUUCUUUAUCUGGAAUCUCAGCAGAUAUCAUCCUGUCAAUAUCGCUUGCUGUUGGAAGUUUGCUUUUAGCAUCCAUGAAUAAAAGAAUGUGAGCAUGUGGAAGGCCUUUUUUCUGGAAUUCUACAGUAUACAUAGCUGCAUAACAUAGAAUAUAGUGUGAAAAUAUUGAAAUAGUCUCAGUUUAUUGUCACAGAAUUGGAAGUAGUCAGACAACUUACAUGCGACAGUCUUUCCAAGCAUCUUCUUUUCUGUUAGAUCGUUCAUCAGAGAAUCCAACUUGAUUUUGAAUAUCCUAGCAACAAUGUCUGGCCUAUCCUCAGCAGUUAACCCUCUUGCUGUGACAUAUCUUGUUAUCUCAGGCCACUUAGGGUUACAUGUAAACGUGAUGAAUAAAUCCGGGAAACCAUAAUGUUUACAUAUGGCCAUAGCAUCAUAAUAACUCUGAACCAUAUACCUUGGACCACCAGUAAAAGAUGCUGGAAUCAAAAUCUGAUUUCCUUCUUCUUCCAUAUUUGUUACACCAGAGUCAGCAGCUUCUUUUAGUGAGUUUGCAUUCUCACAUCUAAGCUUAGACUGAUUGAACCUUAUGUAGGAUAGACGAUUUGAUUCAAUAGUGGUGUAAGCGUCACAAAGAAACUGCUGAAACAACCUCUUCGACAGUAGAAGAGUAUGGCACUCACCUGGCCUCUCCUGAAUACGGAAUGCAAACCACUGACGCAUACUAAUACACUUUUUCUUCUUCUGGUUAUUACCCUUAUAACAUUUCUCUAUACCUGGGGUGUAACCAUCUUCACCAUAGCAGAAAAUCAGAGGAUACUGAAGAGCCAGAUAAGAAAUAUGAAUCUGGCUAAUCCUGGUUAGGUGGCCUGUAGUCCUUUCUUGAAGAACUAUAUCACGGUUUGGCAUACCUUCUGUAAAGUCUCCUGGGAUUAACGCUGCAACCUCCGAAGUCGUAGGCAUGCUGUAAGUCCUUCCAUCAGCACCUUUACGACCAGAGCAUAUCCUCAUAUGAAAUGGUUGGGGAUUAACUACCCCAAAUCUUUCCUUGGCAAUUCUAAAAUUCUUGACAUAAGGAUUAACUUCAUUGAGCAUUUUCAUAAUGGCUUCAAUUGUCUCUUUGUUCAGUAUAUCCUUGCUUCCUCUUCUAGAUGAUUCUUUCCCCUUGCUACAUUAAAAAAAAAAAAGAUGCCCAUGAUUGAGUAUACCACAACAUAGAAAUACAUAAGAAUUGAAUAAGCCUGUUAAGUAGAAAUAAUACUAACCCAAUAACAGUUGCUUUGUUAUCUACUUCAUUCUCAGUAUCUACGAUAUAGAGUUGUGAAUACUUCGCAUAAUCACCUUCUGCAGGUUUCAAACUGCCUAUCAAAUGAUAGUUACCUCCUUGUAAACGAAACAUGCUUGGACCUUUACCCUUAGGUAUAGACUUAUCUACUUUCCCACCUAGUGAGGUCAUUGCGAAAACCAUAUUCCAUAUUCUCAAGUGCUUUCUAUAAUUCCUACUUUGAGGAUCUUUCCCAGUCAGAAGUUUCUUGAUCAAUUCUGGUGACUCUUUAAGAAAAGGCAGCUUAACAGAACCUUGACCACAACAUAGUGUAAAUGUAGGCUCUGUCGUUUUAACUUUUUUGUUUAUUCUUUCAGCAUGCCACAUCAAUGCACCACAAUACUUACACGAGUAAGUAGGGUCACCAUGAUCAAGAUAAGCUGAAAAACAUAAAUAUGUUUCUCAUAAGUUUCACAUUCAGAAUUACCAAAAAUAAAAAAAAGUACUGGGAAGGGCAAGAAAAUUUACUUAUUGGUUUGUUUUUCUUUUUUGAUUUUCUUUUCUUUUUUCUUUUUGGAGGCACAUUUCCUUCAUGUGUUUCUAGCUGAACAGACUCAAUAGAUGAUCUUGCCAAAUCAUUGGUAUGAGAUGAGACUUCAGUGAUGUGUGACAUCAUUUCAAUCUGUUCCUCGUCAGAAACUGACAUUUCAUUGUUAUCUACUACUUCAUCUUCACCUUCACUGCAACUAAGAUCAUAGCUUUGAGCUAGUAUCUCAUCUUCACUGACAUUACCAAACUCAGGAUCAUCAUACAUUUCAUCAUCUUGGCUAUAAUCACUAUCUUCAUUAUCUAUUACUUGAGUUGUAUUCUGACCUUGAGAAUACAAAACAGGAAAAUAGGUUAAGACAUGCCUCUUAAUUACAUUUUGUUUCCAAGCGAAAAACAAUACAGUAAAGACUGUUACCUUUAGAUGAAGAAGAGGUUUCUGCAUUUGUAAAAUCAAUAUCUAAGUUUUUCCUUGGCAAAUUUAUUGUAUGAGAAACAAAGCUUGAUGUCUGGAGGUUGGUUAUACAUGAUGGAUUUCCAGUGUAUUGAACACCUACAACAGAUAUUAAACUUAUUACUUAUACAAUAUACUUCUCUAUUUAAAACAUUAUCAUACCAUAAUUGUUGCAAAAAUUAUUCAUAUGUGGAACUUAAUUAAUCUAACCACCUAUUCUCUUUGGUGUUACAGAAGGUGGAGGCAUUAUUGGAGUUGUAGGUGUUCUGCUAAAAAGACUCUGGCUUGUAUUAGUCAUGGCGCUUAAUCCAGAUGGAGUUAACAAUGGGUUAGGUCUGGUGUAAGGAGAGCAAGGUACCAGAAUUUUUCCACGAAGUGAACCUGUUUUAAAACUCAUCAAGAUUUAGAGAUAAAGGUAUUUUCUAUUUAUCUUUGAUGAGAAUGAAAACAAAAUAAUUGUAAAUGAAAACUUGUCUAUAGAAACUAACCUUGAUUCUUACUGUUCUGUUUUGCAGAUGAAGAUGUAUUAGCAUCAACAGAGUUCUCAAUGGGGCUAACUUGUGGGUCUGGAAGGUUAGUAAUAUCUCUAAAAGCACUACCAAACGCUGUACUAAGAGGGACAGAACCAUUCCUGAGUAUAGGUAGAUUAAACUGAGAAAUGUUCCUUAGUCUAGUGUAAGGCUCAUUUCCUCGAUUACGUUUUGGUGGAUUAGACUCAGGAACAUCAUUUUCUGUUGGAGAUAGAGGUUUUUUUUUCAUAUUUUAGUCUAAGAAUGUCUAUAGAUGAUUAGACUACUUGGUAACUAUAUAAAGGAGAUUAAGGUCUAAAUAGAAAGCAUUUUGAUAUCUGUAGAUUGACUAUUAUUGUUUAAUGAUUGUCUGUUGCCAAAGAUAUAGGAACUAAGAUAUGUUAUUUUCUAUAAGUAAUGAAUGAGAACCUUUAGAUAAUAUGCGGAAUAUACCAAACUAUAAGAUUGAUUCCGUGAUUAUAGUGAUUAUUGUUUUAAUUAUAAGAUUACUAACUAUAUUUUUUGUAUCAGGAAAGAGAGCAAUGAAAUAUUCUUGCUAUUCACAAUCAAUAGCACAUAAGGAAGAUGGACUAUUCAAAUAAGGUAAACUGAACAAAACUGAUAGUUUAGCAAAUAUCUCAAAACUUGUUAAUUUAUCUAAUGAAAUUAUAACUUUGAUACAAUAAUUAUAUAUUUUAUUGAUCAUAAACUAAAACUUACUAUAAAACAAAUAACCAUUAGAGUAGAUUAAUUAGAUAAACAUUAAAUUCAAAUAAAGGAUAAAGCAGUUGAUAGUCAAAAGAAACUUAAAACAAACUUGUCUUCAGAAACAUAAAACAAUAGAGAACCGAGAAAGUAUUUUUAUAAUAAUAAAACAACUGCAGCCACUGGUAGAACCAAAUCAUCACACUUCCAACUUCAUUCUAACAUCCUGAACAUCAUCUUGUUGUUCUGCAAAGCCACGUCUGUUUCAAAAAAGAGAAACAUUACUUAAUCCAAUCAGUAAUCAUAGCAUUUGAUUACUUAUUUAACUUCUGAUAGGUAACUACUUACAUGUAUCUCGGAAUGUCCAAAUCAGGAAAGGUUGGAUCAAGGAAAAGCCUUGAACAACCAUACUCACUCAUCAAACAGUUUUGACCUAUUAAAACAUGUUGAUAGUUACCAGUUAGAGUUAUUGUCUAAUGUAUUUGACAGUUAUAUAUAGUUUAGAGGAAAAUAACUAACCUUCAAACUCAGCAACCCUCCAAAAACGCAGGACAAUGACAACUGGGUCAUAAUUGUAUGUCACAGAAGUUAUUUUCCUAAACCAUUUAGUCACAAAAGCCUGACAGGACCUACCCUUUGCAACACAGAUUGUUUUCCUACCCCUACAUGAUCACAGAUUCAAUGCAUUCAAUACCACAUCGCCAAUACAGAUACUAAUUUGAGAUAUCUAUUAAAAUAAAACUUACAUGUCAUCCUUGAUUUCGACAACAACAAAUCUGGCUUCAUAGUCUGUCUCUCCUUGACGACAAACAAAUGGAAAUCUUUGAAUAGCAGAGACACUCGAGACCACACCAAUAGCAUCUGAGAAUAAAUUACAAAUAUACUUAAUUAAAGUCAGAAUAAAGCAAAGUUUUACUAAUUUUCAAUCAAGAAAUAAAUAUACUUGAACCUGACACAUGUUGCUUAUCCUCUCAUCCAGCAUACUCAACUUCAUCAGAAUGAAUGAAGUUGAAGAAAUUUCCAUUACAUCUAGGAGACACAGGCCACAUAGUGGUAGGCCAUAUACACUCUAGUGCAAAACGAUUCCAGGAGUACUUAACAGGUUGAGUAGAUGGUACCACAUGGAAGUCAGCCAUGUAGUACCAGUGACCCUCCUUGAGACCUGGCCGGAAAUUGUAUAAGUAGUUUCCAGGAGGGAUAAAUGCAUCAAUCUGAUUGGCCUAGGCAUAUAAGAAGAACUAAAUAGUAAGUUUUCUCUGUGAAGAUUCAAACAAAUUAGUAAAUCUGUGACUUAAGAAACAGAGGUUCAAUAGAAGAAAUUUUCUAACCUUUUCAUCAGUCAGAAUCAUAAUCGUAGGUUCAUCAAUAGCGUCUAUACCUUGAUUCCAGAUAGAUAAAAUCUUCACGUACAAAGUCCAUCUAGGUCUUUGCAGGUUGAGAUCGGAAAUGUAGUCAAUAGUACCCAUUAGAAUCACAGAAAGUGUAAGUUUUUCUCAGUUUUUUUUUAUAGAGAAGGUUAGGUUUCUGAAUAAAUCUAAAGGUUAAGUCUGAGUAUUUAUAGAAUCGUGUAGAGAUGUGAAUGAAUAGAUUUAAUUUCCUAUAUAAAAUAGAUAUUAUAUAUUGUAAAUCAUUGAAACCGUUUGAGAUAAGUAAAGUUAGAUAUAAUAUAUCAAGGAAACUGAAUCGUUAGCCUGUAAAAGAUCUUUAUUCAUAAUUAUAGUAAUGAUUAUAUAAAACUGUGCUUUCCAUAUUACGAUUUCCAAGAUUUUCCAUCAUUGUUUAUAAUAGAGAUUUCGUGUAGCAAACAUAAGGAUGUUAUAGCGGUUCUACUUUAGGUUUUGAGGUCUAAUGAUUAGAUUAAACUUUUUAAAUUUGCUAUUUCAAUAACUGAGUAAGACAACGGUACAGUAGACAGAAAUUGAAACAGGUUUAUUAGAGGAGAUUAACCAAAAAAUCAAAAUGAAACAUCAAUUAAAAACCAAAGUAAAAAACCAACAAAUGUCUAACAAUGAAAUUUUAAAAAACUUGGAAUUAUGAUAACUCCUUAUUGCUUAGCAAACAGGUGCUAGAUCACUAUUUCUCUUUUUUGAUCUUCAUUCCAACUGCUUUAGCCACAUGCCUAGUCUCCUUCUUCUCAGUCACAGGAAGAUCACCACUGUCUUGAACACCCUUUCCUUUGUUGCUUUCAAUCUUGACAUUCUCUACCUUCACAACUUCAGAGAUCUUGUCAGGAACUCCAUUUUGAGACAGACCAUUCUCCUCAAAUUCUAGUUCUGACUUCUGUAAGUCUUUAGGCUCGAUGCACACCUUCUUAGAACUGGAGGAUUGCUCUGACUCAGACAGAUUAGGAGCAUAAACACGCUUGGAAGAUGGAGUGGAUGAGUCAGACGUGUCUUGACUCAUUGUUAACAUGAGACACUGAAUAUAGAGAUUAUCCGUAGGAGUGAUUGUUAAUAUAAUUUUAAGGAGAUUAGAUAGUUAAAAAAUGUUACCUGAUCUCCAGAAACAAUUGAGGCAGGAUUAACCAAUUGUUCAGAUUCCUCAAGGACAUCUUCUUGCAAAAGUCCAUCUUUGUUUAGGAUUCUUGAAACCUUGAAAGAAUCCUUACCAUCCCAAAUGUUUUCUUUCUCAACACAUAGCAGAAAGAGAAAGGUCUUCCCAACCAAAUUCCUUAUUACGUCAGGCAAAUCAUUAGGGUCCUCAAUCUACAUAAGGAAUUUAGUACUUAUCAAUUGAAUGUUUCAUGUAUGUCAAUUACAUAUAUGGUUUAGCAUAAUAGAAUGUUACCUCAUUGAAUGAUCCACCUAGCAAUGAUGCAGCAGUUUCACCAACAAUUUCUGAGCAUAUACUGUCAAACAAAAGACAUUUUGUUUCACCAGUGUUAUCCAUCACCUUAACAUAUAGCAUGUACCUUCAAUAAGAGAAGUCAUAUUAGUAAUUAUUUCAAAGGGAAAAACACAAACUUAUAAAUAUGCAUUAUUAUCAGAUUAAGAAAAGAAGACUCACUUUGCUACAACAUUAGUGACAGCAUUCCUGCAGACGUCACACCAAAACUUUGGCUUUUGUUUCUUCAUGGAAGCAGUAUUCACUCCAGAAUGAAUAUGAGUGACCUUUUUGUUACAGUUACGGCAACUAAAGUAAUACCAAGCCCAAUCUGUAUCAAUUCCAUAGAUUGUGCAGAUAACUCUAGCCUUUCCAAUCUACAGGGUAUAGGUAAUUAAUGAGAUUUCACACACUAAAGUAGAUAAGAAUGGUAUAUGAAUAACUCAGACAAAUACAAACCUCUGUUGAGUUAAAAAGAUCUGAUAUUGUCUUCCUUUCAAACUGAAGACAAUCAUCAUCCUUAUUCACUGUAACCAUCUGGAACUUAGGAACACUUUCACGGAAAGUUAAGGCUAGACCAUCAGAGGGGAGACUGUUAAUAGAAAAAACAAAGAAUGUAAUUUUCAGUCAGUUAUAAGAAAAUUAUAAGUUUAGAGUAGUUUGAAAAAUAAACUUAUACGCUCUGGUGAAAGCUUCAAUCUCAGGGAAAGGUGGAUUGAUGUGAACUUGUGAGGCAUCAAAGGAAUUAGAGAGACUCCUAACACCUAGAAAGAAAACAGGAACAAUUGUCAAAUAAAAUUUAUUCAUUACAAAACCUUAGGUUGAAAUAGUAAUAUACCUUUGUAUGCCUUAAUCUUUGCAAAUCUGAUAACACAGAUCACCAUGAUUCCAUCAGCUGCUUGGCAUGCUUGAAACAUUUUUUCAGCAAAAGCCCCCCAGAGUGUGCAUGACAUCCUAUCAUCACUACAGUAGAAAACAUGUAAUCAAAUAUUAGAUCAUAUCAAAUCUCAUUCUAUAAAUUCUCAGGUUACUUAAUAAUAAAACAACCAUAUCAGAUCACUCACUGUUCAUCACGCAACUCAAAGUCAAGCUUAGUGGUUGGCUUGUUAUUAGCUUCAAGGACCUCUAGCUCACCAAUAUUCACCACUUGACCCAUGACAUCNNNNNNNNNNNNNNNNNNNNNNNNNNNNNNNNNNNNNNNNNNNNNNNNNNNNNNNNNNNNNNNNNNNNNNNNNNNNNNNNNNNNNNNNNNNNNNNNNNNNAGAAACUUUUGCAGUUAAUGCGACGGUUGCUCUUCCCUUCUUAAGAAAACGGCUCGUCUUUAAUGCACUAAUUGCCUUUCUCGAUUUCCAAAGAUGGUUUAACCCACUCGGAAACGCUACCAUUAAUGGAUUUAUGGUUCCAAGACAAACCCUAAAUCAUUAUAAAUAAAGGCUUACCUACCUCUAGGCUUUAUUAAACAUGACUCUAGAAUCUUACUUGAGAAAUAUUUUAAGAAUGGAAAACGAAACAGUAGCCCCCGUUGAUCCCGGCAGUCCACUCUUCUUAUCCGGCGACGGCUUUGAACCGGCCGGCGUUCUCUUCCCUCACGCCGUCUUUCACUUUCCUCCGAAGGAGAAGAAAGAGGCUUGCGAUUUUAUUGACAAGGUAAAUAUUAAAGUUUUUGAUUUAAAACUUCUUGUUUUGUCUUAUUCACUCAUUUUUAUGCUAGGUCGCCGACAAGCACCGUCGCUUGUGUGAAGAGAGGCAGCGGCUGGGACUCAAAAGGCAGACGCUCGAGGCUCGCAUCGCUCGGGUGGAAAGGAAGAUACGGGCUUUGGAGAGUGAUCCCUUUCAAUGGGAGUGGCGGAACUUCGAUUCCGUUGCUGAGAUCCCGAAGAUGCUUCGGAUGUAUCUCCGUGCUAGAGGAGUCCCGGGUCCCGUGAACGCCCCUGUCUUCGCCGUUCCAUCCGACAGUGAAGAGGAAGAGGACUUGGAGGAGGAGGCCAGCAACUGCCGGAAACGCGUUCGGGAUCGUUCCGAAGUGGAUGCCAAAAACAAGGCGUCCACUUCGAAGACUAAACCGGCGAUGAAGGAGCCUGUUCCUGAGCCUCUCCCAUAAAUGUUCUUUAAUUUCUUCACUUCUUCUUUUUUUUUUUUUUAAAACUCGUAAUGGGCUUCGGCUCCUUUUUAUUUAUGGAAAUAUUUGCUACUUUCCUUUCUUUCCAAAUAUUCUUGGAGAUGCGUCUUUUAAUGCAGGAUCCGUUCGAGGGCAUAAAUCUCUCCGCGAAUCAUUCCAUUCCUUGGAUAGAAUCCGCAGCUUGCUAGGGAUAUGGGGUUCCUAUAAAUUAUAGGUUCAAUUCCCCUUUACUCCUCACCACUCUCUUUUUUUUAUUUUAGCAGGUAUGGAGUUCAAUCUACGCUGUUCAGAAUCUAUGCCCGACUUCUCCAGAAUCGGAAUGAUGAAUGAAGAUGUUCCAAAUGAGCCCAACAGGCAGCCUCCUCCACUUCGCGGCUUCUUGAGAUCUCAAAUCCGAGCCCCAUGUGCUUUGAUCAGGGAUCUCCCAAUCAGAGACCAAGGAACGGCGACGGCGUUCAUAGAGGCGCUCGAGCUUCAACACCGGAAGCUUACGUCGGAAAAGAGGAGACUUCGGAAGAGGAUUAACCGGAUGCAACGCAGGCUUACUACAGUGUCAAGAAGUCUUCACAUCCUUGAAUCUCACCCCGGAGAGUGGAUUGAGCUUGGAAUUUCUGACUUUGCUCGAAUUCCGGACUGCAUGAUGCCGAUCCUCGAUCUUGCUGGUCAAGGAGUUGAAGUGUUCUGCUCAUCAACAAGAUUUCCAUAAUCCGAAGUGUACGAUGAAGGACAUUCCGUUUUUUUUUUUAAAUAACGCUCUAUUUCCAAUCUUUUGUAUGUUCGCUUUAGCCGAACCUUCUAUUUGCUUCACUUGUUCGCACAGUCGAAACUUUUUCCUUUAAUAAAGAAAUAAAACAAAUUUUAUUAAUAGCUGAACUCGUUUUCGAGCUGCCUACGUACCCAUCUCGGGAUCAAGCCACACCGUAGUUCAUGAACAAUGCGUGUAGCUUUAAACAUAAAAUUUCUUUAGGUUGAUCACAUUCCAAGGUCGCUUGACUGGAUUGUCUUCUAAAUCUUUCAACCUAUAAACACCGUUUCGAUCCACCUCGGUAAUAAUGUAAGGUCCUUCCCAAUUAAUUCCGAGUUUACCGGCACCUUCUUCUUUUCUGUUGUCAAAGACGCGCCUUAAUACAUAAUCUCCCACGAAGAACGGCCUACUUUUAACCUUAGAAUUGUAAUACCGGGCUGCUGCCUGUUGGUAAUUCUGGAUCCGAAUUAGAGCUUGAUCACGCCUUUCAUUUAUGGUAUCUAGUGAAUCAUUAAGCAUUGCUGAAUUUUCUUCCUCAUUUAAUGGUGCUUCUGUUCGGCGAAGUCCGGGCACAUUGAGUUCAGCUGGUACUACCGCCUCCAUGCCGUAAACCAAAGAGAAUGGAGUUUCUCCUGUAGGUCGCCUAGGGGUUGUACGGUAAGCCCAUAGGACGGGCUGGAGUUCUUCAUACCAUCCUCCCUUCAGAUGACUUAAGCGUUUCUUGAGGUUGCUUAAUAUUGUCUUGUUCGCGGCUUCAGCUUGACCGUUUCCUUGCGGAUAUCGUGGAGUAGAAUAACUAACUUUGAUUCCCCAGUCUGCACAAAAGGCAUCAAACUCGUGUGAAAUGAAUUGUGGUCCAUUAUCGGUGACUAUUUCGUAUGGAACUCCAUGUCGACAUAUAAUGUUUUUCCAAAUAAAGGUCUUCACCGCCGAAUCCUUGAUACCAACAUACGCCUCAGCUUCAAUCCAUUUUGAAAAGUAGUCCGUAAGGACUAAAAGGUACUGUACACCUCGAGUUGAUUUGUGUAAUGGUCCAAUGAUGUCCAUUGACCACCUCAUGAAUGGGUAUGGGGCGGAAAUGGAGGAGAAUAACUCCGACGGUUGAUGGAUUAAUGGCGCAUGGAGUUGGCAACGCUUGCAUCUUUGGGCGAACUUAACACAAUCUGUGAUCAUAGUGGGCCAAAAAUACCCCAUUCUUUUAACUUUAAAAGCCAUAGCUCUUCCUGAUGAAUGACUCCCACAUAAUCCUUCAUGCACUUCGCUCAUGACGAUUUCGACUUCGGGCCCAAAAAUGCAUAAUAGGUAAGGGUCACUGACACCUCGUCUGUAUAACGCAUCCUUUGAUAGACAAAAUUUCGCGCUAACGACUUUCAUUUUCCUGGCCUGCCAUUUAUUCUUUGGGAGCUCGCCUGUCGUGAUGUAGUGCUUUAUUGGCUCCCUCCAGUCAGCCCCCCAAUCUUUAGCCGGAAUUUGGUCAACUUUGUGAAAUAUUCGUGGCUCUGGUUCGGGAUGCUCGUUUGGUUCAAGAAUAUCCUCCUGGAUUAAUGGCUCGGUUUCUAACGUCGUUUCUGGAACCACUUCUUCAGCUAAGACAACGGGUUCCUUGUUAGAUGUAUUUGAUCCCUUUGAUUUCCUGCGUUUGUUGGGUGGCGGUUCGACCUCUGGUUCGCCACGGUCGCGUGCCGCUGCUCGAGACCUUGUAACGACGAGGGGUUCCUUGCUGUCUUGAAUGCUUCGCUCCGAGAUGCAUUCUACUGGAAUAACUCUCUUUAACUCAGGAUCUGAUGUUGACGCCAAUGCGGCAAGUGCAUCCGCAGUUGUAUUCUCUCCCCGAGGUAUGCGGAUUAAUUCGAAUUUCGAGAAAUUUUUAGAUAAAUCCUUCACCACUUCAAGGUACGCUUCCAUUCUUGAAUCUUUGGCUUUAUAGUCUCCAUUAAAUUGGUUAACUACUAAUUGCGAAUCGCAAUAAGCCAAUAUUUCCUUAGCCCCAACUCCUUGUGCUAGUCGAAGUCCGGCAAUAAGGGCUUCGUAUUCUGCCUCGUUGUUGGAGGCAUUGAAUAACAAUCGGAAUGAUUGUUCUAGAAUUUCUGAUGUUGGAGAUUCCAACUUGAUUCCCACCCCGGAUCCUUGUUUUGUUGAAGACCCGUCUACGUGUAAUUUCCAUGUUUGGUUCUCCGGUUGCUCUAUCGUUCCAAGUAUUGGUAGUUCGGUCAGGAAGUCCGCUAAGACCUGAGCCUUCAUACUGAUCCGGCUUUUGAAUUCUAUGUCGUACUCACUUAAUUCCACUGCCCAUUUUGCCAAACGUCCGGACUGACUUGGACUAUGAAGUAUUGUUCGGAGUGGUUGGUUAGUUAAUACUUCAAGCGGAUGGGAUUGAAAAUAUGGACGCAGCUUUCGAGCCGAAGUUACCACCGCGAGUGCAAGUUUUUCCAUCAUUGUGUAUCUGGUUUCCGGAUCCGUCAUUGACUUGCUCACGUAGUAAAUUGGUUUCUGCUCCCCACGGUCUUCCCGAACCAAGACUCCACUAACCGCGUGGUUUGAAACUGAUACGUACAAGUAAAGUUUUUCCUCCGCUUCUGGUUUGGACAGUACAGGUGGAGUGGUUAAGUAUGCCUUAAGCUGCCCAAAAGCUUCUUCACACUUCUCAUCCCAAAGGAAUCCUUUGUUCCCUUUUAGAAUUUGGUAGAAAGGCAACGACUUAUCUGUUGAUCUCGAGAUAAAACGAUUCAAAGCCGCAAUCCGCCCAGUCAACCGUUGUACUUCUUUGAAGUUUCUCGGAGAUGGCAUGUUUAGAAAGGCGUUAAUUUGAUUUGGAUUGGCUUCAAUCCCUCUUUCUGUCACGAUAUAGCCAAGAAAUUCUCCGGAUGGGACUCCAAAUGUGCACUUCGCCUGGUUCAGCUUCAUUUGAUAUUUAUUGAGAAUAUCAAAACAUUCCUCCAAAUGUUUAACAUGAUCUUCUUUCCUCAACGAUUUAACCAACAUAUCAUCUAUGUAGACUUCCAUAGUCUUCCCGAGGUGAUUGUGAAACAUUUUGUUCACCAACCGUUGGUAAGUUGCUCCUGCAUUUUUCAAACCAAAAGGCAUUAUCUUGUAACAGUAGAUACCUCUGUCUGUGAUAAAUGACGUCUUUUCUUGAUCUUCGGGGUUCAUCAUUAUCUGAUUAUAACCCGAGAAGGCGUCCAUGAAUGUUAAUAGCUCAUUUCCAGCGGUGGACUCUACGAGUCGAUCUAUAUGCGGGAGCGGGAAACUAUCUUUGGGACAUGCUUUAUUCAGGUCUGUAAAAUCGAUGCAAACUCUAUCUUUCCCAUUCUUUUUCUUGACAACGACAGUGUUUGCUACCCAUUCCGGAUAUUGCACUUCUCUUAUAGAUCCUAUCUUCAAAAGUUUAUCUACUUCGUCAUUUACUAUUUUGGCUCGCUCCACUCCGAGCUUUCUUCUUUUUUGUUUCACCGGUUUGAAGCUUGGAUCCACGUUUAGUUCAUGACAAAUUACACUCGGAUUUAUGCCAGGCAUGUCUGCUGCUGACCAUGCAAAUGAUGCUUUGUUUUUCCUUAAGAGUUCGAUCAAAGCUUCUUUUAUUUGGCCAGUCAAAGUUGCUCCAAUUCGAAUUUUCCGAUCUGGUUUGUCUUCUUCCAAUACCACUUCGACUACCACAUCCUCUUUUUCCUGCCCACUAGGAAAUUUCUGCCUUAGUCCUUCUUUUGCGGGCUUUGUUAAUUGCUAUUGGAUCUUCAAACGGUGGCUAGCUAAGUAACAUGUCCGUGAAGCUUCUUGAUCUCCCCGAAUUGUUUCCACCCCAUUUGAUGUUGGAAAUUUGAUACAUUGAUGAUAUGUAGAGGGGACUGCUUUCAUUCGAUAAAUCCAGGGAGUCCCGAGGAUAAUAUUGUAAGCUGCGGGCUUAUCGAAGACAACAAAGUCCACGAUCUUCGAUACCUUCUUGGCAAGGACCGGUAGCUUGAUUGUUCCGAGAGACAUGGCUGACUCGCUUGUGAACGCAACUAACGGAGAUGGGGGUCCUACUAUGUCUCCUCGGCUGAUUCCCAUUUUUUCUAGAGUACUUAAAAAGAUCAAGUUGACCGAACUGCCUGUAUCUAUAAGGAUCCUUGAUACUUCGAAGUUAGCGACAUCAAGAGUAAUGACUAGAGCAUCAUCGUGCGGUCUUUCGAGAUGCCGUGUUUCUUCUUCGUUAAAUGAUAUUGAGGCACCUUGAAAAUCAAUUUCUUCGCUCAAGCUUGCUUUGAGUAAGACAUUUCGUCUAUGCUUUUUGAUGGAACUUAUUGAAUCUCUGCAAAAUCUGGAACCUCCUAGAAUCACAUUGAUCUUACCCUUCGAUCUUCUUGGUUCUUCCUCGUUGGAUAACCUUGGUCUUUUGGAAUCUUGAUCUUUGGAGUUUUCCUUUGCUUCGUGGUAUUCCUUCACAAAAUCUUUUAUAUCGAAUUUAGAAAGAUCGCCGCUAGCCCAAAGCUCUGCGAGGUGCUUUUUAAGAACGCUGCAAUCCUUGGUUAAAUGUCCGGUUACUUUAUGAAUGUCGCAAUAUAGACUUUCAUCACGGACCCAAGUGUUUGAUCUUCCUUUCCCUUGGAAUUGCUUCCCGACGGUAUUGUUGAAGGGUUGUGACCCAAACUUCUUUGGUCCCUUGCUCUCCCUAGGCUCGAACUUCCUGGUAGGGACGGUGAUUGCCGACUUUUCUUGUUUAUUCCUUUUGGCAAAACUUUCUUUUUCGUCCUCUACCUCCAUCCAGUUGUUCGCGCGGAAGAGUGCAUCCUGAAUUGUGUCUGGUUUAUGAAGUAUUAAGUCUUCUUUAAACCUUGAAUCAUGUCGCAAUUCUUUUUGUAAGGCAGAUAAAGCUGAUUGCUGUGAGAUUCUUGGGAGUUUUGACAGCACUCCUUUGAAUUUGGUGAUGAAAACUCGAAGUGACAAGAAAAGUCGAUAGUUCGUCGAAAUUGCUGAUCGAACCCGGCUCUAAUUGGGUGAACCACAUUAGAGCUUGGCCACAUAGAUUCUCCGAAAACAGCUUGCAAUAGCCUGCGUCCUCAUCAGCUUCAUCCAAUUCGACUCUUCCUGCAGCGAUCAGAAAAGCUGCGAGAUAGCUUUUUGGAUCCUCCAAUCCGCUGUAAGGGUCCAAUUUGAGUUUCCGGGAAUCUUUGAUCCUCAAACUCGCAAUUCGCGAGAUGAAAGGUGUUCGCCUAGCUUCUUCAAUGACUCGAUUGAUGUCUGGCUCUGAAAUUGUAGCUUGAUGAAAUUUUGAUUUCAUUUCUUUUAAUUCCUGGCUAACCUUCUUCAUGGUCUCGAACUGGUCGAGGUUCUCCUGCUCAUACUGAGCUGCAAGUUGUUCUUCAUCCCCGAGCUGCGUUUCUUCCUCCAACGUCUGAGCUACAUUAUUAGUAGCACCGGGGGUUGUUUGUCCGUUGGUUUCAUUUUGUGCAGCGGAACUUGGCGAGUUGAAUAUCCCUCUUCGGAUUCCCACCGGGUUUCCUGCACUUAAAGAGCGAACACGAGUUUAUAUAGUAUUGACGUUUUGACUAAGAGAUACCUGGGAUGUUUGCAACGUAUCGACGGCCUUUUCCACAUCCGAGAACUUUUGUUAUAUGUCCGACAUGGUUUGCUGCAUAGCUUUGAGGGUUUCGGCCAAUGAUGUCUCAGCGGCGUCUCCUCCGGACAUUGUUGCUUAUCUCGGAAGUGUGAUAAAGAAAAAAUCUGACCACUCAAGAACCUAAUAUCCCCACAGACGGCGCCAAAAUGUGGAUGUCGGAUUCACACACUCAAGUAUUUUAUUAAGUAGGAAAGAUUAUUCUUGAGGGACAAAAAUGAAUAUGUAAAAACUUGUAGAUUGAUACGAAAAUUGCUAUAUUAUUUCUUUCUUGAGAGGAAGAUCCCCUUUACAUGGCCAUUGGCCUCUAUAUUUAUACCUAGGUAAACGUCAUUAAAAUGAGUAAUUAAGUACAAUUAUUCCUUCUUAAAUGUGUCCGUUUUGAUUCUUCGACUUUAAUGCUCAACGUUUGAAUUUGAGUUGACUCUGAUCUUCAUGGGCCUCGCCUCUUUUGGCCCAAGCGUCCUUGAACCGACUUUCCCGUGUCUUCUACACCGAACUCGUGUCACAGUGCAGUCACUUCGGAUUCUCGAAAUGGUGACAACCACUUCGACCGUCCCUUCGGCUCACGGGUCCAUUGGGCUCCUUUAUGGGCCAUUAUCUUGAUUACGUGGCAAUCUUUGGUUGGUCUCGUACUUCCGGUGCGGGAUCCGACACCAACAAGCGGGUCUCCUUGUCGUAAACCCCUCUCUGGUAUUAUUAGUCCUCUAGGUUGUCCAUUAAGGAGAACUCUAUAUUGGACUGUUGUAAUACACCACAUUAUCCAUUUAAUCCAUUUUUCACAGAAACCCAAUUUUCUUAAGACCUUCUCUAUGAAAGUCCAUUCCACCCUAUCAUAAGCCUUGCUCAUAUCCGUUUUAAUGGCCAUGAAUUUGCCUUUACAGGACGGGUUAGUUCUCAACCCAUGGAACAUCUCUUGUGCAAUGAGAAUAUUAUCUGAAAUCAAUCGUCCUUCUACAAAAGCUGAUUGUGUUUCCGAAAUCAGUUUUGGUAGCACCGUCUUUAGUCUUUGGCAAAGGAUCUUCGAUAUAAUUUUAUACCCAACAUUGCAAAGACUGAUAGGCCGUAAUUCCAUCAUCCGUGUCGGUCUUUCCGUUUUUGGAAUAAGGCAAAUAUUAGUCGUAUUUAACAGUUUAUCAAAAAUUUCAUCCUCUAAAAAGGAAUUGACCAAAGAAAGAAGGUCUGUUUUAAUAGUAACCCAAGCCUUUUGGAAAAAUAAGGCUGUCAUACCAUCAGGUCCUGGUGCCUUUUCCGGAUGCAUCAUAAACAGAGCCGUUCUCACCUCACACUCCAUUGCGGGUGCUGUUAGAAAAUUAUUAAUCUGAUCCGUAAUCAGAGUUUGAACUUCUGCCAAGGAUUCCUCAAAAGCCUCAGGCUUAGUUGUAGUAAACAGUUCUUUAAAAUAAGACACCGCUAUAUUAUGAAUAUCUUUAUCCUCUGCAGAUCAAAUUCCGUUUUCAUCAUGUAACCCUGUUAUUCGAUUUCUAGCCCGUCUUUGUUUUGUUAGUGCAUGAAAUACUUUGAAUUAUUAUCCCCUAACUGCAUCCGAAAGCUCCUACUUUUCUGAUGCCAAUACAAUUCCUCAUCUCGAUAAGCCUCUUUCAACCGCAAUGUUAAUUCGGUAAUCUCCUCCCGUGGUCUUCUAUCAUCUCUCUGAGCCACAAGUAAUUCCGAUUUUAGUUCCUCAAUUGUUUGCCGCCCAUAGGGAGUUAAAUCUUUCCUCCACUGCGAAAUAGCCCGCCUACAAUUAGUCAAUUUUUCUACAAAUUUUCCCUCUCCUAACUCAGGGUCAGAAUUCCAACCAUUUGAAAUUGCCUCGAAUAAUCCUUCCUUCCCAAUCCAUCUUUUAUCAAACCGAAAAUUUCUUUUCCCACAUGGGAUCUUAUCCAUGAGUGUAGCUACCACCGGUGAAUGGUCGAAAGCUACCAUUGGUAAAUAUUCAACGAAAGAAUUGCAGAAUAAUUCAUGCCAAUCUUCGUUCGCUAAAGCUCUAUCCAAACGACACCGUAUUGGUUUCUUAUCCCGCCAACCCCGCCAUGAUAACCAGUCUCCGAUAUAUGGGAAUUCCAAAAGACCGCAAUUUUGAAUCAUUAAAUUAAAAGGUAUAAAAGAAGAUGCAUGUCUUAAGUUACCACCUCUUUUCUCGUGAUUUCCGGUUAACUCAUUAAAAUCGCCUAUUAAGAACCAGGGUGUGUCUCUAAUCAAACCGAUCCGUGUUAACCGUUCCCAAACUUGAUCUCUAUUUUUCGGAACCGGAUCACCAUAAACAAAAGUAAGAUGUAUUGUUUUUCCUUUUACCACUGCCUCAACAUCAAUUAAACGAUUACUUUCAUAAAUAAUUGAAACAUUAAAAUCAUUAUUAUAAUAAAGAGGUAAACCGCCACUACAACCGAUAGGAUCGACCGUUUUUAAAUUUUUGUAACCAAAAUGACCGAUAAACUCGUUAACUCAGAUAUAAUUUUCUUAAAAUCUUAAUCAAUUAAAAGUUCAUUUUACCUAAAUUUAGUUAUUUGAAAAAAAAAUUUAGUUCUUUUUGGUUCACCGAAAUACUAAGUCAGUCUAACAUGGUUCAUAUGUACAACUGAUUUCUCUAUGUUAGGGAAGAGAUAUGGGGUAAUUGGUAGUGUGGUUUUUAGAGCAAUAAACAUUGGUCUUCCUCACGAUCUAUUACAUGUAAUUCGAUGAACUCUCCGACAAGUCUCCGAUAAAUUAUUCUAGCAUAGUACUAUUUUGUUAAUUAUCCACAAAAAUUUGGCUAUUUUGUACAUAUUCUCUAUUUUAUAAUUGAUUUAAAAUAUUUUGUUGGCAUUUUUUAUAGCACUUGACUCUUCUAUAAAAUUGCUACACUUUCACCAUUUUUUUUUCGCCCGUCUGCUACACUCUCUCUCUAAAUCUCAUUAAUUGUAAACAUUUUUUAAAAUCUUUGAUGUAAAAAAAAUCAUUUUUUAAAUUCUUACAAAUAUUUUUUUUGUAUAAUUUUUUAAAAUAAUUUACAAGUUGUAGCAGACAAAAUAAGUUACUUUAAAUUUUAAUUACUUACAGAUUACAAGUUACAACUAGGUUAGAGCCCGCGGUGCCACCGCGGGGAAGAUAUUUCUUUACGUUUGUUUGUGAUUUGAUUUUUAAUAUUGUUCGUGUUUUAUUGUUUUUAUUAAAAUGUGUCUGUAAAGUGUAGAAUAAUAAAAAUCACAUAAUAAGAAGACAUGGACAUUUGGAUUCAAUAUUGGUAAGAAUAAGGCCCAAUCUGAAGCCCAACUUUUGACAUAAUAUUUAUGAAAUUGGGCUUAGAUAUGGAAAAUGAUUAGGACUGCAAUAUGAAAUGUGUCUGUUCAAAGAGUCUAAUACGUGUAACGUGUACAAACAACAGAAAACAAAACAAAGGGUAAACGAAGAAGACGAAAUCUCCAUUCUUCUUCUGCAAUGAAAUCAAAAUAUCCCAGAGACCCAUCAAUUGAUAGAGUGCAUCUCCGAAUUCUAUCGUUGUUAGCAAAUUUAAUGGAAUUAAAAUCGAAGAGGUAAGAAAAAUUCAUGUUUUACAUCUAUAAGAUCCAUGAAAUUUGCAAUCGAUUCAUAAUCAGAACUUACAAUUCAAUAAUACAUUGUCGAGAUUAAGUAGUUAUAAUAGAUGAAAAUGAUUUAUUAUACAGGUAGCUUGGGUUGUAGUUUGUGAAGAUUGAUGUACAGUGAAAUAGUGACCUUAAAAAUGGCGAUAAGGUAAAUCGAAAAUCGUAUAUAAUUCCUAUAUCUAUCGAUUUAGUAAGUUUCAACAAAAGAACUUAUAUUUUAAUGUAUUCUAUUGAUAAGAAAUGAAAAACUGUAAUUAAGUUAAAUAGGUGAUGUAUCAUAAUAUAAGAUAGACUUAUUGUAUGCAUUUUAUUUGAAUCUCUGUUUUUAAAGUAGUGUUAGCAAAUCUGGGGCAUAUUUUCUUUUUAUAUAAGAUAGACUUAUUGUAUGCAUUAUAUGAUAUAUCAUAAAAUGAUAAGUUUGUUAUGGGGCACAUUUUAUUUUUCUAUAUUAUAGGGAAUAAUAUAACAAUCUAUAUAUACAUUUUUGAAUGACUUUUAGCAAAUAAAUCUUGGAGUUGGACCUUAUUUACGGAUGAAUGUCAUUGGCAUUAAUUAUUUAAAUUUGAAAAAUAUUAAUUAAAGAUAUUACCAAUACGAUUUCGAGAAUCAUAAAUUCAUAUCUUCCUUAAUUUUCUGAGUCAUUAAUGUGAUAAUCUUUAGGAAAUAUUUCUCUGUAAAAAAAAAAAAAUCCACAUUAAUGAAGGCAUUAAAAUCGACACUAACAAUUAAAUUAUUUAGAUGUUCAAUUAUUUUAAGAUUCUUAUAUCUUAUUUGAUAUUUUUUUUUUUAAUAUCUCAUUCUUUAAUUACUGCGUUUAGAAUUUAUUGGCUGUUACCUAUUUUUUGGUGAAAUUUAUUGGUUGUUACUUAAUAAGUAAUUAUGGUGCGUUUAUUUUAGUUAAUAUCUAAUUUAAAGGAUUUGUAUAUAUAUCUUAUGGGAACCAUUUAAAAGAAAUUUUUAAAUUAACUUGAAUUAUAUAGCUUUUAAAUAAAAGUAUUAUUAAAAAGAAAAAUAACUAAAUAAUGUUUAAUUUCACGGGACGGGUAAUAUGAUGGGACGGGUUUGGGUUGAUAUUUAUAAAAGAUCGUAUACCACGGGUGAAAUCCUAAAAUUAACAAUCAAAAUAAUCUAUCAAACAAAUUACAUUUUGAUUUUUUUAAGAAAAUAUAGCCCCGCGGUGUACCGCGGGUUAAAAUCUAGUUCAUUAUAUUUCUCAAUUAGAUUUCCUAAAUUAUGGUUGAUUUAAUUACUUUAAAAUGAUAAAUCGAUUGAGAAAAUGAUCAAGUUGCCAUAUUAGUCGGAUUUGUUUUGCAAGGUAUAUAUUGUAGAUCCAUUUUUAUGCUUACGGGUCAUUAUUGUGUGGAUAAUUCCUUUUGAAAUCGAAUGAUCAAAUUACCAUAAUUACGGGUCAAUUCUCCUCAAUUUUUUAAUUUAACCCGAUCCGAAUUGAAUUUGUACUUCUCUUUUAAUAGUAUUGAGAAGAGAUUCUGAGCAACCAGAAAAAGAAAAAACAAAAAAAAAAAUUAUACUAGUUUUUUUUUGUCAAUUCUAUAGAAAGGUCAUACAGAAGAAUUCACCGACUUGUUGGAAAGUGGCGGAAAAAAAAAAAAAAAGACCCGCGAGAACUUUAGCAAUGGUGCCACGCUGGCAAUCCGCGUGAUUCAUGAUUAACCAAUCAAAAUCCAUUAUCAUAAUACUAUAUAUACCAGAAAUCACCACCAAAACCCUAAAUCACUCCAGUCACAAAACUCAGUCUUCUCUACUCAUUUUUCAAUCGCCUCUUCAAAUUUUCCGAUAAAUAAAAGAUGAGUUCCGGCGCCGGCAGUGGAACAACCAAAGGAGGCAGAGGAAAGCCGAAAGCUACAAAGUCCGUUUCUCGAUCGUCUAAAGCUGGUCUUCAGUUUCCCGUUGGAAGAAUCGCUAGAUUCCUUAAAGCCGGAAAAUACGCUGAACGUGUUGGUGCCGGUGCUCCGGUUUAUCUCUCCGCCGUUCUUGAGUACCUCGCCGCUGAGGUAACGAACAAUCUUCUGAUUUCUCGAUUCCGAUUUUUCAGUUCCUGGAUUUUGAUUUCGAUUGCAAAAUUGUGUUUAGUCUUUAGUCUAUGAUGAGAAUCAUGUGAUUCAUUGCGAGGCACGAUAAGUUCCCGAUUACUCGAUCUCUGUUCCGUUAAUUUUGAUUUGAAUUGUGUAAUCGGUUUUGUUGUUCGUCAAUUGCUUGCUCUAUAUGAGAAUUGAGAAUCACUCGGUUGAUAUAUCACUAGAAGUUUGAUAAUCUUCGGAUUUCUCGAUUUUUGCGGAAUGAUUAUGAUCUACUUGAUAUGUAUUAUCGGCUGAUUUUUCGAUCUCUGCUUAACUGGUUCGAUGUUAAGGUGUCUGCUAGAGUCUGAUGUUGAUAUGAUCGUAGCUAUUGGAGCUUGCUGGAAAUGCGGCAAGAGAUAACAAGAAGACACGUAUCGUACCACGACACAUUCAGCUUGCAGUGAGAAACGAUGAAGAGCUUAGUAAACUUCUUGGAAGUGUAACAAUCGCUAAUGGAGGAGUUUUGCCUAAUAUUCAUCAGACACUUCUCCCAUCAAAGGUUGGGAAGAACAAAGGCGAUAUCGGAUCCGCUUCUCAAGAAUUUUGAUUCUUAUUUCUUGGUUGAAUUUUUAGCUUGUAACAUAGACAUGGCUCUCUAUUCCACAAUAGUUUUGGGAUUUUCAUAUGGUUUAAAAUCUGUGUUUGCAAAUGAAGUUAUGAAUUUGGUUUGAAGAUCAGAAAUAGUUAAAUUUGAUGUCUAGAAAUUGCAGAUUCAAUUGCUUCAAUACAAGCACCAAUAGGUUUGGCUUUAGCAAUUGCUUCUGCAAGUGAAACUCUUGCUUCGCUGUGAGAAUGUAAUAAGGAGACAGUGUUGGAAACAGCCCAUCUUAUAUGAGCCUCUUUCUCUGUUUCUGUGAACCCGAGCCAACGCAGAACAUCGAUUAACUGUAGCAACAUAAAAUUUCAAAAACCGUUAGAGAUUAUAGUUUCACACUGCAUUUCGAACUAGAAAAAGAUUGAGAUUGCAUAAACCUUGACAACAUCUNNNNNNNNNNNNNNNNNNNNNNNNNNNNNNNNNNNNNNNNNNNNNNNNNNNNNNNNNNNNNNNNNNNNNNNNNNNNNNNNNNNNNNNNNNNNNNNNNNNNNNNNNNNNNNNNNNNNNNNNNNNNNNNNNNNNNNNNNNNNNNNNNNNNNNNNNNNNNNNNNNNNNNNNNNNNNNNNNNNNNNNNNNNNNNNNNNNNNNNNNNNNNNNNNNNNNNNNNNNNNNNNNNNNNNNNNNNNNNNNNNNNNNNNNNNNNNNNNNNNNNNNNNNNNNNNNNNNNNNNNNNNNNNNNNNNNNNNNNNNNNNNNNNNNNNNNNNNNNNNNNNNNNNNNNNNNNNNNNNNNNNNNNNNNNNNNNNNNNNNNNNNNNNNNNNNNNNNNNNNNNNNNNNNNNNNNNNNNNNNNNNNNNNNNNNNNNNNNNNNNNNNNNNNNNNNNNNNNNNNNNNNNNNNNNNNNNNNNNNNNNNNNNNNNNNNNNNNNNNNNNNNNNNNNNNNNNNNNNNNNNNNNNNNNNNNNNNNNNNNNNNNNNNNNNNNNNNNNNNNNNNNNNNNNNNNNNNNNNNNNNNNNNNNNNNNNNNNNNNNNNNNNNNNNNNNNNNNNNNNNNNNNNNNNNNNNNNNNNNNNNNNNNNNNNNNNNNNNNNNNNNNNNNNNNNNNNNNNNNNNNNNNNNNNNNNNNNNNNNNNNNNNNNNNNNNNNNNNNNNNNNNNNNNNNNNNNNNNNNNNNNNNNNNNNNNNNNNNNNNNNNNNNNNNNNNNNNNNNNNNNNNNNNNNNNNNNNNNNNNNNNNNNNNNNNNNNNNNNNNNNNNNNNNNNNNNNNNNNNNNNNNNNNNNNNNNNNNNNNNNNNNNNNNNNNNNNNNNNNNNNNNNNNNNNNNNNNNNNNNNNNNNNNNNNNNNNNNNNNNNNNNNNNNNNNNNNNNNNNNNNNNNNNNNNNNNNNNNNNNNNNNNNNNNNNNNNNNNNNNNNNNNNNNNNNNNNNNNNNNNNNNNNNNNNNNNNNNNNNNNNNNNNNNNNNNNNNNNNNNNNNNNNNNNNNNNNNNNNNNNNNNNNNNNNNNNNNNNNNNNNNNNNNNNNNNNNNNNNNNNNNNNNNNNNNNNNNNNNNNNNNNNNNNNNNNNNNNNNNNNNNNNNNNNNNNNNNNNNNNNNNNNNNNNNNNNNNNNNNNNNNNNNNNNNNNNNNNNNNNNNNNNNNNNNNNNNNNNNNNNNNNNNNNNNNNNNNNNNNNNNNNNNNNNNNNNNNNNNNNNNNNNNNNNNNNNNNNNNNNNNNNNNNNNNNNNNNNNNNNNNNNNNNNNNNNNNNNNNNNNNNNNNNNNNNNNNNNNNNNNNNNNNNNNNNNNNNNNNNNNNNNNNNNNNNNNNNNNNNNNNNNNNNNNNNNNNNNNNNNNNNNNNNNNNNNNNNNNNNNNNNNNNNNNNNNNNNNNNNNNNNNNNNNNNNNNNNNNNNNNNNNNNNNNNNNNNNNNNNNNNNNNNNNNNNNNNNNNNNNNNNNNNNNNNNNNNNNNNNNNNNNNNNNNNNNNNNNNNNNNNNNNNNNNNNNNNNNNNNNNNNNNNNNNNNNNNNNNNNNNNNNNNNNNNNNNNNNNNNNNNNNNNNNNNNNNNNNNNNNNNNNNNNNNNNNNNNNNNNNNNNNNNNNNNNNNNNNNNNNNNNNNNNNNNNNNNNNNNNNNNNNNNNNNNNNNNNNNNNNNNNNNNNNNNNNNNNNNNNNNNNNNNNNNNNNNNNNNNNNNNNNNNNNNNNNNNNNNNNNNNNNNNNNNNNNNNNNNNNNNNNNNNNNNNNNNNNNNNNNNNNNNNNNNNNNNNNNNNNNNNNNNNNNNNNNNNNNNNNNNNNNNNNNNNNNNNNNNNNNNNNNNNNNNNNNNNNNNNNNNNNNNNNNNNNNNNNNNNNNNNNNNNNNNNNNNNNNNNNNNNNNNNNNNNNNNNNNNNNNNNNNNNNNNNNNNNNNNNNNNNNNNNNNNNNNNNNNNNNNNNNNNNNNNNNNNNNNNNNNNNNNNNNNNNNNNNNNNNNNNNNNNNNNNNNNNNNNNNNNNNNNNNNNNNNNNNNNNNNNNNNNNNNNNNNNNNNNNNNNNNNNNNNNNNNNNNNNNNNNNNNNNNNNNNNNNNNNNNNNNNNNNNNNNNNNNNNNNNNNNNNNNNNNNNNNNNNNNNNNNNNNNNNNNNNNNNNNNNNNNNNNNNNNNNNNNNNNNNNNNNNNNNNNNNNNNNNNNNNNNNNNNNNNNNNNNNNNNNNNNNNNNNNNNNNNNNNNNNNNNNNNNNNNNNNNNNNNNNNNNNNNNNNNNNNNNNNNNNNNNNNNNNNNNNNNNNNNNNNNNNNNNNNNNNNNNNNNNNNNNNNNNNNNNNNNNNNNNNNNNNNNNNNNNNNNNNNNNNNNNNNNNNNNNNNNNNNNNNNNNNNNNNNNNNNNNNNNNNNNNNNNNNNNNNNNNNNNNNNNNNNNNNNNNNNNNNNNNNNNNNNNNNNNNNNNNNNNNNNNNNNNNNNNNNNNNNNNNNNNNNNNNNNNNNNNNNNNNNNNNNNNNNNNNNNNNNNNNNNNNNNNNNNNNNNNNNNNNNNNNNNNNNNNNNNNNNNNNNNNNNNNNNNNNNNNNNNNNNNNNNNNNNNNNNNNNNNNNNNNNNNNNNNNNNNNNNNNNNNNNNNNNNNNNNNNNNNNNNNNNNNNNNNNNNNNNNNNNNNNNNNNNNNNNNNNNNNNNNNNNNNNNNNNNNNNNNNNNNNNNNNNNNNNNNNNNNNNNNNNNNNNNNNNNNNNNNNNNNNNNNNNNNNNNNNNNNNNNNNNNNNNNNNNNNNNNNNNNNNNNNNNNNNNNNNNNNNNNNNNNNNNNNNNNNNNNNNNNNNNNNNNNNNNNNNNNNNNNNNNNNNNNNNNNNNNNNNNNNNNNNNNNNNNNNNNNNNNNNNNNNNNNNNNNNNNNNNNNNNNNNNNNNNNNNNNNNNNNNNNNNNNNNNNNNNNNNNNNNNNNNNNNNNNNNNNNNNNNNNNNNNNNNNNNNNNNNNNNNNNNNNNNNNNNNNNNNNNNNNNNNNNNNNNNNNNNNNNNNNNNNNNNNNNNNNNNNNNNNNNNNNNNNNNNNNNNNNNNNNNNNNNNNNNNNNNNNNNNNNNNNNNNNNNNNNNNNNNNNNNNNNNNNNNNNNNNNNNNNNNNNNNNNNNNNNNNNNNNNNNNNNNNNNNNNNNNNNNNNNNNNNNNNNNNNNNNNNNNNNNNNNNNNNNNNNNNNNNNNNNNNNNNNNNNNNNNNNNNNNNNNNNNNNNNNNNNNNNNNNNNNNNNNNNNNNNNNNNNNNNNNNNNNNNNNNNNNNNNNNNNNNNNNNNNNNNNNNNNNNNNNNNNNNNNNNNNNNNNNNNNNNNNNNNNNNNNNNNNNNNNNNNNNNNNNNNNNNNNNNNNNNNNNNNNNNNNNNNNNNNNNNNNNNNNNNNNNNNNNNNNNNNNNNNNNNNNNNNNNNNNNNNNNNNNNNNNNNNNNNNNNNNNNNNNNNNNNNNNNNNNNNNNNNNNNNNNNNNNNNNNNNNNNNNNNNNNNNNNNNNNNNNNNNNNNNNNNNNNNNNNNNNNNNNNNNNNNNNNNNNNNNNNNNNNNNNNNNNNNNNNNNNNNNNNNNNNNNNNNNNNNNNNNNNNNNNNNNNNNNNNNNNNNNNNNNNNNNNNNNNNNNNNNNNNNNNNNNNNNNNNNNNNNNNNNNNNNNNNNNNNNNNNNNNNNNNNNNNNNNNNNNNNNNNNNNNNNNNNNNNNNNNNNNNNNNNNNNNNNNNNNNNNNNNNNNNNNNNNNNNNNNNNNNNNNNNNNNNNNNNNNNNNNNNNNNNNNNNNNNNNNNNNNNNNNNNNNNNNNNNNNNNNNNNNNNNNNNNNNNNNNNNNNNNNNNNNNNNNNNNNNNNNNNNNNNNNNNNNNNNNNNNNNNNNNNNNNNNNNNNNNNNNNNNNNNNNNNNNNNNNNNNNNNNNNNNNNNNNNNNNNNNNNNNNNNNNNNNNNNNNNNNNNNNNNNNNNNNNNNNNNNNNNNNNNNNNNNNNNNNNNNNNNNNNNNNNNNNNNNNNNNNNNNNNNNNNNNNNNNNNNNNNNNNNNNNNNNNCGGUUGGUCUGAACUGCCCAGACGGCAGGCAGCUGCUGCGCCGGUGACACCAGCAUGAGGGGGUCGGUUGUAGGCUGUUAACAUAUUUAGCAACCAAAUCCUUCUUCACAGAAGCAUGAAUCUUGACACCCUGUUUUAAUAAUGAAGUAGAAUUAGAGUUAGGUUUUUAGAUGUUGCUCAUGUAUAGAAAUAUAAAAUGCUACUCUCUGAUAUAUUGUUGUUUUACCUGUGAAUCAGCGAGGACCAACUCAAGGGUUUCACCUGUGUUGUUGGUAUACUGGCGCCAAGAAUGGAGCACCUUAACCUGGACACGCCAAGAUGUCUUGUAUGGUCUGACAUCUCUUAACAUUGCAAAUUGGGAAGCCAUUGGUGAAGGUAAAUAAAGAAAAUUUUAUUAUCUGAUAUAUUGCUAUUGGGAAAUGAGAGAUUGUGUGAAUAGAGACGAUGGGAAUGAGCGGCUAUUUAUAUAGUUUGAAUUAGUAGGUUCCAUUAGGUUUAGGCGAAUAUUAUAAAAUCCUUGAUGAUCAAGGAUUAAAUAUAUUGCGUGAUCUUAAUUAUUGGAAUAAAAGAGAAUAUGCUAGGUUAAUUUCUGCGAGAAUAUAGAUGAAAUCUCUUCUAUAUUAACUAUUUUCCAACUCAAUAAGAUCACUCCGAGAUACAUGCUUCAGUUGAUAGAAAGAAAUGAUAAAUGGAGUAGUUACUAUUGCGUUAUAAUAGGGAAGAUUAGAUAUGCUAUGAAUGUUUGCUUCUUGAUUGGUGUAACUGGAAAUAUUUUGUGUAUCUUUAACUGAGAUUGAAUUGAGAAACUUAAUCAUUUCUGCCAUGAAUGUAGGUCGCCGCAACUAAGGAAAGAUUUGGUGAAAAAAAUCGGAGCAAACUAUCAAAUUUGGUAAGAUCCGAAUGUCUAGUAAGCGGGUCAAAAUUAAAGAUUUCCGGGUCAUAUUUUGACCCGAUUUGGGGACCCCAAAAACUGCUGCAAAAAUGUAUAGUAGAUAAACUGCUAAACCAAACCAUUUCGAAACAACCGAAAACAGAUUGAAAUUCUUCUAUAAACCGACUGGUUUUGAUAAGAUGAAUCCAAAAACCAAAAUCGAUUUUUAGUGUAUCCAAAUAAAACUUUUUUAUUAAUUAAAAUCAAAACAAAUCUAGACUUAAGAUAAAACCAUAGUUUCAUCAAAUAAAAAUAAAAUGAUAAACAGUUUUUAUUUGGUUUCAUUCUGUAAAACCGAAAAAUAAAAUAACACGAAGAAUCUCAAACCGAAAUCAAAACGAAUUUGUAACUGCAGAUUUUAUCCAAAGAAAAUGGUAAAAAAAAAAAUAAAUAGUAGUCAACGCAAGUCAGCAGAUCGAAGAAUAAUAUGAUUGGGUAGUCUAGUUUAGUUUCGUGGUCGCGAGGCAGUAGAUUAUUUGCUGAUCUUCCCUAUAGACUGAAACCACCGGAAGACGACGGUACCAACCGUUAAUUAACAGCCGUCAAAAGACGUGACGAAACAUUCCUCAGCGUUUCCUUUCAGUUUCCUUUAAGCUCUCGAUUGUGUUUGUUUAGGCAACGAGAAAAAAGCGAGAGAAAGAUAAAGGUUUUCACUUUUUUCUUCAUCUGUCUGUAUUUUCAUUUUCUGGGUUUUAAGGGUUUCGCUUGCAAAGUCGAGAGCUUUUUCUUUUUGGGUGGGUUACAAUGGCGGGUGAUUGUGCAAUUGACACCGAGAAAUACUCUCUGUUGGAGGAUUUUAAUGUCGAUGUUGAAGUCGAAAACAAAGCUUUUGAGACUUUCUCACUUUGUUUUUGGGUUUAUCUCUUAGAUUCCACCACAUACCCUUCUACAAUUAUCAGACAGGUGAGUUCUCGAAAUCUUUUGUUAUUGAAAUGUUCAUCUCUUGAGUUCUGUUAUAUAAUCGAUCUUGCAUAUUCAUCUCUUCUUGCUUGUUGGAAUUGGGGGAAAAAGUUGGAACUUUGAGUUGCUUCUUUGAAAUUUCGAGUUCAGUUUUGUCUUCCCAUUUUUUGUUAUUCUUGUUUAUUUACCGAUUUUGAGGUUGAUCGCUGUGAUUUCAUUAUAGGAGUGUCUGAUUGAAACAACAGCUUCUGAUUAAAAAUAGUGGCUUUCUUCUCAGGUUCACUCUGACAUGAGCGUUAGUGCACCUUUCCUUGUUCUAGAUGAAAACAAGAAGAUGAUGCUUUUGCCAUUGACUCUCCUUCACAAUGAAGCUCCUGAUCCUGUUAACAUUUCUUCUUGGACUGAAGUUCCUAAUGUUUCUACAACUGCUGAGUUUCCUCUUCAAAAAUGGGUUCAUGUGGGUUGCGAGGUAAUAAUAAUUAUAAGAUCUCUGAGGACUCUUAUUAUUUUAUUCAAUAUCUAUCUUCUGGGCAUUUACUGAUCUCUGGUGUCACUUAGGUUUCUAGAAACUACAUGCGCCUUUAUAUUUGUGGAGAGAUUGUAGGAGAGCAAGUCUUAACUUCCUUGAUGACCAAUAGUACAAAUUCAGAUUGCGCACGAAAGAUAUCGUUAUUCAGUGUUGGUGGAGAUGGUUAUAGUGUUCAGGGUUUCAUCCACUGUGCUGAAGUUUUGCCUUCUAAUGUCCCGGCAAAUUAUCACUACACAAAGGUAGUCUCUUGUCUUUGCCCUCUCCUCCUUUUCAACAAAAGACUCUUGUCCUGUGUUUCUUUAUUUCGCUUCAUUUCUUCGCCAGGACCCACCUUUAUGGUUAUCUGUUGAUAAGCCAUCUACAUCUGGAAUUGGAUUAGAUAAAGAUGGUGUUUGGAUUAUCGUUAGCGGAACAUUUUGUUCCUUGGAUGUUGUUUUAACCAAUGCUAUUGGACAGCCUGUGCACAAGGAUGUGAAGGUUCAUUCUCUUAUGCUUUCUCUAAACUUUUGUGUUUGUUUAGCUCUGGAAGUAUUUCUGGUAGCGCAUUAUUGGUUUGAUGUUGCAGGUUGUGGCUUCUCUACUGUAUGCUGAUAGUGGGAUGCCAGUUGAGAAGAUGAGUGACUCGGAGGCUCCCCUUUUGGUAAGCUAUGAAGGAGUUGAAUUCUCUGCUGAAGAUAAGCCAUGCAACUUAUUGAACGGAUGUGCUUCUUUCAAGCUCAAAUUAUCUCAGGUGGUGAUUAUAAUAAAUUCUAAGCCUUUGGAACGGGAUAUCACAUUCUCGUUAGAAUUCUUGUCUCUUCUUAGAGGCAUUGAAGGAUUCUUGUUUUGAUUUGUCUUGUAGCUUUCUUCCAAGAGUGAUAAGAGAUUGUUCUGUGUCAAAUUCGAAAUACCAGAAGUGAAGGCCUAUUAUCCUUUCCUUGAAACUGUUACCAACCAAAUCCGUUGCAUUUCGAGGAACCAUGAUUCUCUUACCCCUAAAAGGUCGAAUCGCAUAGAUUAUCCAUUAGAUGGAGGAGAACCAGAACUUGCUUCAAGAAGUAAUGGAACAUCCGACAUUCUACAUAGCUCUUCCUCUAUGAAACGGAUCAGAUUAGGGGAAGAAAAGGUUUCUGAGAGUGAGGUACAUAAUCAAUUUCUCUGAGUUACGUUUGUUUUGCUUUGUAUCCAUAUCCCACGUACUGUUAUUCUGCAUUGUUGUUUCUUUCGAGUUAGACUGAGAAUGGAAAUGGUACGAGUAUGGAAUGGAGACCUCAGAACCAUGAAGAAGAAGACGAAGAAGAUAACUCUUCAACUGAUUCCGAAAACACUGAAAUUAGAGACUCGACUGCUUUCAGGAGAUAUACAAUCUCAGACUCGAUUAUUUUCAAAUACUGCCUUGGAAACUUAACAGAGAGAGCUCUUCUUCUGAAGGAAAUCACAAAUAAUUCAUCAGAUGAAGAAGUCUCGGAAUUUGUAGAUCAAGUUUCUCUCUAUUCCGGAUGCUUCCACCACAGGUAAAGAAAUGAAAUUAAACUCACACCUGCCUCAAAUAUGUAUAUUACGAAAAUAAAAUAGAUCACUAAUCUUUCAAAUUUUCCAGCUAUCAAAUCAAAAUGGCAAGACAAUUGAUAGCAGAAGGAACAAAUGCGUGGAAUCUGAUAUCUCGGAACUAUCAACAUGUUCAUUGGGACAAUGUGGUAAUUGAGAUUGAAGAACAUUUCAUGAGAAUAGCUAAAUGCAGCAGUAGAUCUCUCACUCACCAGGUCAUAUUUCUUUCACCAAGAUCAAAGUUUUGCUCUUGUCGCCGUGAUUCUGACAUUAAAUUGUAAUCAGGAUUUUGACCUUCUAAGAAGAAUAUGUGGAUGCUAUGAAUACAUAACUCAAGAGAAUUUUGAGAAAAUGUGGUGUUGGUUGUUCCCUGUUGCUUCGGCUAUAUCCAGGGGAUUGAUUAACGGAAUGUGGCGCUCAGCUUCGCCUAAAUGGAUAGAAGGGUUUGUGACUAAAGAAGAGGCAGAACGUUCGCUUCAGAAUCAAGUAGCGGGAACUUUCAUUCUCAGGUUCCCUACUUCAAGAAGCUGGCCACAUCCUGAUGCUGGUUCCUUGGUUGUGACUUAUGUCGGUCAUGAUUUAGUUAUUCAUCAUAGAUUACUCACAAUCGAUCACAUCUGCGAGUAAGUAAAUCUCUACAUCUCCUCUCUCCCUCUCUCAGUGUCUGUCUUGUGACAAUUGUUUUUGUUUUUAGUUCUAGUGAAAGGUAUACAGAUGCAAAACCGUUGCAAGAUAUGCUUUUGGCGGAACCUGAGCUAUCCCGGCUUGGAAGGUGAGAGAGAGAGAGAAGAGAAAGGUUUUUGUUAUUGUUGAUGCAAAGAGAGAUCGAAUUCAUGAUCUGAAAUUGGUGUUUUUUGGUUUGUUGCAUUUUUCAGGAUCAUAAGAGGCAUUUGAAUAUCAAGACACUCAACAAGAUAGACAAGCAUCGACUAUUAUUGAGGUUUAUUAUACUUUGGCUAGUAUAUAUGUACACAUAUAGAUUUGCUAAGUCUCUCUAUUUACUGAUGAUACUAACUUGUGUAAAGGAAGCUCAGUGAUUUAAAUUAGGUGGAAAGGGUUUUUAUUUUAAAAGCUGUACUUAUUUGUUUAAUCUAAAAUCAAUUAAAUUCAGUUACCGACAGAAAAGAAAGAAAGGAGUUACGAUUUUUGCUUCUUUAGCUUAAUUUUUUUUAAUAUAUUUGUGUGGCCCAUUUAUGCCCUAAUAUAUUGCUUGGUCCCCCUAAUCCCUUGAAUUGAUUUUUGAUUAUUUAUUUUUUAGUUUGUAUUUAAAUUUUAAAGCUUUUAAGAAAAUUUAACCAUUGUUUUUAAUCUUCUCAUAUAUGUAAACGGACUAUGGAAUGAGAAAAAUCUAUUAAAAAUUAACUGAAUGGAAUUGUAAACUACCAAGUCAUAACAGUAAUUACUUUGAUUUACAAAAAAAAAAAAGAGACAGAAUUCAUUUUAUCAAUGAAGUUGGAAACUUAUGUCAACAUUUAAAAAUCAUGGUUUCACGUAAUUUGAUGAUUUGUUAUAAACAAAAAAAAAAAAAAAAAAAACCCUAGAACCGAAAGUAUUGUACGGUAAAAACUUAUAAAAAUAGUGAGAUCUAGAAUAAUGAUAUUAUAAUUCUCUUAAAAUAAGAAAAAUGGAUAUUCUCUAAUCUCGAAAUAUUUGAUACGAGUUAGAUGACAGACCAAUAGAUAGAACACACGUGGUGACAUUUCAGCUUCUGAUUAGAACGAUGGACUCUCUUUUUUUUUUCCCUCUCUCUAAGUAAUUUGUAUAUUGAAUUAAAGAAAAAACGGACACACACAAAUCUGAAAAUCUCUCUCGUCCUCCGAAGGUCGAGUUUUGAGAGCGAGUGAGAGUUCUUCUUAUGUGGUUUUGUCUCGUCCACCCAAAGAAAAUCAUCAAAAAAUAAAUAAAAGGGAUCGAUUCACAAACUUAUAAAUUUCUCUGUCUUUUUUAUUUUUUAUAUUUCCGAAAAUUUUCCAUACACACAUCCAAUCUCGCUCGUCAGCACAAAUUAACAUUGGACUCUCAGUUCCCGAAGAUUCUUCUCUUUGGACUCUUAGUUUCCGAAACUUAUUAACCGUCUUUUCUUUGGUUUUUGGGUUUGCAUAAAAGUUGUCGUCACUUGUGGAUUUUGUCUGAGAAAUGAUGAUGUCAUGUCGGAAUAUAGACUUGGGUACGAGUGUUCUUGAUCAUUCUUGUAGCUCUUCUUCAACAAGUCGUCGAUUCUUGUUUGGGAAUUGUUCCAAGAAUGUUUGUAUGAUUGGUGGCAGAAGCUAUGCUGGAAAUUUGGUCUUUCUCCGGCGAGAUUUCGGUACUUGCAGAGCGGUUCCGGCUAAAUCCAAGGAGAAUUCUCUGGUCAAUGGUAAACGAUUUUUCUGAUUUUGGUUGAUUGAGAUUCUUUGAUUUUUGAGGUUUGGUUGGUUAAGUAAUUGAAUGAUUGGUCUUCACCUUUAUGGUACAUAGGAACUCAAUCAUUACACAUUAACAACAGUAAAGUUCUGAGCUUGAGUUAUGUUUGCUAUGCAGAACAUCUCUCAUGAGACAGAGUCUCUGACUCUUCCAAAAAAUAAAGUUUUGAGCCUUUUAGCUUUGGCUGAGAGGCAAAGAGUGUUGUUAUAAGCUGAGAUACUCAAAACUAGAUAAUUCAUAGAGAAGUCAAAAGCUUACAUAUUUAAGAGUUUUCUUCAGUUUUUAAGGCUAAUUUGAGGCCUCAUGAGAAUAUUGAUGGAUGUGUAGGUAUUGGUCAAGAUAAAACAGUGAUGCUCAAUCUGAGGCAAGAGUCACGAAAGCCGAUAUCUUUGGAAAAUCUGUUUGAGGUAGUAGCUGAUGAUUUGCAGAGGUUGAACGACAAUCUUUUAUCGGUUAGUACCUCAGGCAACAUUUCUUUCUGGUCUCUUAAUAGAGGGUCAUGCUUCUAAUGUAAAUGCUCUUCUUUUAUAGAUUGUUGGUGCAGAAAAUCCGGUUUUGAUAUCUGCGGCUGAGCAAAUCUUCAGUGCUGGUGGCAAGAGGAUGAGACCGGGUUUGGUAUUCCUUGUAUCACGAGCCACUGCGGAAUUAGCUGGCUUAAAGUAAUCUAUAUAACUGUCAUUACUAUUACAUCUUUGACCUCGAAACUGCGCAUAAUCUUUAGCAAUAAAAAUGAUGGUUUCUAGCUGAUCUUGGUGCAGGGAACUUACAGUAGAACAUCGGCGUUUAGGUGAGAUCAUUGAGAUGAUUCACACCGCAAGUUUGAUACACGAUGAUGUGUUAGACGAAAGUGAUAUGCGAAGAGGUAAGACAAAAGUUUCAUUCUUUUGAUCGGAAUAUGCAUUUUCUCUGCAAAGGUUUAAGCUUUCUGUGUGUGUUUGUUAGGAAAAGAAACGGUUCACGAGCUUUUCGGAACAAGAGUAGCUGUAUUAGCUGGAGAUUUCAUGUUUGCUCAAGCAUCAUGGUACUUAGCAAAUCUCGAAAACCUCCAAGUCAUUAAGCUCAUAAGUCAGGUAAAAUUCUUUUCUGAGAUUAGAAGAAACUACAUAAUACAAAGAAAAUUUGGUCUGAAUCUUGAUUUAUCAUUUUCAGGUAAUCAAAGAUUUUGCAAGCGGUGAGAUAAAGCAAGCAUCAAGUUUAUUCGAUUGUGAUGUCGAGCUUGAUGACUACUUGCUAAAGAGUUACUACAAGACAGCUUCAUUAGUAGCUGCAAGCACCAAAGGAGCUGCAAUUUUCAGUAAAGUCGAAAGCGAGGUCGCAGAGCAAAUGUAUCAGUUCGGAAAGAAUCUCGGUUUAUCUUUUCAAGUAGUUGAUGACAUUCUGGACUUCACUCAAUCCACAGAGCAGUUAGGGAAACCUGCAGCUAAUGACUUAGCCAAAGGUAACAUAACAGCGCCAGUGAUCUUCGCACUAGAGAAUGAGCCGAGGCUAAGAGAGAUCAUUGAGUCUGAGUUUUGUGAGCCUGGAUCGCUUGAAGAAGCGAUUGAAAUAGUUAGAAAUCGCGGUGGGAUCAAGAAAGCUCAAGAAUUGGCUAAGGAGAAAGGUGAGCUUGCGUUAAAGAAUCUGAAUUGUCUUCCGAGAAGUGGUUUCAGAUCGGCUCUUGAGGAUAUGGUGAUGUUUAAUCUUGAAAGGAUUGAUUAGCUUCAAAGGGUAUUUGGCAGAGGAAACUGUAACACUCUUUACUUGUUUCAAACUUCAAACACAGAUUUUUUUUUACUGUAUGUCACAAAGGAAAAUCAUGCUUAUUAUUGCAAAAUAAAAGUAACUCAUAUAUUUAGAUACAUGUGAAUGGAGCUAAUUGUUUAUAGAAAUCGAUCUGUGAUAACAUUCUAUACAUCUUUGUACUGAAUAGUGAAAACUAAUUAACAGUAUUUUUUAAAAAGUUUUUCGUUAAAAUUUUAGAAAUGAAGUUUGGUAAUAUUGAUAAGUUUGCUAAUAAUUAUUUGGAAUUUUUUAUAAUUAUUUAGUUAGUUAGAUUUAAGUUUGGUUUUGAUUGAAUUUCUUUAGCUAACUAAAAAUGAAACAUAAAUUUUCUGAAACGAAUAAAUUAAUAAAUUGUGGUUUCAAUUCUAGAAUGUUUGUCUGGACCGAAUUACCUAAACAAAUCAAACAAAUAAGAAAUAUAAAUGCAAAAACAUCUGAUCUUGAUGUGUCUCGCCAACCAUUUCUAUUAUGUUUUAUCUUCAUUGAUUCUUUUUCAAAAAAACAUUAGAUUAGGUUUUUUUUUUUUUUUUUUGGACAAACUAUUAGAUUAGAUUAGCUAAAGCAUGUUUUGCUAAUUAUUUUGUCGAGAUUCAACAUAAAUAUGGUCAUUAUUUCACGUGGCAUUUUCUUUUGCACAAGAUUUUUUUUGUAGUAAAGUUGAAAUUUGACAGAAAAAACCAAAAUCCUCUCUUAUGUGUGUGAGGACUAAAGGGGAAUUAAAAGAUACAAAUGAAAUUAAUUAUGUUAAAAGUAUAAACUAAAUCAGGUGGUGGUGAACAAUCGCAAAGAGCAAUAUCAUGACAAUCAAGAAAUCUUAUGAAAUUUAUAGAUUUGAAUCUGUUUCUUAUAUACAAAAACACCCAAAUAAGAUUUCUUGACAGGAUUCAAACUGCAUUUACCACUAGACACCUUCAAGGUUCUGUUUUGUUGAUGAACAAAAAAGAAAGGAAGCACCUUUACAUUUUUUCUUCUUCUUCUACCUCCUAAACUUUUCGGAUGAUCAAAUGAGCUCCAUGUUGUGGAAAUGUAGUUGCAGCUGGGAAAGGAGCAUGAGUAUACGAUGGAGAGAGCUCUACACUGAACCUUUGAAGUACCAUUGCCAAGAAGAGUUUAGCUUGCAACAUGGAAAAGUUUUGACCGAUACAAGUCCGAGGGCCCGAGCUAAAUGGCAAGAAGGAGAGUCUUCCUUUGGUUGCACCCGCCACGCCAUUAACGAAUCUCUCGGGCUUAAACUGUUUCACAUCGUCUCCCCAAAGGUCAGGAUCAUGGUGCACCAAGAGCAUUGGUAUUGUGACCACAACUCCUUCGGGUAAAGAGAAUCUCUCUAACUUCACUUCUUGUUUAGUUAUCCGACAUGUGAAGUAAGCUGGUGAAUAGAGCCUUAGAACUUCAUGGAGGAUCAUUGUUACCUAAUGAUGAUGGCCCAAAUUCAAAAGAAAAGAAUAAGCUAUAAAGACUUUUAUAAUGUGUUUUUUUUUAGUAGGUUUUGAAAAUGUCUACUUACAACUUUCAGGUGGCUUAACCCUUCGAAAUCUGGCUCGUUGUUACCGAAGGCCUGAGAAACCUCGUCUCUUGCUUUGUUUUGCCAAUCUUGAUGUUGGCUUAGAGCAACAAGUGUCCAAACAAACAAUGAAGAAGUGACAUUUUGACCAGCUAGAUAGAAAGCCUUACAGUCAUCUAUCAGGUCAUCAAGACUCAGCCCUGAAUCUGGUCCUUGUUCUUUGAUGGUUUUUGUAUUCGAAGCCAACAUGGAGAACAACAAGUCGCUGUUUUUGUCGGUACCUCUUCCUCUUUUUAUCUCCUCCUCUUUAGUCUCAAUCAUAGCUUUAAACAUAGCCCUCAUGUCCCUUUCGGUUUCUCUCAACCUCCUGUUGAACUUUGUUGGCAAAAAUCUGCAAAUGACAAAUCCAAAAAGACAUGAAAAAUAGAAUCAGCAAAAUUAGCUUUCCACUUAUAUUAAACUCAGUUGAUUUUAGACAAUUUAUUUACUUUGAUCCAGGAAUGUAGACGGCACGAAUAGCGAGGAGACCAAGAUCGAUCUGCUCUUGUUGGAUUUCGAAGAUCUUGAUACCAUCUUUGUAGGAAUCACCAAAAGAAGCACGAGCAAGCAUGUUUCUGGUUAAGUCAUGACAGUGAGUCCAUGAAUCAAGUUCCACUGUUCCUUUUGCUGAAGCUAAUUUCUCCCAUUCUUCUAACAUCUCUUUGCAACUCGAGUUGAAUGCUGGUAGUAUGCUCUGUUCAUUUUUUGGUAAAUAUUAUUAUACCAUUUCAAAAGUAAAUAAAUGAUUUAUUGCUAAUUAUUUGCUCAUAAUGUUUUUGUUAAUGAUAAUGAGUGCACUGCAAAUGUGAGGUUUCUAGUACACUGAUAAUGAAAUGAUAAAUUCUUUUUGUCGAAAUAAAGUAGUAGUAUUAUAAAUUCUUGAUUUGAAAAAUUCGAUUUCACCUUUUUGUAAUGUGUCUUUUUGGCCUUUUCUGUUUUUUCGCUUUUAGACUUUUAUAGUUGGUGACUUGGUGGCGUGGCGUGGAUUCUUUAGUUCUUUGGGGACUUUUUUUUUUUUUUUUUUCUCUGUUUGUCUUUUUUCUUUAAAUACCUUAUUUAUUUUUAUUUUUCUUCCUUUCGGGUAGAGUAAUAUAUUUUUUGUCUAAGAGACUUCAUUUAAUUUUUUUCUGUUUAUCUUGAAAAGAAAUUAAUUUUUUAAAAAAUCGUUAAUAUGUGAUUUUUUUAUAUAUAAUUAUUGUUUAAAUCUCUCAGCUACGAAACAAGUGAAAAGACGUUACUUAUCUGACUUUCUUUUCGAAAAAAAAGUAGUAGAAGAGAAAAUGAAACUGACCAAAAUCUAAAGAAUGAGACGAAAAUGACGUCCACAAAGUUCAAAUUAUGUCAGAGUUAAAAAAUCAAUUAUAAGAACACAAAAUAUAAUUAUUAGAGUCAAAAUGAGCAUGCCAUAUUCAUUACCUUUUUUUUUGGUAAAAGAAAAACAUACCUUCAAAUUAUCGAUACGAAAAGCAGGAUUAAGAAUGCUUCGAUGCUUGGACCAUUUAGGACCUUCGUGAUUGAGAAGACCACUGAGAAAAACAUGAUUAUGUGACCCAAUCUUUGGUUUCGGAAAGAGUUCGUGUUUUGACAUAAUCUCUCGUAGUGUCUCUGGAUCCAUUACUAUCACGUUCGGGUACGGUCCGUACCAUGUGAAACACUUCUUCCCUGUUUAAACAUAUACUAAUUAAUUAUUACCAUUUGUUACUUUAAAUAACCAAAUGAAACAAAACAAAGCACAUACAGUACAACAAUAAUCUAUAUAUAUAUAUAUAUAUAUCAGACAAAGUUGUUUUGUUAUGAUCCGCUAAGAGUGUUUUCAUUUUAUUUUUAUGCAUGUGAACUAGAUUUAGACGAAACCAGGAAAGCAAAGGAUAUCAGAUUUAGAUCUUAAUUAUGAAAAUGUGUAUCAUUCUAAUCUGUAUACACAAUUAACUCUUUUUUUUCUUCAUAUAAAUACUUUGAAAAUGAUUAAAAAGUCAUGAUGAAGAAGAUGACCUACUCCUAGUCAAAAUUAGAAAUAAUCGUUAUGAAUCUAACCCAAGAUUUAUCAAAUAUAUAACUGGCCGGUUCUUGUUAGAUUCACAUUUCUUUCAAGUAAUAACAUAAACCGCUAAUUAAAACAAUUGAUAAUUAAGUUUAGGUUGCUGGAAUCAUACCAUGUUUUAGAACAGUGUGGUGGAGAAAAGGCAUCAUGCGAGGGAGAAAAUCGGCGUCGAGAGGAAGAGGAAGAGAGUGAGCAACUUGAUCCAUCUGAUUACUCUCUCUCAUAUCUCCCAUCAAAAUCCUAUAAGAAUUCCCAGAAAAUCCUUGUUUCUUCAGAUAUUUCUCUAGUCUCUUUGGCCUUAACCAAACCCAAUUCACAGCUCUCCAUACCCAAUUCAGAAUCAAGAUCAAGAAUCCGAUCAAGAACACUUUUCUUACUAUAUUAAUCUCCAUCAUCUUGAUCUAUCUAUGAAGAAGGGAGGAGCUAGAAAGUAAAGGAAAAGAAAAAAAGGAGACAAAACUAUAAUGAUGAUGCUUAUAAUUUCAUCAGUUGACUAUAUAUGUUGGAGGCAGCUGUAUAUCUAUAUAUAUAUAUAUAUAUGCGUGAAUAGAAAAAAAAAAAAAAAUACUGUAGAAAAGAAAUGUGAUAAAACUAGUUUAUAGAGGGACUAUAGAGAGAGAGGAUAUAUAUGUAAUAAAUCGCUGUAUGUGCAACUGGCAAUGAAUUUAUAACAACAAGUUCUUAAUUUGGUGUAUAUUUCCAAAAAUUUAAUUUUGUCUUCCUUCCCUUACGCUACAUGCAUGUGGCUUUAUUGCAUGAGAGUAUUUAGAAGUAUAUAUCAUUUUUUAUAUACAUACAUAUAUCUACUAGUAUAUGAUGAUGAUUGAUGAUGCUUCCAUAAUUAAUUACUUUCUUACGCAUUUUUUGUUUGCGUCUUCGUAUCGUAGUUAUCUAUAAAAAGGUAGAGAAAGGGGAGUUCGUCGUCUCACCUUAAUUUAAAAAAAUUCAAUAAAUGUGUUUCUAUUUAAUAAUUGACAUAUAACUCUCGAAAUCAACCUUAACAUUUACGUAACUAAGACAAUAAUCACACGAUUAAAUUAAGUUUAAAUUGGAGACAAUAAAUAUGGAACCAGGUGGCGUUGUUCUUUGGAGACGAUGAAUAGCAAUGUCAACUCUCUUACAAAACGCAUGUGAUAUAUAAUAUAAUAAUAAUGCGAAAGAUAAUGUUCGUCCAACCAUAUCAAUUAAUUUUAAGUUUAAUAAAUAUAUAAAUGCAAUUACGCGUAGAGACUAGGGUCAUUAGGCAUUUACUAAAGUUUCCACCUAGGACAAAAUAGACCUAACGGCUACGGGCGUUGUUGGUUAAUUAUUAUAAUUGGUAUAACGUAAGCUUAUUUGAUUAGCUAGUAAUUAAAUUCUUNNNNNNNNNNNNNNNNNNNNNNNNNNNNNNNNNNNNNNNNNNNNNNNNNNNNNNNNNNNNNNNNNNNNNNNNNNNNNNNNNNNNNNNNNNNNNNNNNNNNUACCAUUCCUCCAAGUAUCACACAUGAGAAGUUGUUCAGUGUCUGCAAUACACAGAUCCAACCACUCAAACUACAGAAACAGCUUGAAAAUCAUUCAUUGAAUGUAAGUUUGAGAAAAUCGUACCUUGGAAGAGAUAUUGCCUUGAGUAUCCUACAUUGUACACAAAAAAAAGUAUUGAGUAAAGAAGAUAGACAAUAGAGAUGCUAAUAUACAAGUAUAUAACAUACCGAUAGAUUCAUCCGGCUAUCCCUAUCAUCUUUCAUUAGCUGGUUUGCAGCACCAACCUGCGGUGAUAACACAAAGUCUAGUGGUUGGAAAACAUAUGACAAAGCUGACCAUUUGCUGAGCAAACUACUUACUUGUUUGAGGAACUCAAAACCCACAAAUUCUACUCUCCCUGUCACACUCGACACAUUCUGCCUUACAGCUUCCAAGGUUGGUAUUUCAUAGUAUCUUGGAAGAACACCAAGCAAGUAACCAACAAGAAAAUGCCCAGAUUCAUGCUGCAUACGUUGCAAACAAGUUACGUUUGCCACAAAAAGUCCUAUUUGAUUGAUAUGUUCUUAUUACCAGACAACAUUUAUGAUUAAUUUCUUCAAUCAUCACUUUGCAACAAUGUUAAGUUUAAGUUAACAAGUACAAGAAUUCUCACCUGAACAACAGCGAACCAAUCUUCUUCAGGUGAAGUUUUAGUUUCCUCCUCUUUGGAAAUUCUCACUGAAUCCUACAAAUUAGUAAAAAAAAUCACAGUUUUUGCUUUGAAGGUAUAUGAAACUACAUGAGUCCAAAAUUGAAAGUACCUCUUCGACAUAAACAGAUUCAAUGCUUCUAGAGACCGAAUCAAUCAAUGACCAAAGAUCACUUUUGCUACUCAUGUCUAAUUUCUUCGGAAGCUAAUCACAGAAAGAAAAUAAGGAAAAAGACAUGAAUUAAAGAAAAUAAGCAUGAGAAAGAGAUAAGAGAGACCGACCAAUUUAGCAGAGCCAAAAGCAGAUAAGCAGCCAUGUUUGCUCUUGAGUUGCUUGACGAGAGAGAGAGCAGUUUCGUAAUUGCCUCUUGAGAGUUCUUUACUCACUCUCUCGAGUGAUCUCCGGCGGCGGUCCACCGGAGAUUUCGCUCCGAGUACCAUCACGCGGCUCGCUUGGAGAUAAGAAGAAGAGUUCAUAUUGGUUUGGUUUUUUGAAUUUAGGAAGAAUGAAACAUUGUGAUUCAACAAUUGGGGAUGUAGCUCAAAUGGUAGAGCGCUCGCUUUGCAUGCGAGAGGCACGGGGUUCGAUCCCCCGCAUCUCCAUAUAUAUUUUUUUUUAAACUCAAAAACAUACUUUAUUUCUUGCGAAUACUAAAAACCAUACAAAGGUUUCUCUCUUUCCAACAGUGACAUAAGCCAUGAUGGGGUACUACAAUCUAAAGAAGCAAAGUAAAGAGGGAAAGAACUUGUAGUCUUGGCAAUGAGGUCUGCACAUUCAUUUCCUCGCCUACCAAUAAACCGAAAAGAUGGUGUAAGUUGUCCUCUCCGCGGGCCUAAGAUCUCACUAGUGUAAGUCUUCAUUCUUAGCCAGGCAGAAGGCUGUUUUAUCGCUUGGAUGAGGGUUUGCGAAUCACUCUCAAAGAGAACUUCCACAAAGCCUAAGUUGUCUAGGCAUGACAUAGCCCAUAAAAGGGCAGCAGCCUCUGCGUCUAGGGGUGAGCAUAAUCUGGGACAAGAUUUAGCACCAUACCAUCUUAAAUUACCGUGACUAUCACGCAGAAUCCAGCCAACUCCACAUGUCUCUGAGUCCUUAGACCAAGCUGCAUCAAUGUUACAUUUAAGAGUACCUGGAGGAGGGGGUAUCCAAUGUGUAUAGACUGGAUCAGUGACCAACGCUCUUCGGGUAGGAUUAACAGGCUGAGUUGAUUCUUCAAUAGUAGCCCCAAACCAUUCUAUUGCUUCUUCAGCUGCUUUUUCAACCAUAUACCGAAUAUCCAGCAUAGAAUCUGAGAAGCAGAGGUCAUUUCGUGCCUUCCAAAUCCUCCAUAAAAGCCAUGGCCACAUACUGGUUUGUUCAUGCUCGGAAGUGGCAUGCUUUCCAGAAGUUAAUAAGCAAGAUGCCAUAUUGGCAUAAACAGAUUCGGAUGGCUCCGGUCUGAGUAAGCUUGCAGCAGGAGAGAUUUCCCAAGCUAGCCUAGCAAAAGGGCAUUGAAACAGAACAUGGUUAACUGUUUCUCUCUUUUCUCCGCAUCUUGGGCAAUCUGGAAAUUUGGUGAGUCUUUUAUUUGCCAUGUUUGCUGCUACAGCUAGACUGUUGGAUAUGGAUCUCCACAGGAAAUUCUGAAUCUUUGGCGAGGUUUGGACCUGCCAUAUGGCUUUAAAUAAAGGGUUUAAAUUAGGAUUCUCCACCUCCCUUGCUUUCCCGAUUGUCUUGAUCUUGUUCAGCCAUACCCAAUAGCCUGAUUUUACCGUGUACAUGCCAUCUUUAGUAUAAAUCCAAGAGAAAGUGUCUUCAGCCGUUGACUUCCCUGGUCGUAAUUGAGUGAUUAAGUGCACAUCUUCCACCAAAAAAUAGUCGCGAAGGACUAAGACUCUCCAUUCAUCUGAUCCAUCCUCUUUUAGAAGAGAGAAUGAGAUGUUUUGAGGGUCCAUACCGUCUUUAAGUCGUGGUGGUCUCGGGACGAUGUCUGGAAGCCAAGGAUCUCUGAAGAUGUUAAUAUUCUCUCCAUUACCCAAUUCUAGUCUCAGCCCUUCCUUCAUUAGAGCUUGAGCUUCAUGGAUACUUCUCCAAGCAAAGGAUGGGCGGGUUCCUAGUUUGGCUUCUAAUGGGGUUGACUUGGGGAAAUAUCUUCCUUUAAAUACUCUUGCCAUCAGAGAUUGUGGAAAGACUGACAUUCUCCAUAAUUGCUUUCCUAAAAGGGCUAGGUUAAAACCUUCCAAGUCUCUAAAACCUCUGCUCCCCCCUGAUUUAGGUACACUCAAUUUUUCCCAAGAUUUCCAGUGAAUUCCUCUGCCAGUUCCCUGAUUCUUCCACCAGCACUUUGCUAGAAGGGAAGUAAUUUUCUCACAAAGAGUUUUUGGAAGCAAGAAGCAAGACAUUGAGUAAGUAGGCAGAGCCAUAGCUACUGCUUUAAUCAUUACCUCUUUACCUCCUUGUGAAAGAAAUUUAGCACUCCAUGAGUUGAUCUUUUUGGCCACUCUCUCUUCCAGAAAGCGAAGUGUGGAUACUUUUGAUCCUAUGAACGUCUCUGGUAAACCCAAGUAUAUCCCUUCACCUCCUUCAUUGCUUAUACCAGUGACUAAUCUGAUCAGUUCUCUUCUAUCUUGGUCCACUUUCUUUCCGAAAGUAAUACUUGAUUUAUCCAACUUCACUUUUUGACCAGAUGCCAAAUGAUAAUCCUCAAGAAUCUGUUUAACCUUUUCCACCUCUUCCUUAGUUGCUUGGUAGAAAAAGAGACUGUCGUCCGCAAAUAGAAGAUGAGAUAUGGCUGGGGAAGCUUCUGCCACCUUUACUCCUGUAAUCUGUUGUUCAGUUUUAGCUCGCCUAAAACAAUUAGCCAAGACCUCAGCACAUAGGAUAAAGAUGAAAGGUGAAAGAGGGUCUCCCUGCCUCAGUCCUCUUGAUGGGGUGAUCUUACCAAAAGGCUUUCCAUUUACUAGGAUUCCAUAAGAAGCCGAGGUAAUGCAGGUCAUAACUCUUGAAAUCCAAGCCUCAUCAAAACCAAGAUGCCUUAGCGUAGCUUCCACGAAAGGCCAUUCAAGUCGAUCAAAAGCUUUCAUCAUAUCAGUCUUCAUGGCUAAAAAAUUCGAGGAGACAGAAUCCUUUACUCUUAAGGAAUGAAGAAUUUCAUGAGCUACAAGAAUGUUGUCUGAGAUAAGUCGUCCUUUGAUGAAAGCUGCUUGGUUCUCGGAGAUGAUAUCAGGUACAAUCUUCUUCAAACGUUCUGUCAAGAGCUUGGAAAUAAUAUUGUAAGCAAAAUUGCAUAGACUGAUAGGCCUGAAUUCACUUAAUUUAGUAGGAUGAUGACUUUUAGGUAUCAAACAGACGUUGGUCUCGGUUAAUCUACUAUCAAAGACACCCUCAGCCAUAAACUUUUUAACUAAGCAAAUCACCUCUGUCUUCACCGUUGUCCAGAAGUCUUGGUAGAAAGCAUCCGAGAGGCCAUCCGGGCCUUGACAUUUGUCUGGUCCCAAACUGAAGACUAUCCUUCUGAUUUCUUCAUCAUCCACAGGUCUCAUUAAAGCAGCGUUCUGAGCAUCACUCACUUUCCUGGUAAAAUUCCUGAAUAUAGAGGAUUCUCUGCUGCUGGCUGAGUCCCUGAGCUCUGAUGUAAAAAGCUUGGUGAAAUGUCUGACCGCCAUAUCACCCAUUUGCUCCUCGUCAUAUGUCUCUUUUCCUGUUUCUUCGUCCGUGAGAAAGUGGAUAUGGUUAUUAGCUCUUCUUUGCUUCACACAAGCAUGAAAAUACUUUGAGUUUUUUUCUCUUUUUUGCAUCCAGGUAAUUCUGCUUUUUUGUCCCGCAUCUCCAUAUUUUGGGAAUUUUUUUUUUUUUUUGUCAUCUGGUAGAAAUUAUUAACGAUCCGAAAAACCAAAAUACAAAGUUGGCGACUAACAACAUAAUCCCGUAAACUAAGCCGACGGAAAACAAACAUAUUCUCGAAAACUAAGCCGGCGGUUAACAACACAACCCCGAAAACUAUGUCCAAAGACAUGAAAAACUUUUUAACUAACACGAAAAUGCAAAGCAAACCAAAACAAACAAAGGCAACAAAGACAAAAAAAAACUGAAACACGGGACAUCAAACAAAGAAAAAUCGGAAUCUAACCACACCACAACUUCAACCGCAAAGCCUAAAGAGAGGAGAGCCUUCCACUAAUGUCACCAGACCGGCCCGCCACACGUAUCCAAGACACUUGGGUAUUGGGCCUCCAAAAUUUUUAAGAUUUUUAGUAACAAUACUAGAUUGUUACCCGUGGUACACCGCGGGUUGAAUAUUUUUAUUAUUUGUUAUUUAAUAAUACAAUAAUAAUUGGUUUUAUUUUAUUUUGAUUUUUUUUUUGUGGUUAUAUAUAUAUUUAUAUAUUAUAGUUGGGAUUGUGUUAUAAGUUAUCGAUAUUAUUUGUGUAUAACAUGUUUUAAUCGAGUCAUAUGUGUUACAUAAAAAUUAUUUCCUUUUAUAUUAAUCGUCUAAUUGAUACUACAUAAUUAGUUAUUUUUUAAAAGUUUGGUAAUGUGUAAACAUACAGCUUGUUUCUAUGGUAAGAUUAAUUUUCAUAUAUGUGCAUUUGGCUUUUAUAUGUUAAAUGUCAAUCUGUUUGCAUUGGUAAUAUAAUUCUCAGAUUUUAGAUAUCUUGUAUUAUAUGAUUUAUUUAGAUGUGAAGGAUUAAAAUAAUUUUAAUCAAUAUAAAUUGCACGAUAGUUUGAUUUUAUUAAGGAAAAAUUAAUUUUUGAUCAUGUAAAUAUGGCUGUGAAUAGUUUUUUUCAUAUGCAAAAACUUAUUGUUUGAGAUAAUAAUAUGUUUUAAUUAAUUAGUUUGCAUGAUAUAUAUUGAACUUAAUAACAUAAUUAACAUGUUAAUACAAAAUCAGGUAACCUCUCAUACAUGUUGGGCUGUAGACAACAAAGUCCUUUAAUGUUACUGGGCAAAAAAAAAAAAAAUGCAAAAGAACCGGUCAGAUUAGUUGAUCUGAUCCGGUAACGUACCGACCGGUUAACACAAAGCUCGCGAAGACGGGUCAUUUUCAAUUCCGCGAAACACAAUCAACCUAACUUCUUCUUCUCCAUUUUCUUCAUCUUCUUCACCAUUUUCUUCAUCUUCUUCUUUAAUCUCGUCUUCUUCGGCUCAAAACCUAAACCAAACAAAACCUUAACACCACUUCUUCUCUCGAUCAAUCAAUCAGCGAUUAUUCACCUUUAAUCGACCAUGGAUCUUUCCUUAAUCGUCGAUCCCAAUUAACAUGGCUUCGAACGGCGCUUCUCCGGUAUCUUUCUCCCUCGAUAUCUUUCUGCAACAAUUUAGUGUCUUUAUUUUGGCUCCUUUUCUAAUUGACAGUCUUAAACUGACCCAUUUUGUCAAUUUCGGAAAAUUCGUAGAGGAUUGUUGAUGCUACUGAUAACAGCUUGGAUAAGAUCAAGCAGCAAUUGGAAUCGAGGGUUAUCGGAACUUGCUUCUGGGACCUCUUAUUCAAGCGAGCUGAAACUGUAAGUUCAAUUCUUAUUCUGACAAUAGUAUAUUCAAUUGUUUGUAACUCAAAUGAUUUUCACUGUUCUGAGCACAGCUAAACUUUGAAUGACAUAGCAACUGUACUGAUUAGCUAAUCGAUUAAUGUGUGUUUGUCUAGGAAUUAACAUAGAAUCCGACUAAUUGAAAGUUAGAAACUCCUCAACUUAGCAUAAGCAGAUCAAAAAAUGAAGAGAAGGUAAGAGUACAGUUAGUGAUUUUGGGCGGCAUAAAGGACUUUAUGAUGAUUAUUUUGAAGUAUCUAACCCUUGCUGUAUAUUGAAUAGGAAGCUUCUACCAUCAGAAGACAUCAGGACAAAAAUCUGAAACCAAGGAGAAUCAAAUCUACAUCCGCAUCUAUGCAAGGUUAGUUUACACUUUCUUCUCACUGAAAUGUAAUUUAUAAACAUCUACAACAUUUUCAUUAAUGUUAAGCUAAGAUAAAUUGAGUGAAAAUGAGAAAACUAAAUGAUUGUGCAUCUGCUUGAUUGAUUGUACUUUAUUCAAUACAUAAAAAGAAAGACAUAACCAAAUAUGACGAAAGUAAGAGUGUUUAAAGAAGUCAAAUAUAGUUAGCACAAUAACUGGAAUUGAAAGGCGAUUGAUUGGUUGUUACUUUCUUUUGAACCAUGAGACAUUGAAUCUGUGAAAAGGUAAGUAGAUUGUUAGUCAAAUAUAUGAUUGAUUGACUGGGGGUUUUGCUUACCAUAAAGCAAUUAUAUUAUAAAAUAAAAUGGUAAACUAAACAUACCUUCUUUGAUAAGAUUGUUUGACAAAUAAUGCAAGAAGCAUUAUGAGUCAAUAUUCUGAAAAACUUCUUUGAAAACAACAUUAGUUGUUUGCUUUUGAAUCUUCCCUUCUUUGUCUAGAAUCAGAAUUUUCAAACCUGUCUUUGAGGUAACCCUAGAUAAAGCAACAUAUAGUUGCCCAUGAGAAAACACUGGCUUAGGCAGAUAGAGUCCAACCCUCUCUAGUGAUUGUCGCUGACUCUUGUUGAUAGUCAUAGCAAAUGCUAGUGAUACUGGGAACUGUCUUCUACGCAUCCGAAAAGGUAGCUUUGUAUCGGAUGGUGUAAUAUUGAUUAAUGAAAUCAAAACAAUAUCACGAAUUCUGUCUCCGGUUAUAACUCUUGCUUGAAGAACACGUGGGGUCAUCUGAGUUACCUGAAGCCGAGUACCGUUGCAUAGACCACCUUUAGGAUCAAUAUUCCUGAGUAACAUUAUUGGAGCACCAAUCUUCAGACGCAAAGCAUGGUGUGGCAAACCUGGUAGCCUGAUACUGUUUAAGAAAUCUGGUGUGAUAACAGGAUUUUUAAGUGAAUCGGAAUCUUCAGGAUCAAUACUAUCAGCACUGUAAAAAACUUGCUCAUCACCUGUUGAAAAAAUAAAAAAAAAACCUUUUAGCUGUAAGAAAGACUUGAAGGAAAUAAUUUCACAAAGCUAGUAAGCUAUGACUCACCCUCCAACUUGUCUAACAUAUAUUGGUUGAUUGUGUGUACAUCAUCAUUGGUUGGCGCCAGAAUUGCUCUCUUUUGAAAAAAUACUGGAUCUUCAGUACCUUUUAACAUAGCUGGAUCUCCAUAUAUCUCACGAGUAAUGGAUUCAAUUGGAUCUUUUGCUUCGGUAAUCAGAAGUUCUUCAGGUAUAUCAAUUAGAGCCUCACCAUCAUUAGGUUCCGCAAUUCUACCAUCACCAACAGCUAGAAGCCAAUCACUGAAUUCUUUGAUGUCUUUUGCUUCUUCUACACUCAAAUCCUUCUUAAGUAGCCUCAUGUUCUUAGUAAGCUUUAGAACCUUACAGUGAUCCCAAAGAUAAGACGCAUUAAGAGCUGCCAUCACAAUCUCAGCCCUGCCUGCACCAGCGAUAACAGGUAGAACUUGUCUAAAAUCACCUCCAAAGACAACAACCUUUCCACCAAAUACUUUGCUAUUUUUAUUACCAAUGAUAUCACAAAAACUCUUAUCUAGAGAUUCAAAACACCACUUGCUCAUCAUAGGUGCCUCAUCCCAUAUAAUAAGAGAAGCUUUCUUUAUCAGAUCAGCAAGAUCAGACUUUGGCUUUAUCCUGCACACUGAACUGCUAUCAGGUGUAAGAGGUAUGGCAAACCUUGAAUGAGCAGUCCUUCCACCUUCCAACAACAAAGAAGCGAUACCACUUGAAGCCACGUUUAGAACUAUAUCUCCUUUAGAUCUAAUAGCAGCUGAAAGUGUUUUCCAAAUAAAAGUUUUUCCUGUACCUCCAAAUCCAUACACAAAAAACACUCCACCUAGAUCAUUGAAUACUGCAGUGGUAAUCUCAUCAUAAACACCUCUCUGCUCCGGUGUCAUAAUAUCUAUCCACUCAGCAUGCUUUUCAGCCAAUGAUGUACGGUCAUACCUCAUUUCAUCAACAAUCAAACGGUUAGAAUUAUCUAUACCUUCUCUAGUUGGCUUAGGAAAGUUUUGUAUAUCUUCAAGAGUACCUCCAUUAGACAACAUCAUUUUUUCUAGUUCUUGAAGAGUGUAGUUCCUAAUUUCUGCCUCUGUCAGAUUCAAAUCUGCAUAUAAAAUAAAUGGCAAUGUCAAGAAAAAAAUAGAAUCAUUGCUUAUUUAACUGAGAAAAUGUAUAUGAUAUAACUUAAGCAAUUUCAUUAUUUAUCUCACCUUGAUUGUCAAACUCAUUUCUCUUCUUCUGUUGAAUAUCUUCUGCUAACAAAUGCCACGUCUGUUCCCAAACAUAUUCUGGCCUAGAUAGGGAAUCAGAUAGUAGCAACAUAGCGAAGAAAUUCCUCAAAAAAUCACCAAAACAGAAUUGACUCGCAUCAAACAGACUGUCAAUGAACACCUGGUCAUCAUCUAGAAUUCCUCGUGCAAAACAUGCUUCUUUGUAAGUUGGAUAGACAACACCAUUAUAUGUUUUAAUGUCAUCAAAACAUGUAGGACCUCUGACGAUGUUAAGAAGGACUCGUAGAAAAUAUUCAUCUUCUAGCUUCCUGGGAACAUAAUUAAUCCGACCUAAGGACCAUCCUCUAGACCUCUUAUUCCACAGCUUAUUAGUUCCAUCCCAUGUAAAAUAUGCAGGUAUCUCUGCAUAUAGGAGUUCUCGAGCACGCUUUCCAUUUUUUCCAAUUCCAUCAUUCCUAUUCAAUGUUAGCCAUGCCAUGAAUUGAGAAUCUCGAUUGAGAAUUCUGUCCAAAACAUCUGAUAUCACCUCUUUUCCUUUAAAAUAAGCUGGUUGCUUUCCUUCUACAUGAAAAGAUAGCUUCAGAACAGGUGUUGAUUUAUGCUGUAUCGGAAACUUAAAAAUUCUCCAAAUUGCUUCAGAUGCUGACACAUAUCUACAAUUUUGAAUAAUAAACAAAUCCAUUUCAGGAUCCAGACUGACCAAUCACAGAAAUAAACUGAGAAAGAGCAAAAUUAGGAUACAAUACCUGCAAUCAAAAUAAUCUUUUAUUUCAUUCUUCUUUUUCUCCUCUGGUAAUGGUUCUGAUCCAUUAGCUGUUUGAUCUACGUGUGAGCCAUUAUCUGUUGGUGGUGGCUUGACAGGCUCCACAACAAAUGCUAACUUAUCUGGGCCUUUAUUUAUAUACUUGAAUAAGUAUUUAAUAGACCCAGUUUGAUUACACCAUUCAACGUUAAUGUGAGCACCAUACCUAACUGAUAGUUUUUUAUUGUAUGGAACGACAUACCUAUUAUCACAUUUAAUUCCACAUUUCUCAACAUAGUGGUCAGAGCGCCUUCUUCUAUAGAUAGGAAAACCAUCAGCGCCUACCCUGGUGAUAUCCUCAAAUUUUUUAGGAUACGAUUUAGAACACUGGCCAUCCACCAUACAUGGAGAACUCAUAUUUGCUGCACCACAUGGGCCAUGAAUCAUUGAAUUACUAACAACUUCAUAAAGCUCUGGUUCUGUUUCUUUAUCUGGAAUCUCAGCAGAUAUCAUCCUGUCAAUAUCGCUUGCUGUUGGAAGUUUGCUUUUAGCAUCCAUGAAUAAAAGAAUGUGAGCAUGUGGAAGGCCUUUUUUCUGGAAUUCUACAGUAUACAUAGCUGCAUAACAUAGAAUAUAGUGUGAAAAUAUUGAAAUAGUCUCAGUUUAUUGUCACAGAAUUGGAAGUAGUCAGACAACUUACAUGCGACAGUCUUUCCAAGCAUCUUCUUUUCUGUUAGAUCGUUCAUCAGAGAAUCCAACUUGAUUUUGAAUAUCCUAGCAACAAUGUCUGGCCUAUCCUCAGCAGUUAACCCUCUUGCUGUGACAUAUCUUGUUAUCUCAGGCCACUUAGGGUUACAUGUAAACGUGAUGAAUAAAUCCGGGAAACCAUAAUGUUUACAUAUGGCCAUAGCAUCAUAAUAACUCUGAACCAUAUACCUUGGACCACCAGUAAAAGAUGCUGGAAUCAAAAUCUGAUUUCCUUCUUCUUCCAUAUUUGUUACACCAGAGUCAGCAGCUUCUUUUAGUGAGUUUGCAUUCUCACAUCUAAGCUUAGACUGAUUGAACCUUAUGUAGGAUAGACGAUUUGAUUCAAUAGUGGUGUAAGCGUCACAAAGAAACUGCUGAAACAACCUCUUCGACAGUAGAAGAGUAUGGCACUCACCUGGCCUCUCCUGAAUACGGAAUGCAAACCACUGACGCAUACUAAUACACUUUUUCUUCUUCUGGUUAUUACCCUUAUAACAUUUCUCUAUACCUGGGGUGUAACCAUCUUCACCAUAGCAGAAAAUCAGAGGAUACUGAAGAGCCAGAUAAGAAAUAUGAAUCUGGCUAAUCCUGGUUAGGUGGCCUGUAGUCCUUUCUUGAAGAACUAUAUCACGGUUUGGCAUACCUUCUGUAAAGUCUCCUGGGAUUAACGCUGCAACCUCCGAAGUCGUAGGCAUGCUGUAAGUCCUUCCAUCAGCACCUUUACGACCAGAGCAUAUCCUCAUAUGAAAUGGUUGGGGAUUAACUACCCCAAAUCUUUCCUUGGCAAUUCUAAAAUUCUUGACAUAAGGAUUAACUUCAUUGAGCAUUUUCAUAAUGGCUUCAAUUGUCUCUUUGUUCAGUAUAUCCUUGCUUCCUCUUCUAGAUGAUUCUUUCCCCUUGCUACAUUAAAAAAAAAAAAGAUGCCCAUGAUUGAGUAUACCACAACAUAGAAAUACAUAAGAAUUGAAUAAGCCUGUUAAGUAGAAAUAAUACUAACCCAAUAACAGUUGCUUUGUUAUCUACUUCAUUCUCAGUAUCUACGAUAUAGAGUUGUGAAUACUUCGCAUAAUCACCUUCUGCAGGUUUCAAACUGCCUAUCAAAUGAUAGUUACCUCCUUGUAAACGAAACAUGCUUGGACCUUUACCCUUAGGUAUAGACUUAUCUACUUUCCCACCUAGUGAGGUCAUUGCGAAAACCAUAUUCCAUAUUCUCAAGUGCUUUCUGUAAUUCCUACUUUGAGGAUCUUUCCCAGUCAGAAGUUUCUUGAUCAAUUCUGGUGACUCUUUAAGAAAAGGCAGCUUAACAGAACCUUGACCACAACAUAGUGUAAAUGUAGGAUCUGUCGUUUAACUUUUUUGUUUAUUCUUUCAGCAUGCCACAUCAAUGCACCACAAUACUUACACGAGUAAGUAGAGUCACCAUGAUCAAGAUAAGCUGAAAAACAUAAAUAUGUUUCUCAUAAGUUUCAUAUUCAGAAUUACCAAAAAUAAAAAAAAAGUACUGGGAAGGGCAAGAAAAUUACUUAUUGGUGUGUUUUUCUUUUUUGAUUUUCUUUUCUUUUUUCUUUUCGGAGGCACAUUUCCUUCAUGUGUUUCUUGCUGAACAGACUCAAUAGAUGAUCUUGCCAAAUCAUUGAUAUGAGAUGAGACUUCAGUUAUGUGUGACAUCAUUUCAAUCUGUUCCUCGUCAGAAACUGACAUUUCAUUGUUAUCUACUACUUCAUCUUCACCUUCACUGCAACUAAGAUCAUAGCUUUGAGCUAGUGUCUCAUCUUCACUGACAUUACCAAACUCAGGAUCAUCAUACAUUUCAUCAUCUUGGCUAUAAUCACUAUCUUCAAUAUCUAUUACUUGAGUUGUAUUCUGACCUUGAGAAUACAAAACAGGAAAAUAGGUUAAGACAUGCCUCUUAAUUACAUUUUGUUUCCAAGCGAAAAACAAUACAGUAAAGACUGUUACCUUUAGAUGAAGAAGAGGUUUCUGCAUUUGUAAAAUCAAUAUCUAAGUUUUUCCUUGGCAAAUUUAUUGUAUGAGAAACAAAGCUUGAUGUCUGGAGGUUGGUUAUACAUGAUGGAUUUCCAGUGUAUUGAACACCUACAACAGAUAUUAAACUUAUUACUUAUACAAUAUACUUCUCUAUUUAAAACAUUAUCAUACCAUAAUUGUUGCAAAAAUUAUUCAUAUGUGGAACUUAAUUAAUCUAACCACCUAUUCUCUUUGGUGUUACAGAAGGUGGAGGCAUUAUUGGAGUUGUAGGUGUUCUGCUAAAAAGACUCUGGCUUGUAUUAGUCAUGGCGCUUAAUCCAUAUGGAGUUAACAAUGGGUUAGGUCUGGUGUAAGGAGAGCAAGGUACCAGAAUUUUUCCACGAAGUGAACCUGUUUUAAAACUCAUCAAGAUUUAGAGAUAAAGGUAUUUUCUAUUUAUCUUUGAUGAGAAUGAAAACAAAAUAAUUGUAAAUGAAAACUUGUCUAUAGAAACUAACCUUGAUUCUUACUGUUCUGUUUUGCAGAUGAAGAUGUAUUAGCAUCUGCAGAGUUCUCAAUGGGGCUAACUUGUGGGUCUGGAAGGUUAGUAAUAUCUCCAAAAGCACUACCAAACGCUGUACUAAGAGGGACAGAACCAUUCCUGAUUAUAGGUAGAUUAAACUGAGAAAUGUUCCUUAGUCUAGUGUAAGGCUCAUUUCCUCGAUUACGUUUUGGUGGAUUAGACUCAGGAACAUUAUUUUCUGUUGGAGAUAGAGGUUUUUUUUUCAUAUUUUAGUCUAAGAAUGUCUAUAGAUGAUUAGACUACUUGGUAACUAUAUAAAGGAGAUUAAGGUCUAAAUAGAAAGCAUUUUGAUAUCUGUAGAUUGACUAUUAUUGUUAAAUGAUUGUCUGUUGCCAAAGAUAUAGGAACUAAGAUAUGUUAUUUUCUAUAAGUAAUGAAUGAGAACCUUUAGAUAAUAUGCGGAAUAUACCAAACUAUAAGAUUGAUUCCGUGAUUGUAGUGAUUAUUGUUGUAAUUAUAAGAUUACUAACUAUAUUUUUUGUUUCAGGAAAGAGAGCAAUGAAAUAUUCUUGCUAUUCACAAUCAAUAGCACAUAAGGAAGAUGGACUAUUUAAAUAAGGUAAACUGAACAAAACUGAUAGUUUAGCAAAUAUCUCAAAACUUGUUAAUUUAUCUAAUGAAAUUAUUACUUUGAUACAGUAAUUAUAUAUUUUAUUGAUCAUAUACUAAAACUUACUAUAAAACAAAUAACCAUUAGAGUAGAUUAAUUAGAUAAACAUUAAAUUCAAAUAAAGGAUAAAGCAGUUGAUAGUCAAAAGAAACUUAAAACAAACUUGUCUUCAGAAACAUAAAACAAUAGAGAACCGAGAAAGUAUUUUUGUAAUAAUAAAACAACUGCAGCCACUGGUAGAACCAAACUUAGCUUCCCAUCAUCACGCUUCCAACUUCAUUCCAACAUCCUGAACAUCAUCUUGUUGUUCUGCAAAGCCACGACUGUUUCAAAAAAGAGAAACAUUACUUAAUCCAAUCAGUAAUCAUAGCAUUUGAUUACUUAUUUAACUUCUGAUAGGUAACUACUUACAUGUAUCUCGGAAUGUCCAAAUCAGGAAAGGUUGGAUCAAGGAAAAGCCUUGAACAACCAUACUCACUCAUCAAACAGUUUUGACCUAUUAAAACAUGUUGAUAGUUACCAGUUAGAGUUAUUGUCUAAUGUAUUUGACAGUUAUAUAUAGUUUAGAGGAAAAUAACUAACCUUCAAACUCAGCAACCCUCCAAAAACGCAGGACAAUGACAACUGGGUCAUAAUUGUAUGUCACAGAAGUUAUUUUCCUAAACCAUUUAGUCACAAACGCCUGACAGGACCUACCCUUUGCAACACAGAUUGUUUUCCUACCCCUACAUGAUCACAGAUUCAAUGCAUUAAAUACCACAUUGCCAAUACAGAUACUAAUUUGAGAUAUCUAUUAAAAUAAAACUUACAUGUCAUCCUUGAUUUCGACAACAACAAAUCUGGCUUCAUAGUCUGUCUCUCCUUGACGACAAACAAAUGGAAAUCUUUGAAUAGCAGAGACACUCGAGACCACACCAAUAGCAUCUGAAAACAAAUUACAAAUAUACUUAAUUAAAGUCAGAAUAAAGCAAAGUUUUACUAAUUUUCAAUCAAGAAAUAAAUAUACUUGAACCUGACACAUGUUGCUUAUCCUCUCAUCCAGCAUACUCAACUUCAUCAGAAUGAAUGAAGUUGAAGAAAUUUCCAUUACAUCUAGGAGACACAGGCCACAUAGUGGUAGGCCAUAUACACUCUAGUGCAAAACGAUUCCAGGAGUACUUAACAGGUUGAGUAGAUGGUACCACAUGGAAGUCAGCCAUGUAGUACCAGUGACCCUCCUUGAGACCUGGCCGGAAAUUGUAUAAGUAGUUUCCAGGAGGGAUAAAUGCAUCAAUCUGAUUGGCCUAGGCAUAUAAGAAGAACUAAAUAGUAAGUUUUCUCUGUGAAGAUUCAAACAAAUUAGUAAAUCUGUGACUUAAGAAACAGAGGUUCAAUAGAAGAAAUUUUCUAACCUUUUCAUCAGUCAGAAUCAUAAUCGUAGGUUCAUCAAUAGCGUCUAUACCUUGAUUCCAGAUAGAUAAAAUCUUCACGUACAAAGUCCAUCUAGGUCUUUGCAGGUUGAGAUCGGAAAUGUAGUCAAUAGUACCCAUUAGAAUCACAUAAAGUGUAAGUUUUUCUCAGUUUUUUUUUAUAGAGAAGGUUAGGUUUCUGAAUAAAUCUAAAGGUUAAGUCUGAGUAUUUAUAGAAUCGUGUAGAGAUGUGAAUGAAUAGAUUUAAUUUCCUAUAUAAAAUAGAUAUUAUAUAUUGUAAAUCAUUGAAACCGUUUGAGAUAAGUAAAGUUAGAUAUAAUAUAUCAAGGAAACUGAAUCGUUAGCCUGUAAAAGAUCUUUAUUCAUAAUUAUAGUAAUGAUUAUAUAAAACUGUGCUUUCCAUAUUACGAUUUCCAAGAUUUUCCAUCAUUGUUUAUAAUAGAGAUUUCGUGUAGCAAACAUAAGGAUGUUAUAGCGGUUCUACUUUAGGUUUUGAGGUCUAAUGAUUAGAUUAAACUUUUUAAAUUUGCUAUUUCAAUAACUGAGUAAGACAACGGUACAGUAGACAGAAAUUGAAACAGGUUUAUUAGAGGAGAUUAACCAAAAAAUCAAAAUGAAACAUCAAUUAAAAACCAAAGUAAAAAACCAACAAAUGUCUAACAAUGAAAUUUUAAAAAACUUGGAAUUAUGAUAACUCCUUAUUGCUUAGCAAACAGGUGCUAGAUCACUAUUUCUCUUUUUUGAUCUUCAUUCCAACUGCUUUAGCCACAUGCCUAGUCUCCUUCUUCUCAGUCACAGGAAGAUCACCACUGUCUUGAACACCCUUUCCUUUGUUGCUUUCAAUCUUGACAUUCUCUACCUUCACAAAUUCAGAGGUCUUGUCAGGAACUCCAUUUUGAGACAGACCAUUCUCCUCAAAUUCUAGCUCUGACUUCUGUAAGUCUUUAGGCUCGAUGCACACCUUCUUAGAACUGGAGGAUUGCUCUGACUCAGACAGAUUAGGAGCAUAAACACGCUUGGAAGAUGGAGUGGAUGAGUCAAACGUGUCUUGACUCAUUGUUAACAUGAGACACUGAAUAUAGAGAUUAUCAGUAGGAGAGAUAGUUGAUAUAAUUUUAAAGAGAUUAGAUAGUUAAAAAAUGUUACCUGAUCUCCAGAAACAAUUGAGGCAGGAUUAACCAAUUGUUCAGAUUCCUCAAGGACAUCUUCUUGCAAAAGUCCAUCUUUGUUUAGGAUUCUUGAAACCUUGAAAGAAUCCUUACCAUCCCAAAUGUUUUCUUUCUCAACACAUAGCAGAAAGAGAAAGGUCUUCCCAACCAAAUUCCUUAUUACGUCAGGCAAAUCAUUAGGGUCCUCAAUCUACAUAAGGAAUUUAGUACUUAUCAAUUGAAUGUUUCAUAUAUAUCAAUUACAUAUAUGGUUUAGCAUAAUAGAAUGUUACCUCAUUGAAUGAUCCACCUAGCAAUGAUGCAGCAGUUUCACCAACAAUUUCUGAGCAUAUACUGUCAAACAAAAGACAUUUUGUUUCACCAGUGUUAUCCAUCACCUUAACAUAUAGCAUGUACCUUCAAUAAGAGAAGUCAUAUUAGUAAUUAUUUCAAAGGAAAAACACAAACUUAUAAAUAUGCAUUAUUAUCAGAUUAAGAAAAGAAGACUCACUUUGCUACAACAUUAGUGACAGCAUUCCUGCAGACAUCACACCAAAACUUUGGCUUUUGUUUCUUCAUGGAAGCAGUAUUCACUCCAGAAUGAAUGUGAGUGACCUUUUUAUUACAGUUACGGCAACUAAAGUAAUACCAAGCACUUUCAAUAGGUUUUCUUUCUGCUUAAACCGGAUCCUAAACCGUAUUUUCUGGUUUUGCAUAACACCGAUCGUUAUUGGUUUAUGAACAAAUGAAAUGAUGGCCAACCUGAAAAUGCCACGUCAUCUAAACCACGCUAGUAAAAGCACAAAAGCAGAGCAUAUUCGGCACAUAAGUGUGAUUGUAAAUAGUCAUCAACACGAGACAUAAUCUAGUAAGCCAAAUUCAAAUAUUUGAUUUUGAAAUUUUUCUUGUCCAUACCGUUGUACAUAUCUCUAUCGGGAGAUCAAUGAAAUCGAUCCAAACAGAAUCGAGAUCGAUAGAGAUUACGAACCAAAAUCGAAAUAUGAUUAUGGAAAUAUGGUGGAUUUGCAUAUCCGAGUUUAGGCUAUUUAACAUUAUCUCUAAAUAUAUUAUUUAUAUUUAAGUUUAUUUUAAUUUAAAAAACUUAAAUUUAUUUCAAGUCUAUAUAAGUACCUUGUAUAUUUUAUUCUUGUGAGGGUCUACUAUGAUUCUUUGGGAGCUAAAUCACGUGGAACUCGAACGUUCUCCAAAUCCCACCAUCACAACCAUCAAAGUCAAAAUCAAUUAGUCCCACAUUGGCUUUUAAACUUUACUUUGAAUUAAUAUCAAAGACUUUGCCCGGGUGGCAAAAAAUUUGGGUAAAAGUUUUGACUUCCAAAAAUAAUUUGUUACAUAAAAUAGUGAACAAUUAUUACAAAAUGUAGUUGUAUCUUUCAAGGUUUUAUCAAUAACAUUCAGAUGACAACAAAAAAUACAGAUAUCUCAUAAUUCCAAAUGUUACGCAUAUAGGUGUUUAUACAUGCACCCAUGGACAUAUAUUUAGACCGGUUCGGUCCUUUUAAGGUCUAGGACGACUGGUCAAAUCCAUCACCACUUUUGUAUAUCUUAAACCAUAUAUAGCUAUAAACAAAAAUCAGCUAAACCCUACCAACAAAAUUCUAUUGUAAAUUGAUUUAUAUAAGACUUGUUUGUAUGUACAAUGUAGUCUUUAAUGAUCUAACAUUGUAACUAUGAGAUAGAGUUUUAUGUUGUGGUCUCCUCUCUUGCAAGUUAAACUACUAAUCAAAAGCACAAUGUAGAUAAAUGUCCACCAUAAAUCGUUAAUUACAUAGAAAAUUGCGCGUUCAAAAAUCGUCUGAAAAACUGGUUUCUUUUCUUGUAACAUAUGGGAUAUAGUAUUUUCAGGUCUUACCGUUUUUAAAUGAUUAAUUCUUUGUAUCUAAAAUUUGAGAAAGAAAUUAAGUCUGCAAAACGUUACGUUUUAGAGUGUCUGAAAAUUGGAGAUUAUGAUUACAACAUGUUGUCGCCUUAUGCACAACAAAAGCAAAGUAUUUGACUCUUACAGAGAGCAUGCAUCAAGGAUGAAAAGAUUGCUAAAAGAAGUGGUUUUGUGCAAUAAAAAUAUGAAGUGAACUGCGACAGUCUGAGAGCUAUAUACAUUAUUGUCUAAAAAUAUGAAACGAAAUGUGAGGCACUAACUAUUCAAUUACUAUUGACAUUAAUUCCUAUAAAUAAAAACUUGUAAAUUAGAGAUCAAGAUAAUUCGGCAAGUACUUCAUAAUUUUACUUUGUAGUUUGUAACGUGAGAAGGUUUCUGUAUUUUCUGCUAUUGAUUUACAUGCUAUUGAUCUUUAUAGUAAAACAGACUAAAACAUUAGAAAACAUUAUAAAUUUAAGUACUUUGCUAUGUUUUCUUUUUAUCAAGUUCCAAGAUACUUCCCACACCGGCUGGAAAUGAACUUUUAGAAUCCUUCUCCCAUAAAUAAAUUCCUUGCGAAACACGUCGUUUGAUUACCGAGGUUCAAUGGCCGAGUAGGUUACUUCGGCCACAGUCCAAGAUUCUUCGUUUAGCUUCUUUCGUGACGAGGAACCAGUCUCAAGAUGACUUCUACGGACUAAAUAACCAGGCGGUCCAGGCGGAUCGAUCUCCAUUGUGUCGCUUGCGAACAUGACAGACACUAAUAACAUCGUGGGUCUAUCCUCUGCACGUUCUUGAACACACAAGAGACCAAUCUGUAUGCAUCUUUUAACUUGGUGUGGUUGAAAUGUUGAUGAAUCAAGGAUAACUUGAUCUAUGCUGUCGAGCCCUUUUCCUUCCUUCCAAUUCCUCCAUAUCUGUUCACCAUAAAAAAAGCUUUAAGCGUUUAUCAAUCACAACAAAGAAAAAGAAGACGAAAAUGCUUUGGAUGAUUAUUAAACUUACAUAUGUAAGAAGACUUUCUUCGUUCUCCGAGUAUAUAUAAAAGUCUCUGUUUUUUACUCCAAAUAUAAUCUCAAGAAGCACGACUCCAAAGCUGAAAACAUCUGACUUUGUUGAAUAAGUUCCGUCCUCCGCGUAUUCGGGAGACAUAUAACCGCUUUGUCAAGAAACAAGAAACACAAUUGUGAGUUUUUGUAAAGUGUUUGCUUUAUUUCCAAAUGUAAAGAUGAUGCUGAUAAUUUGUUUGCUUACAAAGUUCCAACGAUCUUUGUUGUGUUAGCUGCUGUCGUACGCUUGUCGAAGAGUUUACUCAUCCCAAAAUCUGAUAUCUUCGGAAUCAUAUCUUGAUCAAGUAAUAUGUUGCUCGGUUUUAGGUCCCUGUGGACCAUCGGACGCCGCGAAUCUUGGUGAAGAUAUAAAAGUCCCCGAGAGAUUCCAUUAAUAAUUUGGACCCUCUUCUCCCAGGUUAGCUUAGAGCUUUGGCUUUUGUCUAAGAAAACCAAACUCACAUUAGUUUCUUUUCAAUAACUUUUAACCUUAAAAAAUACAACUUCUUAAACUGUGAGGCACUAACCGAAUAUAAACUUAUCGAGGCUAGAGUUUUCCAAGUACUCAUAUAUUAAAAUCAUCUCACCACCCUCAAAACAGUAUCCCAGGAGCUGGACGAGGUUGACGUGUUGGACACUGGCGUUCAGACUCAACUCAUUCUUAAAUUCAUCGAUACCUUGAGUUGACAUCUUCAACAAUCUUUUCACAGCGAUUUCUUGUCCGCCAAGUAACCUUCCCUGUUAUAUGUAUAUUAUAUAAAUUACACGGAAUUUACUGAACUAGUAGAUAUCUUAUGUGUAUAUAUAUGUUAAUCUACCUUGUAAACAAUACCAAAACCACCUUGACCGAUUUUAUUUGAAUCCGAAAAACCUUGGGUCGCCACUACAACUGUUUCAAGUGUCAUUUCCUCACAAUGUAAUUCUCCUGAUAUAGUCAUUAGAAGUAAAAAAUUACUUACUCAAGUGAAAAAAAAACAAUUUCCAUUCUGACACAAAUAUGAAGAGAAAAAAAAAAGAUAAUCACAAAUGUACCAAUAGGUGCGGUAAUUGCUUUUGUUGGCGGUCUCUUUUUUCUUUUCCAAACGCAGACCAUUAUAAUAAAACUUAGAAGAAGCAAAAUGACAACUCCGACAAUAAUAAAUAUUAUUUUUGUAUUAUUUUUUUUAUUUUUAUUUUUUCCUUCGUCCCCUGAAAAACAAGUAAAAAUGUCACAAAAUUUAUCACGUUAUUUAUGUUACAUGAUGAAUAUAUAUAUUUUUUAUGUCAUCACGUAAUCGUAUAUGAGUGUUUCGGUAUUUUCUAACCACAUCCGGCAUCCCAUGUAUUUUAUUUGCCACAAUAUACUGUUAUGUUACGUAAGUGUAUAUCUAUUUAUUAUUAUUCAUUUUUGAACAAUACAUCAUUUUUUAAUAUUAAAAAAAUCUUUUGUUUUAUGUGCUAAUUUGUUAAUAUAUCCUCACUCAAAAUUAAUUAUAACUCAUGCAUGUGCCUAAUAUUUUUUCUAUAUUUCAAUGGAAACAGUUUUUUUUUUUUUUUGUUGUUGUUGUGUGUUUGUGUGGAAUAUAUAACAAUAACUUCCGAUCCCUUAUUAUUAACGUAAAUCUUUUUAAUAUCUAAUAUGAGUUGUUUUAUCAACAUCCCAUAUCCAUUUUUCUUUUUGUUAAAGUAAACCAGCAGAGUUAUUGUAUAUCGUUCAAAAGUCAAAACCAAACUGUUUGGUUUGAUUAAGGAAUCGUGAUAUAUUAUUACUAGAAGCUAUUAUGAUGACAUGUAAGUUUUCUAAUAGAUGUAAAACUAUAGUCACUAAAAAACAUGUGUUAUGCAUCCUCGGUUUAAGGCUUAAUCGAAUAGAUUUAAACAAAAACAGAGCAAUGGCCGAAGUCUUGUCGCAAACCAAAGUAAUAAGUUUUUUUUUUAAAAUGAGGUGAUUAAUAUUAACAUUGUAAAAUUCUUUUAAGAAAUCAUUUUGCAAUGAUAAUUUUUCUGAAAAAUAUAUAACCUAUUUUAAUAUUUUUGAUUUUUAUAAAAUUAGUUAGAUUUGUAUGUAGUUUUUGGAGGGAGAAACUAACCGAUAUCAAUGGCUUCCAUCCUAAGUCUAACAUAAAGAUCUUGACCAGCAUUCUUGUAUUUCCGGAGAUCGAGUAGCUCUCCUACCCAAAUAACACAACCUGAUCCACCAUUUUCCAUAUUUGCGUUCGCGUAUGCUGUACAGUUGCAAGUCGCUAAGCACUUCUUCUUGCAUUCCUUCAACCCAAGUUUCAUGUCUACAAUUGACACUACUGUAUCUGGCAGCUUCAUGGUCUGCAACUUCAAGAAUUGAUCACCAUUGCACUUCGACUGUGUCUUCCGCACACACCCUUCUUUUUUAUCUCCUAGCUCCCAUGCUUCUUGAUGUCUCCCCUGAAACCCUUUGAUGCAGUUACAAAUUGGUGAUGUGUUUAUGUCACAGAGACCAUUAGGACCACACAUGUUGUACACAUGGCACAUAUCAUAUUUUUCUGGUAAUAAAUACCCUAUCCACUUCAAUUCCCCUGAAGUUGGGAUCCAUGUGGACCGGUUCAAUAUUCCGGAAUGGUCCAUCCUCAGUAUUGAGAAAACGUUACCGUUAGUUACGCUAAAUGAAUAGCUGAUUUCCUCACUCUUCAUAGUAAUGUUUUCGGUUCCGUGCGUCAAUUUUCCAAUCACGUUAAUGUCACUUACACUAUUCCACGGACCAAUUCGGAGUGAUGGCUCACCCUUUUCCCGUAUGUAGCUCUCAGGAGGCUCACGGAUUUCUACUUUGUAAGUGUAAUCGCCAGUUGAAGGAUCAUUAAUGCUUUUCCAUGAUUUUAGUAUCCUAUUUAGACCCGACUUCUUAUCCCAACCCAGUUUCAUAUCAGGGAGUAAUGUAUCCGUCGGAAAGUCGAAGCUUUGCCAUAAAAAUCCACUUGUCUCGUUGUUACUGGAGUAUCGCAAUACCAAGUUGCCAUUGUCAAGAAGCUCGGCGGUCAGGUCCGACUUCAGACUUUGGCCAGUCACAUUGGUUGACCAAACAGAGUUACUAGUAUGAUCAAAGAGAUGGAGGUUGUUACUGAAGAUUUUGAGUGUUCCGAUAGGCUUGGAGAGUGGAUUGUCUCUGUUGGCAACCCAAACAACUUCAUUAGGCAGCUUUCGGUACCACAUGCCAAGGUACCAUCGGUCACCAACACUGGAACUUGGGGCCGGUUUGAAAAAACCAAGCUCAAGAAUACUCUUUGGGGACGAGAUCUUGUUUUGGAUAGAUAUAUCGAAGGCAGCUGACGAUGAGAUUCUUGAAUUAUACACGGAGAAACCUUUGUGAAAUAAGACGAAUAAAAAUAAUACGAUCCUCAUCUUUUUCUUUUUUUUCUCUUUGUCUUCUUAAUCAGUUUCGUUCUUUCUUGUUUGAACAACUGGAUUCUUCUUAGAAUUAUAUAUUCUCUGGACAAUAAUUUAUUCUUUUUCAACACUGCUUGACUUUUACUACAAGCAUGCGUCGUUAGGACAAAGUUAAAUUUUCAACGGGACAUAAAUGAAACUAAAAACUACAUACAUGUGAGAUUAAUUUCUCCCACGGCAAACAUUGCAUAUGUGGAACUAGUUGUCAAUUUAAAUCCUAAUAAAGGUCCCCAAAUCUAUAGCACAUCAACUGCUGGAGGAUCGAGACUCGUUGAUGAAGUCCAUAAAACCGUUCAUUUUCCAUCAUUUAAACUAUUGUCGAAUAUGGGAAUUUUUGGUGUUGAAGUUUUAGUUUAAAUUGUCAUGUUUUAUUUGUUCCUAGUUUCUCUAGUGUUUUCAGUGUACCAUAAUUAAGUUUUUUUUUCCUUCCCUAUUAAACAAUUAUUAAAAUGAAAUUUUAUUUAUCUUCUACUUAUCUCUCCUAUUAUUUCUCACCCAUUUUAAGUGUUCCAUAGGCACUAUCUAUGGAUCACCUAGUAUUUUUAUCUUAAAAAAAGAAACCAAAAUUCUUUAUAUAGAACACUGAGGUGAUUUAUACACAUAAACUAUUUCAUCUAAAUAAAAGAAGCAGAAAGAUAAAGAAAAAUGGCCAGGAUUGCAAAUGGUGUUGGAAUCGUUGGUCUUUUAAUAAUUUUCAUGUUGAUUUGGGGAGGUAAUUUACAUUAUAAUAUGAAUCUAACCAAACUCUCUAUUGUUGUGUGUUUGUAUUCAUAACUAGAUCAUCACCCGUACUACAGUACGGGUUAAAUUUUAUUUAUUACAAAAUUUAUAAAUUGUACUCCCCACGGAAGAGUAAUAUAUUCUACAAAAAAAGCAUUCAAAUUUUUCAUAUUCAAAUAUGUAAAACAAAACACUUGUAAAUGAAAGCGUAAAUGCAAAAUUUAACUUUUAAAACAAUCCAAACCCAAAUCAUAACGAUUACUUUUUUAUUUAUUUUGUGAGUCAUUAGGAAUGCCAAAAGGAAAUGCUAAACAUUAUGAUCCUUAUUGUCGGAAGAUACCCAGCGUAUUAGCGGCACCUGGGAACUGCUUUAAAAAAAAUGGUAACGCAUUAUGUAAAGAGUCUUGCGUCAAUGAAAAAUUUCUGCAUGGCGCAUGUCUACAUCUACCGAAGCCACAGUCAAAACUCACAUGCCACUGCUGGCUUAAGGAUGCUAAAUUUUGUCCUUAAGCCUAAUCCUUCCAAACCUCGCGUCAAUAUAUUGAUACUAAGGGGAAUCUCAUCAACUUGCAUGCUUCUUAAUAUCGAUAACUGUAUUUUCUGUUUUGUUUUUUUAAUGAAUUGAAUAAUUCACUAUAAUAAAAAGGUGUUUUGCAUCUUAUUAACAUAUUAAUAUAUACUUAGUAUUAAGUCUCCUUUAGCUUAAUACUAUAUAUACUCUGUUGUAUGAUCACUUUAUGUUUAAUGAGAAAUUUCACACUUAAUUCUAAGUGUUAACAUGGUAUCAGAGCAAAAGCAUUUUCUCAUUCCUAUUUUUCCGGAAAGGUGAUUAACGGAAAACAGAAAUCUCCAUCUUCUUCUCACUACAGGAAAUGUGGGUAUUAAUAGCGGCCGAAAAACGCAAUUAUUCAUCUACCAUAGCGUUUCCUUAAGCGCUCUGACAUCGCCCGUUAUAGAAACUCGGACACUUUUGAUAGCGGUUUUGCGUUGUGCAAUAGUUAAGUAUACAACGAUAGCGUUUAUGACGCUGCUAUUAUUAAUAUUUAUAAUAACGUAUAAUAAUCGUUAUGAUUGGAUUGUAUCUAUUUUUAUAAUUUGUUUUUUCUGCAAUAUUUAUAUUUGAUUAAUUAUUUCAGUAAUUUUUAUUUUUUAUAAUAUUUGUAUUUUUGUUAAUUAUUUUAAUUAUAUUUAAAUCACAUUUACUGGAAUUUUUGGAUUAAAAUAACAUAUCAAAAAUAAAAUACAAUAUUUAUUAUCAUUAUUACAUAAAAUAAUAUACAAAAACUCUUAUAUAAAAAAAGUUUACACACUAAUUUGGCGUAAAACAAAAACAAAAAUUAAAAACUACAAUUUCUUCUGAAUAUUGCUUCGUCGACCUUUAACCAUCUCAAUUGCAGCUUGGUCAUUAACAUGAAACUGUAAAGACAAAACCAAUUAAAUCAUAAACAAAUAAGUCAAAUUAAAAAAAGAGACUGAAGGAAAUGAUAUAUAUAUACACUGUGAAGCGACACUAGCAAUAACCAAUAAUAAAGUGGAGACUGAUAAUGCUGAACAAUCACAGUUUAAUUAAGACUUGGAGAACCAGAGAUGUUAUCAGGUUUUUCGAUUUAAUGAAAACAAAGUAAGAAGAUUACCGGAGGCAAGUCCUGGUAGCUUCUUAGAGUAUCAAGAACGGGUUUUGCCAUCUUCUCCAAUUCCUUCCGGUGCUCUGCCAUUUCUACCAGCUCUCUGUGGCUGAUCUUAGGAGAGUAGCCAACACAAUUGAGUAACAUCUGCUAUCAGCAACCAUUCAUUUUGACUCUGUCAGGUUGUUUAAAGGAACCAAAUUCAGUCUUAGAGUCAAUAAAAGAAACCAAAACGAAAACUAACUAUAAACCAAACAAAGAGAAGAACAACAGCUUACACACUAACAGAAGAUGCAGCAACAAGAAGAUUCAAUAUGAAAAACGAAAGAGAAAUUGUAACAGAAGAUACAGCAACAAGAGAAGCAAAAGCACAAGCUCUAGAAACCAAUCAACCAAAACUAUAAAACCCAAUAAUCAUCAGAGCCAAUAUGGGUCAAGUAGAUAGCUUCUGACAAAGCUUUAUCAGUCCAUUUGUUCUUGUUUUGGAAGAAUUUGAUCACUUGUUGAGACAGAGUCAUCUGUGUUCAUAUGUAAACUAAUCUUACUUAAACAAAAGAAAUCUCCAGAUAUCACUAACGCAAAUUCAAAUGGUCCAUACAGAAACUUUACUUAAAGGCGAGAUCUAACAGAGAAAACUAAAAGCUGACCGUUUUGAGAGGAGAGCCGAGGACGGUGGCGUCGGCCAUAGCGAAGCUAGCUCCGUGAGAGAGAUCCUCUGCCGAGCUUCGUAGAAUCGGUGGGAUUCUUGGGAUACCCAUCAAUUCAGCUGCGCAAAACAGAGACAACACAAAUUCAUUCAUUUUGUUUCACGAAUUAGCACCGAUUUCAAGAGAUCAGUAUAUAUGAAAUGUACCGAGAUAGUCAGGAAUGAUGUGGCCAUCGGUGGAGAAUUGGCGUCGACAUGGUUCCCGGAGAGAAACUGCUUGUUGCUGGCGUCGUAGUAGCCGUCGCCAAAGACGAAGACCUAAUCUGAAUUAAUUUUGUUGUGAAUUUUGUUCUCAGUCGAUGUCGAGGAAAGGAAGAAAGGGUUGAAGAGAAUCUCGCCAAAGCCUUUGUUGGGCGAUGAACGGAUGAGAUUACCUUAAACAUGCAGCCGCCAAAGCCUUUGAAAGGCUGAGAUGUCGCCACGUCAUGUAUCCGAGUGAAACAUUAUGAUUGGAUUGAGUAAAUUGAUCAAGUAUUAGAUCCGAUGAAUGGCUGAGAUCUCGCCACAUCAGCAAUCCGAGUGAAACAUUAUGAUUGGCUUAUUUUGUUUAUAGGCAUAAAAAUGUGUUUUUACUAUUUAUAUAAUUUUAAAAAAUUAUAUAUUGAUGAAUUAAUAUGUUUAUGAGUUAUUUACAUGAUUAUAUAAUUUUUUCGCAAUUUAAAAAAAAUAUUUUGCAACGUUUUUAGAAAUUUGAAGGGAACACAUAUGAUUGCCUUAGAAUACAUGUACACUAAUCUUCUUAUUGUGUAAAUCAUAUUGUUGAAACACAUUAAUGAUGUUAUAAUUAAUAAAAUGAAAGAAUUCAUUUAUGUUAUAAUAGUAUACUACUUUAUAUCAUUAAUAUUAGCUACUAUUUAAAACACUAAACCCUAAACCCUAAACCCUAAACCCUAAACCCUAAACCCUAAACCCUAAACUAUUUUUAAAAAUGAAUUUUAUAUAUAUUAUUAUUUGUUAUAAUUAAUAUUAUUACUAUUUCAAACAAAUAUAAUCCAAAAACCUAAACCAUACAUUUCAUACCCUAAACCCUAUAUCCUAAACCCUAAACCCUAAACUCUAUACCCUAAACUCUUUAAAAUUAUAACUUUGUUAUUAUUUAUGUAAUUAUUAAUAUUAUAAUUAAAUAUUUAUGUCUUUUUGAGAUAUUUGGUUAUUUUUUUUUUUAACUUUUUUUUUACAAAAUUCGAAAAUCAUUUAAAAAAUCUUAAAAAAAUCUUUAAAAUCAUUUAACUUGAAACCUAAAGUAGAUGCCUUAAAAUAAUCAAUCUCAUAUAAAUAAUCAAUCUCAAAGAAAAUGGAGAACAAAAGAAUAUUGUUGGAAAUAUUUUAUUUACAAAUGAUAAGAGUAUACAUGUAACAGAGAUAUAUAAAACGAAAGUGGUGUCAUGAUCCUCUAUCAUAUCAUCAAUAGGAGGUUCUGAAUUCAGUAAGCAGAUACUCUGCUCAACUUGACAACAUUCUUCACUCUUGGUCCAGUGACCAUCAUCCUCAAGGAAGCUGUCGGCAGUAGGACCAAAUCUUUUGCAGACAAACUUAUAUUUGGACGUCAGCUUCUUGUAAGCAUUAUAGAGUUCUUUUCUUUUAUUUCUCUCAAUAGCUAACUGAGAUGAUUUCUCCAACAUUUCCCUCUCUGUCAAAUUGAGUUUACCCUGCAAAACCUCAAGAGCCGUCCUUAACUACAUCAGAGCUCAGCUAUAUCCGAUAAAAAUUUGACUACUAACUCAUUACACAUCCAUGGAAUCAACCAGCAAUCUAGCAUUGAUUAAAAAAAGACAAUGAUGAGAUAAUAUCAUUGGUCAGAAGAACUCUUUCGAAUAAUAGAUUGGUUGCUGGAAUAACAUAAAAGCUAACUCACUUUCAGGCCCUUCAAGCUUGUUCACGGCCUCUAGAAAAAGCUCAUGGAGCUCAGGACUCCAUCUCAUUCCUGGUAUGUGGUUAACUGCUGAUCCUGGAGAAGGCUCUACAGUAACAGACAUUGAUGCAGGAACACAGUUUUGGCCAUGAUUCACUUGGUAGAUCUCCUGCAAUCAGAACAAAAAAGCUAGCAAGUUAAGGAGAGAAACUCACUCUGAACAGUCUCAAGGGUAACAGCAAUCCAUGUGUCUCUCCAAGUUAACUUACAUCAAGUCUGGGGUUUCAGCACGGUCUGUGAUGCCUAACUCAAGCUCAUCAGACAAAAACUGCAGUUCCAAUUACUCUGUUAAGGAGAAGUUGUCAUUAGGACAUCCAAGGUCAAGAUCAGAAGAAGCGUCCCCAGAAAGAGUAAGCAAGGAGCUGUCUCCUCCAUCACAUGGAUUGCUUAGAAGAAAAUCCUCACUGAAUUGAGAGUAUCUUCCUUGUUCAUGAACAAGGAACAUGAAUCCUCCAGUACCUUCUGGGUCUGAAAGACCAAGUGGGUCGAAUCCAUAGCCUCCAGGUAAGCUGCAAGAAUCACAACAUCUCCACUAUUGAACAUCAUUAAGUUCGUAAAGCAAUCAAAGAUCCAAAACUUGUUUUAAAGAUUACUUGCCAUCUAAGUAAGUGAGACUCUGAGAGGAUGCAAACCACAAUGGUCUGUUUGCUCCUUGCUGAAAAACCAAAACACACAAAAUCAGGAUCUGGUUAACUAUUACAAUGCACAGAGAGAGGUAUAUAUGAGAGACUAGAGAAUGUCAUGUACCUUGACAGGUGGAGUUGAAGCAGCCUUAACAACAAAGGAAGUCUUCUUGUGUGACGCAGAACCAAGUGUCUUUUUUUGGGACUAAUAAUACUUGAGAUGUUACAAUUGUGAUUAGGGAGAGCAAAGGGUAAAGAGGAACCAGUGUUCCCUACCAAAACUUUGAUUCUUAAACCAAGAAAAACGAAAGAAGACAAGUUCUUAUUAGACGUUGAAUCCACGACUCUUUCACCUUCCUUUAGCUUUCUCAAACUUCUUGUUGGGGUCGGAUUUCACCCAUCCUUUGAGACCGAGCCAAACUUCAACACUUCGGGUUAUCCUGCUAGUCAGCUCGGGUUAUCCUGCUAGUCAGCUCGGGUACCCUGCCAGUCAAUCUGCCAGUCAGCUCGGGUACCCUGCCAGUCAAUCUACCAGUCAGCUCGGGUACCCUGCCAGUCAGUCUGCCAGUCAGCUCGGGUACCCUGCCAGUCAGUCUGCCAGUCAGCUCGGGUACCCUGCCAGUCAGUCUGCCAGUCAGCUCGGGUACCCUGCCAGUCAGUCUGCCAGUCAGCUCGGGUACCCUGCCAGUCAGUCUGCCAGUCAGCUCGGGUACCCUGCCAAUCAGUCUGCCAGUCAGCUCGGGUACCCUGCCAGUCAGUCUGCCAGUCAGCUCGGGUACCCUGCCAGUCAGUCUGCCAGUCAGCUCGGGUACCCUGCCAGUCAGUCUGCCAGUCAGCUCGGGGUACACAGUCAGUCAGUCUGCCAGUCAGCUCGGGUACCCUGCCAGUCAGUCUGCCAGUCAGCUCGGGUACCCUGCCAGUCAGUCUGCCAGUCAGCUCGGGGUACACAGUCAGCUCGGGGUACACUGCCGAGCCUUAUACUGCAGUUACCCCGAGGCAAAGUCUCAGUGCUACCCGAGGCUCAGUGCUACCCGAGGCAAAGUCUCAGUGCUACCCGAGGUGAAAUGUGUAUUGUUCCCGAGGCGAAGUCUGCAAAGUCACCCGAGGCGAAGUCUUUAGUGUCACCCGAGGCAAAGUCUUCAGAGUGACCCGAGGCGAAGUCUUCAUCAUCACCCGAGGCAAAGACUUGAUAAAUAUUCAUCUUCAAAGUAUCAUUUCCAAACAAGGCAUCAUUUCCGAAGGGUCAUUUCCGAUAAACCCGGAAAUGAUAAAGGAGAAUCACGAAGGAUCAACUUAAAUCAGGAAAUCUUCCAAAAACUCCGAAGAAUAAGGAAAUUAUCCUGAUCCGCGAUAUUCUACACCGACUUCAAGAUAAAUGGAAAUCUUCCGAGAAUAUCGCUGGAGAGGCGGUUUAUCACCCCUAUAUAAAGAGACUCAAGGCUCUCACAGGAGGGCAAGGAAUAUCGCUCUAGAAAUUACACUACGCAAAGCUCUCACAGCACAAACACUUUUUUCUUUUACGAUCAAACUCUUGUACGAUCAAAAUCGUCUUUUCAUUAAUAAUAUCAAGAACACCAUCUUUGGUAUCAAUCGUUUCUGUUGUUCUUUGAGAAUUCACGAUUGUCGUAUCCCUAAAAUAAAACCCUAGACAAAUCUUGAUUGUGUUAGUUUCGACCUCCACAGUUUGGCGCCGUCUGUGGGGAUACUUUAGAAUUCUCUUACCCUAAGAACGCAAGACUCGAAUACCAGAGAGGAUGGUGAACGAAGACUAUCGUCAGAUACCGCCAGCCGGAGGAGGGAAUCCCAAUGCUCUAAACCCUCAAAAUCCUCAAGCCGAUCCGACAAUCUUAGCAGCCCUAGCCGAACUAAAGGAUAUGAUGGUUAAAUUCCAGAAGAAAGCUGACGAUCAAGAGAAAGCUAACAAAACGUUGGCGCAGCAAGUCGACAAAAUCGCAACACGUGGGCAACAAAAAACCACGCGUUUCCAGACUCGGCCGCCACGAGCUCGGAGGGACUUCCCUGGCAUCAACCCAACAAGACUCACGUUCGCGACGCCAACCGACAACACCAGAGUCGCAACCCGAGCCGACCCUGCCAGGCGCGAGAACCAAGAUGAUCCCACCGAGCCAGACGCAGUGGACUUGACGGACGAGCCAGAUGAUCUGCAAGAUGAGCGUACCCGAGCCGGAGCUAACUCCGCCGAGCGAACAGAUCUCACUGACGAUGAAGAAACUGAGGAGAACAUAAGAUGGGCCGAAGAAUCCGAAAGGGAGGACGAGCUCAGCAAGAUCCGAGCCUCCCUAGCCAAGGCGGAAGCUGAUAUGAAGCUCGUCAUAACCCAGAUACAUAGCGUUUCAUCCUCUGCACCAAACAUCGACCGAAUUUUAGAAGAGUCUCGGAAUACGCCCUUCACCAAAAGAAUUUCCGAAACGACGAUGUCCAAUCUGGGGAAGUUCAAAAUCGACUCCUACAACGGAUCAACCGACCCGAAGUGUCACAUUAAAUCUUUCGUGAUAUCCGUAGCCCGAGCCAGGUUUAUGCCCGGGGAGAAGGAUGCAGGUCUAUGCUUGCUGUUCGUGGAACACCUCAAAGGACCCGCAUUAGAGUGGUUUUCUAGAUUGGAACGAAACUCGAUUGACAGUUUCGACGAGCUGUCGACACUAUUCCUCAAACAAUACUCCGUCCUCAUCGACCCCGGAACCUCCGACGCGGAUCUGUGGUCCCUAUCUCAACAGCCCACCGAACCAUUGAGAGAUUUCCUCACAACCUUCAAAUCGACGCUAGCCAAGGUCGAAGGAAUUACAGAUGUAGCCGCUCUUUCGGCUUUGAAGAAAGCUCUCUGGUACAAGUCAGAAUUCAGGAAAGAGUUGAACCUGUCUAAACCGACAACAAUUCGCGACGCGCUGCAUCGAGCCUCGGAUUUCGUCGCCCACGAAGAAGAGAUGGCGCUGCUAGCAAAGAGGCAUGAGCCAACAAAACAGGCGCCCCGAGCUGAGAAAACCGAGAAAGCCCAAACAGGACCGCUAAGCCAGAAGAAGCCGGAUCAGAGUGAAACGUACACGCACCACGAAGGGAACGUUUUCUCAGGAGCCCACAACUACCAAGUCGACGUAGGCCGUGGGCGAGGAAGAGAUUCAUUCACUUGGGCAAGAUGUCAACCCCCAGGUGACGAAAAAGAAUACUGCGAGUAUCACAAGACCAUCGGGCAUCACACUUCCAGAUGCAGGAGCCUCGGAGCAAUAUUAGCGGCCAAAUUUCUAGCCGGAGAGCUCGGGACGAACGUCACUCUUAAGGAUCUCGAGCCAGAGCCAGAGCCCGAGCAGACCAACCCGGGAAGAGACCCCGAACCAAGGAACCAGGAGUCUCAGAAAAGAACCCGGGGGUCGGAAGACGAAGACCGAGAUGGUACGCGGCAGAAGGUCCUUACCAUAAUGGGUGGAUCGCCAUACUGUCCUGACACCGUAGCGGCAAUCAAAGCUUAUCAACGCCGAGCCGAGACGCCUAGCAACUGGACAAGACGCUUCGAUCGACCUAACGACGUGAUCACAUUUGAAGAAAGCGAGACAAACAGGCUCGACAUGCCUCAUAACGAUCCAAUCGUCGUCACAUUAGCGAUAGGAGACCAUGAUAUUUACCGAGUAUUAAUUGACACCGGCAGCACUAUCGACGUAAUCUUUCGCGAAACGCUCCGACAAAUGGACAUCGACAUGUCACAGGUGAUUCCGAUCCCGAGGCCUGUCCUCGGAUUUUCAGGGGAAACUUUGAUGAUGCUUGGAACCAUCCAACUACCAGUCCGAGCCGGCGGGGUAACAAAGAUAGUCAAUUUCUCUGUCACAGAUCAGCCGACCAUCUACAACGCCAUUAUGGGCACCCCAUGGUUAAACCUAAUGCGAGCUGUCUCCUCGACAUACCAUCUCUGCUUGAAAUUCCCGACGCCUAACGGUGUGAAAACGAUAUGGGGAAGCCAAAAGAAUUCCAGGAUGUGCUUCAUGGCAGCACAUAAACUUCGAAACCUCUUCGCCAAAUCUAAAGUCGAGGUCAAUCAUAAAAAGGCGAAGAUUGGCCGAAGCAAGGAUAAGUACCUCGCGGAAAAGAAGGCGGCCGUAGAGAAGAAAGCUUUGGAGGCCGUUCUCGGAACUCUUGCUCCUCCCAAAGCGACUGAUGAGCAUGAGGUGGAGAUGACGAAUCCUAGCCCCAUUGCCGUCACAACCGGUCCCGAGGAGGCCGAUACUAUCUCAGUUGUGGAAACACCUCAGGAAAUACUACCACUAAAAACCUAAGGUACGCAUAAGCUUGAACUACGGGGUGGCUUGAUCCCCGAAAAGGGUACGUAGGCAGCUCGUCCUCGGACGAGUUCAGCUACCUCCCCUUAUCAAAAAGGGGGGGGAGAGUGGGGUCCGAAUAUCCAUACUCCCACUCAAAUUUUAUCAAUUAUAUGUUUCCUAUACUCCUAUUCAAAUUUUAUCAAACUAUAUUUCUAAGUAUACACUUCGGGUUUUUAUCCGAUCAAAUCCACCUCGGUCUUUACCCCGAAACUCGCCUCGGGAAAUCAACACGGUCUAAACUCCGUUCGGUUCGUUUGGGCGAUGGCCACGCCUGCGAACUAAAUUCAUCUACACCUCCACGGUUACAGCGCGCUAUAUAAGCAUUCGAGACAAUCUGGUCGAAGAUAUCCGACCAAAGAUAAAAUUGUCUUCAGAAACCCCAGUAAAAUCUUAACACUGGUGCCCCAGUUCGCUUCUAAGCACUGGUUAUCGAUUGAAUCGAAUCGGGUCGCGACCGUGAACGUUCAAAUCUUUCUGCUAAAACCCAGUUUAUCUUAACACUGGUACCCAUCUUUCGCUCCGGCUGCUAAAACCCAGUUUAUCUUAACACUGGUACCUAUCUUUCGCUCCGGCUACUAAAACCCAGUUUAUCUUAACACUGGUAUCUAUCUUUCGCUCCGGCUACAUAAUUCUUUUUUACUUAGGACAAAAAGAUGUUUCGAUACGGAAACUAUUCAAAAUCAUUGUAUUCUCUUCGAAGACAAGGAUCUUUGAAAAUAGCGUUUGUAUUUACUUUGCAAAAAAUACAACGACAAAGUCAUCCAUGCACAAUCUUACACUACAACCAAAAAAGAAGAAAAAGGACGGUUCUAAGAGUGCCGCCUUAGGUUCACUGGCGACUCGAAGCAGAAGUUAACAGCUCGGUCGACUCAUUCAUGAAGCUCGUCACACUUGCUCCCAAGUCAACGAGCUGGGGGGCUAACUGUUGGGGUCGGAUUUCACCCAUCCUUUGAGACCGAGCCAAACUUCAACACUUCGGGUUAUCCUGCUAGUCAGCUCGGGUUAUCCUGCUAGUCAGCUCGGGUACCCUGCCAGUCAAUCUGCCAGUCAGCUCGGGUACCCUGCCAGUCAAUCUACCAGUCAGCUCGGGUACCCUGCCAGUCAGUCUGCCAGUCAGCUCGGGUACCCUGCCAGUCAGUCUGCCAGUCAGCUCGGGUACCCUGCCAGUCAGUCUGCCAGUCAGCUCGGGGUACACAGUCAGUCAGUCUGCCAGUCAGCUCGGGUACCCUGCCAGUCAGUCUGCCAGUCAGCUCGGGUACCCUGCCAGUCAGUCUGCCAGUCAGCUCGGGGUACACAGUCAGCUCGGGGUACACUGCCGAGCCUUAUACUGCAGUUACCCCGAGGCAAAGUCUCAGUGCUACCCGAGGCUCAGUGCUACCCGAGGCAAAGUCUCAGUGCUACCCGAGGUGAAAUGUGUAUUGUUCCCGAGGCGAAGUCUGCAAAGUCACCCGAGGCGAAGUCUUUAGUGUCACCCGAGGCAAAGUCUUCAGAGUGACCCGAGGCGAAGUCUUCAUCAUCACCCGAGGCAAAGACUUGAUAAAUAUUCAUCUUCAAAGUAUCAUUUCCAAACAAGGCAUCAUUUCCGAAGGGUCAUUUCCGAUAAACCCGGAAAUGAUAAAGGAGAAUCACGAAGGAUCAACUUAAAUCAGGAAAUCUUCCAAAAACUCCGAAGAAUAAGGAAAUUAUCCUGAUCCGCGAUAUUCUACACCGACUUCAAGAUAAAUGGAAAUCUUCCGAGAAUAUCGCUGGAGAGGCGGUUUAUCACCCCUAUAUAAAGAGACUCAAGGCUCUCACAGGAGGGCAAGGAAUAUCGCUCUAGAAAUUACACUACGCAAAGCUCUCACAGCACAAACACUUUUUUCUUUUACGAUCAAACUCUUGUACGAUCAAAAUCGUCUUUUCAUUAAUAAUAUCAAGAACACCAUCUUUGGUAUCAAUCGUUUCUGUUGUUCUUUGAGAAUUCACGAUUGUCGUAUCCCUAAAAUAAAACCCUAGACAAAUCUUGAUUGUGUUAGUUUCGACCUCCACACUUCUUUCCCUUCGACCUAACAUAUGGCUUAGAGUGAUUGUGUGGCAAACCCAUGACUUCUCCAUAUUACCAAACACAACACAGCUCCUCGACCAGUUAUAAACAAUAAAAAUUCAAUUGAUCAGACAUUCAAGUUACUAACAUAUUCAAUCUCCUUAACAAACAUGGCCGAACAAAAAUAGAACAACAAGGAGAGAAAGGAUUCACAAUCUUACGAUUAAGCUCAAGUCUUCUUGGACAAAGGAUUUGUAGAAUCAAUUACUCAUGGAAACAAGUCGAAUUAGAAAACGUGAACCAAAAAAAUUAAAAAUCCCUAAGUAAUACUUUUAGCCAAAUCUGACCCAAAAAUCUGCAAAAAUCAGAGAAGUUUUGGAGAGGAUUAGUAUAUGUGAAACCCAAAUUAACCAAAAAUAACCCUAAAUCGACAUUGAAGAAGAGAUAAAUGGAAGAGGGGAGUCAAGAUUGAAGAAGAGACAUGGAAGAGGGGAGUCGAGAUUGAAGAACACAAAUCGAUACAAACCUAUGAAAGUGGAUCGGAAUAACGACGACGGCGGCGGAAUAACGACGGCGACGGACGGCAAAGAGAAAGAAAGCUUGGGCACGAUCGAGAAGAAAGCUUCGGCACUAGAGAGAAAUAAAGAAAGCUGGGGAAAGUUUUUUGUUUUUUUCUAAGUGUUUUGGCUUUUUGCCAACACAAAAAUUAAAACAAGCGGGCAACUAAAAAUUUAUUCCCGCUUAUAACAUAUUAUAACACUAAACGCUAUAAAAAAGUAGUGUGUACCUCAUUUAUAGCAGAAAAUUAAAAAACGCUAUAUUUAAGUGCUAUGGUUGUUCACAUUUCUUGUAGUGUCUUCUUCGCAAAAUUUAUUCAUCGAUCUUCAAUUCAUCAUCAUCUUCAUCAUCCUUCAUCAUUUUAUUCAUCGAUUCAUUAAUUUUUCAACUCAACGAGCUCAUCGAACAUCGACUCGUUGUUCUUCACAUUUCUUCACAUUUCUCGCAUCAAUCUUGAUCACUUUUCUUGGAAUUCAUUCUUCCGCUACUCGAAUCAACUUCGUUUCUCUCGAUCGAUCUCAUCUUGAUCAAAUCUCGAUAUGUUUCAAAGUUUUUGUGAUGAAUUCUGGUGAAUCUUCACGUCAGACGAUGGAUCAAUAUGAUAAUCCAUAUUAUCUUCAUAACUCCGAUCAUGCGGGUUUGGUUUUGGUGUCAGAUCGCCUCGCAACAGGUGCAGAUUUUCAUUCUUGGCGACGAUCAGUACGCAUGGCGCUCAAUGUGCGCAAUAAACUUGGAUUUAUAGACGGUACAAUUCUUAAACCAUCUGAGAAUGAUAGAGAUUUUGGAUCAUGGUUCGUUGCAAUGAUAUGGUAGCGACUUGGCUUAUGAACUCUGUUUCGAAAAAGAUUGGUCAAAGCUUAUUAUUCAUAUCUACGGCUGAAGGAAUUUGGAAAAAUUUGAUGUCACGAUUCAAACAGGAUGAUGCUCCUCGAGUAUAUGAGAUUGAGCAAUGUUUGAGUGUUAUUCAACAGGGAUCUUUAUAGAUGUCAGUGCAUAUUAUACUGAGUUGGUUACCUUAUGGGAAGAGUAUCGAAACUAUGUGGAACUUCCCUUAUGCACUUGUGGAAAGUGUGAGUGUAAUGCUGCUGCUCUUUGGGAAAAAUUGCAUUAGAGAAGCAGAGUAACAAAGUUCUUAAUAGAUCUAAAUGAGUCCAAUGAAGCUACUCGCAGGCAUAUCCGCAUGUUGAAUCCUAUUCCGACUAUUGAAGAAGUUUUUAAUAUGGUAACUCAGGAUGAACGUCAGAAGAAUAUCAAACCAAUGUCUAAGAAUGACAAUGUGGUGUUUAAUACUUUGAAUAAUACUCAGUCUGCAGUUGGUAAUGCACUGAACCAGCAUCCUUAUUUUGGUUAUUAUGAUGGAAGUGCACAAACCAAAAUCGAUGGAGAUUACGAACCAAAAUCGAAAUAUGAUUAUGGAAAUAUGGUGGAUUCGUAUAUCCGAGUUUAUGAUAUUUAGCAUUAUCUCUAAAUAUAUUAUUUAUAUUUAGUUUAUUUUAACUUAGAAAACUUAGUUUUAUUCCAUAUUUUUAUAUAAGAGAAUGUGUCUUGUAUCUUUAUUCUUAUGAGAAUCUACUAUAAUUCUUUCUAUCGUACUAUAAAAAAAAAGAACAUGACGACGUUGAUGUCAUCACCACUACAAAGAUGACAUGGCCAAACAAUACAGCUUGAUACGAAGAUGUCCGGCCAAGACUUGUAAUUGAAAAUUGUUGGAAAUAGAAAACUACGAUGAUGUAUUCUCUAUGUGGCUCUCCAUUAACUAUAAACAUGAUGAUGACCCAAGACCGGGGUAUAAACGUCGACGGCCUAACGGUUAGGUAUUGUAAUAACUUUGACCCUACGAUCGGUAUAAACGUCGAUGACCUAACAGAUAGGUACUAUAGCCGAUUUGACCCUACGACUCGAUUUGACUCGACGGAAAGGUAUAAUGCCGUUAUUUUGAAGAUAUGUCCAAUCUCACAUGUGUUACCAUGUAUGCGCUUGCCAGGGUAUCAGUGUACCAUAAUUAAGUUUAUCCUUUUCUAUUUUGGUUUUUUUUUUUAAUUUUCUUCCCUAUCAAACAAUUAAUAAAAUGAAUUAUUAUUUAUGUUAUAUUUAUCUCUCCUAUUCAUUCUCCCCUCAUUUUAAAUAGGCAUUAUCUAUGGAUCACCUAAUAUUUGUUUUCUUAAAAAGAAACCAAAAUUCUUUAUAUUAGAGCAAUCAGAUGAUUAUAAACAUAAACUAUUUCAUCUAACUAAUGUAAGCAGAAAGAUAAUGAAAAAUGGCCAGGAAUGCAAAUGGUGUCGGAAUCGUUGGUCUUUUAAUAAUUUUCAUGUUG
rnacentral:lncRNA from 1 species